GGUGACCAGGGUUGUGACCAUAAUGUGGUGGCUUCUCUCCCUUAGGUGGUUUGCCAACUGGGGUUGGUGGCUUGUGUUCUGGGAGUGGCUUCUCCCCCUUGGGAGGUUUUUCCAAUGGGGUUGGUUUGUGUUCAGGAGGUGGCUUCUCCACUGGAGGCUUGUGUUCAGGAGGUGGCUUCUCCACCGGAGGCUUGUGUUCAGGAGGUGGCUUCUCCACCGGAGGCUUAUGCUCUGGUGGUGGCUUCUCCACCGGAGGCUUAUGCUCUGGUGGUGGCUUCUCGAAUGGGGGAUGCUUAGGGUAAUCAGCAAGUGAGGGGGCGGUGAGAACCACCAGGCCAAGCAAGACCACUAGCAAGUAUGUAGGAGACAUCUUUGGGUUUAGACUCAGAUGGUGCAAAACUAGGAGAAUUGUCUUUUAUAGCGGAUCGCACCCAAUAAUGAAAUGACACGUGUCUUUAUGACCCAUGUGUAAUGGGGUCGAUUUGGGUCCUACAGUGUUGAAAACUUCGACAUCCACUUUUGGCCUUUUGCUUUCUCUACAGCCGCCUUGCUUUUUCCCUCUUUCCUUUUGUUUUCCUCCUGCCCCAUUCUAUCAACUAAACACAAUUAUGUAGUUGUUUAAUUCUUAAAUGAGAUAUUAUCCGUCAAUCGUAUCAUAUUUUAUCAACAGAGAACGGAGUGCAAUGUGGCAAUCCAAAGAAAGAAGAUCCAUAAUGCAGCUGUAAUUUUAUCGUUUACUUUUAUCUCUUGGACCACUGCAUUUUUGUUAAGAGGUGCAAUAAUACACGUCUUUAUCUGCCAUUCAAUGUUUACAGUAAAGAGAGGGCACAAAACUCUUCACUGCUCUGCAUGUGUCCCAAAAAUGCAAUUGGACAAAUUAUGAUUUGCAUGCUAAAAAGAGGCAAAUGAGGUUAAUUCGCACCAUAAUUAUUUUGUUUUCUGGACCCCGGGGCCCUUUGGUUGGUUUGGGGGUCAGAAAAUGAACAUCAUAGGGGGUUUUUCCCUUAUGUGCAUUUGUAUCUGAUGGCUUUAACUCGCCUUGUUACUACAAAGAAAUUGUCACAUAUAGGAACUUAUUCCAGGCUGAGUAUCUCCGCAUAGACCCUAUAAAAGAAGACAAGUCAUAAUGAACAUCUAACCUUUGUUCAAUUUGAUUCAAUGCCCCAUUGUGUCCACCUCACAAAUCUGAAUUAUUAUAUCCAUUGAAUACAUAAAUUAAUGAAGAAAAUAUGAAACCCAAGAUACAUCUCUGCACAACCUCAACCCUGGUUGCUAUGUUUCCCUUCUAUUCACAUGAGGAUAUUGAUUACGGAAUAGGGAAACCUAGCAAGGGUUUACUCGGCUCUGGUUUGAUGCUAAUUGCCAAACUUGCAACAAGCCCUGAGUUUGAAGCUCACAGAAGAUGUUAUACAGGCAGGGAAAAACCUUCAGAGUUCGCUGCCAAAGAUAAUUAUUAAGGAGAUAUCACCAAGAGAAUUCCAAGGAGUCUGAAUCAAAGACAAAUUGGUCGUUCGUGGAGGUUCUUACUUUCUUUUGGGUAUAACUCACUGAGGGCACUGUCUUUUUUAUUUUCAUUUCACAUUUAGAGUUCUGUUCUGGAAACAUAUAAAAGGAGCAUCAGUUUGUUCUUGGGUAACCCAUAGUCGUGAGUGGGUCCAUUUGCAUGCUACUUAGUUGAAAAGUUGGACCAUUUGCUCCGACGCCUACCUCCUGGAUUCCAUGCUCGGAUAAAACAAGAAUAAAAAAAUAUUUAUAAUUUACAAAUGGGGGAAAGAAAAAAAUGUCAACAACAAACUAGGAAAAAAGAGUAGUAAAAUUCAUGUCACAUGCUAGUGAGAGAAGGGGUUGUUACACUCACUCGAAGUUCUUUUCAAAAUAUCGCAUGGUAUUUUAUUUUAUGUGUGAGCGCAGUUGUGAAUGGAACGUGCAAAAGUCCAAAUUGGUGACCUUUAAUAAAUAUUUAAAACAAAAAACGAAAAAAAGGAGGGAAAAGGGAUCAGAAAAGAUAAAACAAUGUGUACAAAAGCUCAAUUAGUUUGCAAAUUACUGUUUGGAUUUUGAUAGUAUUUUAUUUGAUGUAAAAGAGAAUUUAAGAUAUUUCCGAAACAAAAGCAUUAGUUUGCUCCAUGUCAAUUUCGGCAUUUCUCAUAUGUUUCACACAUACACAGAAGAGCAUCGUUUUUUAAAGCAUGCAUUUAUGUUGGAUUAAUUUGGAUUUUGUGGGAACUGGGGCAAGGAUCACAUGGAAGAGAGGUUGACUUUUUUCAGUACUUCAAUGGUUGAGACAGGUGAAGGCCUGAUUGAUACUGAAGCCUGAAAUUGCGACUCCGUCAUUUGUCAAAACAUAUGACAGCUUCCAUGCUCUCGUUUGGUUGCAUUGUUCUGUGGUCAUGCAUACAUGCCACUUAGUGAUCAGUCUGUAACUGUCAAUCAUUGGGCUUUGACUGAACAACAUCAGCCAUGUAUAAAUACUUGCAAAUCAAACGGUCUUCUUCCUCCCAUAAGGAAUUUCGGUUUAAUUAUGAAGCAUGCAUUUGGCUGACCAUCAUAAACCACUUCUUUAAAUUGAUGAAUGAUAGUUUUUCAUUCAUUCUUUCAUUCGUUCAUAUACAGAGUAUAUAUAGAGGGUAAUCAUCAUUCUAAGAAUGGGAAAGAAUGAUACAAGGAAAUAAUGAUAUAAAGAAAUAACAACUAAUAUUCUAAUAUCUCAACUUUCCUAAUAUCUAAACAUUCCUAAUAUCUCAACACUAAAUGAUAUAAAGAAAGAAUGAUAUAAGGAAAGCAUUCCUAAUAUCUCAACACUCCUCCUCAAGUUGGUGCAUAGAUGUCAAACAUGUCCAACUUGUCUAAAAAUUUUGAGAACAGUUGACUUGAGACAUCUUUGGUGAGGAUAUCGGUCAAUUGAUCUUCUGAUCGAAUCUUAGGCAAUUCCACAAUCUUAUCAUCCAACUUUUCCUUAAUGAAAAAUCUAUCCAUCUCGACAUGCUUUGUACGAUCAUGUUGUACUAGAUUAUGAGCAAUGUCACAUGCUGCUUUAUUGUCACAAAACAAUCGGAUUGGUUGCCUAGAUAGGUAACCUAAAUCCUAUAAGAGGAGUCUUAGCCAUAAUGCCUCACAAAGUCCUAAAGUCAUACCUCUAAAUUCCGCUUCUGCACUUGAACGAGCGACGACAUUUUGCUUCUUACUUUUCCAUGUCACAAGAUUACCACCUACAAAGGUAAAGUAACCAGAUGUAGAUCGCCUAUCAUCCACUGCACCGACCCAAACAGCAUUAUACUUCUAUACUCUGAUGAUCAACAUUUUUAGCGAACAAAAUUCCCUUCCUAGGAGCAUUCUUCAAAUACCUCAAAAUACGCAUGACUACAUUCAUAUGUUGCUCUCCAGGAUUAUGCAUGUAUUGACUCACUACACUCAAUGUAUAAGCAAGAUCUAGUCUUGUAUGAGCUAAGUACAUUAAUCUCCCCACAAGUCUCUGGUAUCUUCCCUUAUCGAUUGAUACUUGAUUAGGCUCAACACACAAUUUCAGACCUUCUUCUAUUGGUGUAUUAAUAGGUUGACAUCCCGACAUUCCAGUUUCCUGUAGAAGAUCUAAGGCAUACUUUCUUUGAGACAGAAAAAUUCCUUCACUUGAUCGAGAAACUUCAAUCCCAAGAAAGUAUUUCAGACGACCAAGAUCUUUCAUUUCAAAUUCUCUAGAUAGAUACUUUUGCAAAGCUUUUCUUUCUUCAGGAUCAUUUCCUGUAACUACAUGUCAUCCACAUAUAUCAUAAGUGUCGUAAUCUUACCAUGUUGCUUUUUCAAGAACAAAGUGUGAUUUGAAUUACUUUGAUGAUAGCCAAAAGCUCUCAUUGAUUUUGUGAACCUUCCAAACCAUGCUCUCGGGGAUUGCUUCAACCCAUACAAUGACUUCUUCAAUUCGCACACCUUCUGACAUUGCUUUUCUGACACCAUGCAUCCUGGUGGAAGAUCCAUAUAUACUUCUUCAGAUAAAUCGCCAUGCAGAAAGACAUUUUUUACAUCGAACUAUUGUAAUGGCCAAUCUAGGUUUGCAGCUAAAGACAAUAAUACUCGAACUGUGUUGAUCUUAGCUACAGGUGCAAAUGUCUCUGUGUAGUCAAUUCCAUAAGUUUGAAUGUACCCACUAGUCUUGCUUUAAAUCGUUCAAUACUACCAUCUGCCUUGUACUUCACAGUAUAGAUCCAACGACACCCAACUAGCUUCUUUCCUGGUGGACAUUCUACGAGUUCCCAUGUUUCAUUUUUCUGCAAUGAUUUCAUCUCUUCAUUCAUGGUUGCUUUCCACUUUGGAUCAGCUAAAGCUUCCUGCACACUAUUAGGAAUAGCUACAGUAGAUAAUUGAUUUACAAAUGACUUAUUUGAUUCAGACAAACCAUGGUGUGGACCCGCAUUUUUCACGUGCGCCUCUACUCGAUCGGCGAGACUCGCUUUCUAUUUGUGAAAAAUUAAUUUUAGAAAAGUUGGAGUCGCCACCUAUUUUAUUUUUAUUUUGAAGGGAAAAUAAAACAAGAAAGAAAAACCCUAAAAAGUGACUCCAUAGUUUUGGAAAAAGCAUGUCUUUGGGAAACCUGAGUCUAGGUCCGGGGAUCAUGUUACUUAUUGGGAAGGUACCUCUAGGAGGUAGCACCCCUCUAAGCCUUAUGAAGGUCUCUACUAACUAAAUUAAGGGAAGUGUGGCAAUAAAUCGAUUGAUCAUAGAUACCUAAGUAGACUAGGUGAUUUUAAAGUGUGGCAUGUCAAACACAAUCAAAUUGCAAUAAAGGAGAGUUAGGGCGCGUACCUGAACCGCUUCUCAAGCGCUAUCAUAAAACAUCAAUGGUUAAUUUAAAUAAUAUAUCAUCCAGCAUGUAUUUUAUUAGAAAUAAUCAAACAAUGAAACAUGUAUAUCAGAACACUCAAGCAUUAUUAGACAUAAGCAUUAUUUCACUAUUCACAGAAUUCAGAAAGUAGGUGAUAGAGGACAUACCUGGAUAGCAUAGAUAAUUUGUAAUGUGCUUCCUCAAGUUGUAAGGGGUUAGAUAACAAAUAAUAAAAUAUAGAAAUCCUAGCAUGCUCGUUAUCUAAUUAGCAUAGCAAAAGUGAUCACAGUAUACAGAAUCAUCAAUUAUCACAUACAUCUUGUAUAUAAUUCCUAAAAAAAAUAGAUAGACAUGAUUUCAACAAGUGUCAAAUGUGGCAACAAAAAUAAAUUUUGAAAAGAUUUUCUUAUGUAGGGGUUUCACCAAUUCCCCAAAUUAAUAUACACGAAUUUAGCUUAGAAUUAUCCCAUUUAUUUGGGACUACAAGCUUUGAUUCGUGUUUUUGUUCAAAACCAAAAAUUUUUGUUGAAAAUCAAGAAGGAUGCGAACCGAACAAGAUAUGGUUGCAUAUUAUUUUUAAAUAAAUAAAUAAAUAAAUAAAGGAGAUUUUGAUCCUGAGGACUUUAAUGAGUUUUUUUUUUUAAAAUAGAUUUUUAAAAUGAUUUUUUUGAGAAAAGUAUUUUAUUUUAAAAUAAAAGGGAUUAAUUUGGGAAAAAAAUAAAAUAUAAGAAAUAAAAUACCAAACAAAACAAAAAUGAAACCUCAAAGUAAAAUUUUUUUAGUAAUUAACAAAAAUGAUAAUGGUGAUGGUAGAGGGCAAUCUUCAUGAUUUUCCAAUGGCCUCAGAAAGAAAAUCAAAUUAAAUGAAGGAUCACUAACAGGCAAGACAUUCUAAAUUAGACAAACUAACAAAGUAUCAAUUCAUGAACUAACCGCUAGGAUUUUGAAAGCAUAUAAGCUAAGAUAAGGGUGAUCAGGAACUAAUAUUAAUGAUUUUGAAAUAAAAACUAAAAAAAAGGAUCAAUUCGGGUAAGGAACUAAAAUUAUAAAAGUACCUAAACUAAUUAUGACGAGUUUGACUAAAUUAAACUAAAAACAUGAACUUUCAAACAUAGAAUUAAUUUUACUAAUGAACCAAAGCAAACUAAAAAUAUGUACUUUCAAGCAUAGAAUUAAUUUUAUUGAUGAACUAAACUAUAACAAAUAUCUAAACUAAAUAUAAUGAAUCAAAUUAAAUUAAAGCAACUUAAAAACGCAAACUUUCAAACAUAGAAUCAAUUUUAUCAAUGAAUUAAAACUAUAAAUGUAUUUGAACUAAAUAGAUGAAUCAAACUAAAUCAGAGCAAAAUUAAAAAAAAAAAAGAACUUUCUAACAUGAAAUCAAUUUUAUCAACAAAUAAAUGAAUGAAUAACAAGUAAUUAAAAGAAUAGCUACUACAUGAAUAACUGAAUGAAUAAAAUUCAAAUGUUUUCAAUCUGAAGCAAUCAAUCAAAAUUAAAUAGGGAUCAAAUCAAAAUAAUCGAAAUCGGAAAAACAAUAUGCAAUCUUUCUAAAGGUUUAACCAGACAAUUGAAUUAAAAUUAUGAAUAGAAUAAAUUAAUAAACCAAAUCGAAACCUAAAUUGUACCUAAAAAGAUUAAUUAAUUAAACUAAGAAAUCAAAAUCAAUAACAAAACUAAACUAAGGAGUAAAUUAAGACAAGACUAAUUAAAUUAAACUCACAAACACGUUUUAACUAUCAUAUGGAUUAAAACAAAAUUAGCAUGGACUUAUGAAUUACGAACAAAAAUAAUCAAAACUAUUUUAAAAAACUCACCUCUAUUAUAAGAAAAAAUCUGCCUUUGAUGCGUUGAGGUGGCUCCCCUCUCUGUGUGGAUCUCUCUGCUCCCCAGAAAAAAAAUGUCUCUUCCUCCGUUCUCUUUUGUUUCAGCAAAAUAAUAUAUCCCCUGCUGUGGAUCUCUCUACUCCCAGAAAAUAAUAUAUUCUCUCCGUGUCCUAAAGUGGACCUAGGGUGCCUAAGUGGACCUAGGGUGCCUAAAUGGGCCUAGGGUGCCUAAAUGGGCCAAGUGUAUCUAAAUAGGCUUAGGGUGCCUAAGUGGGCCUAAGUCUAAGUGAGCCUAAGUCUAAAUCAAGACUACCAAGGAUCAUAAUAAGGGGUUAGGCAAUCCCUUAACCAAAGUCUCCAAGGUGGCUAAAAAAAAGUAAGUAGUAUGAGUAGCUAUGGGUCACCAAGGAACUACUGUGGAGCAUUGAAAACGAAUUUAAAGACAUGUGCCAAAGGGACAAAAUUGAGGGUCUACAGAUGGUUAGACACAUAGUUGCUCAUGGGAUAUUUGACUUUGGUAAACAAUUCAGAUUCAUAUGUGGGUUUAGGAAUACCUUUAUUAUGACGGUGUGGUAAUCGUUUCAUGAAUGGAUCAGGUUGCAAAUUAAGAACACCCUCAGCAAACAACGAUUGGUUUGGUAUUUCAGUGAAGACAUCUUCGAACCCAAAUUGUUGACCACUCAUAUCCAACUCACCCGCUUCCUGGUUCACUAGUUCAGAUUGUCCAAAUUCAUCAUUCUCAUAGAUAUGAUAAUCAUAAUCGAGAGUCUGAAUUUCCUUAUGGUACUCCCCCUGAAGUUCAGACUUAGAUGAAAAAUACAUCGAAUAUUCAUGAAACAGCNNNNNNNNNNNNNNNNNNNNNNNNNNNNNNNNNNNNNNNNNNNNNNNNNNNNNNNNNNNNNNNNNNNNNNNNNNNNNNNNNNNNNNNNNNNNNNNNNNNNNNNNNNNNNNNNNNNNNNNNNNNNNNNNNNNNNNNNNNNNNNNNNNNNNNNNNNNNNNNNNNNNNNNNNNNNNNNNNNNNNNNNNNNNNNNNNNNNNNNNNNNNNNNNNNNNNNNNNNNNNNNNNNNNNNNNNNNNNNNNNNNNNNNNNNNNNNNNNNNNNNNNNNNNNNNNNNNNNNNNNNNNNNNNNNNNNNNNNNNNNNNNNNNNNNNNNNNNNNNNNNNNNNNNNNNNNNNNNNNNNNNNNNNNNNNNNNNNNNNNNNNNNNNNNNNNNNNNNNNNNNNNNNNNNNNNNNNNNNNNNNNNNNNNNNNNNNNNNNNNNNNNNNNNNNNNNNNNNNNNNNNNNNNNNNNNNNNNNNNNNNNNNNNNNNNNNNNNNNNNNNNNNNNNNNNNNNNNNNNNNNNNNNNNNNNNNNNNNNNNNNNNNNNNNNNNNNNNNNNNNNNNNNNNNNNNNNNNNNNNNNNNNNNNNNNNNNNNNNNNNNNNNNNNNNNNNNNNNNNNNNNNNNNNNNNNNNNNNNNNNNNNNNNNNNNNNNNNNNNNNNNNNNNNNNNNNNNNNNNNNNNNNNNNNNNNNNNNNNNNNNNNNNNNNNNNNNNNNNNNNNNNNNNNNNNNNNNNNNNNNNNNNNNNNNNNNNNNNNNNNNNNNNNNNNNNNNNNNNNNNNNNNNNNNNNNNNNNNNNNNNNNNNNNNNNNNNNNNNNNNNNNNNNNNNNNNNNNNNNNNNNNNNNNNNNNNNNNNNNNNNNNNNNNNNNNNNNNNNNNNNNNNNNNNNNNNNNNNNNNNNNNNNNNNNNNNNNNNNNNNNNNNNNNNNNNNNNNNNNNNNNNNNNNNNNNNNNNNNNNNNNNNNNNNNNNNNNNNNNNNNNNNNNNNNNNNNNNNNNNNNNNNNNNNNNNNNNNNNNNNNNNNNNNNNNNNNNNNNNNNNNNNNNNNNNNNNNNNNNNNNNNNNNNNNNNNNNNNNNNNNNNNNNNNNNNNNNNNNNNNNNNNNNNNNNNNNNNNNNNNNNNNNNNNNNNNNNNNNNNNNNNNNNNNNNNNNNNNNNNNNNNNNNNNNNNNNNNNNNNNNNNNNNNNNNNNNNNNNNNNNNNNNNNNNNNNNNNNNNNNNNNNNNNNNNNNNNNNNNNNNNNNNNNNNNNNNNNNNNNNNNNNNNNNNNNNNNNNNNNNNNNNNNNNNNNNNNNNNNNNNNNNNNNNNNNNNNNNNNNNNNNNNNNNNNNNNNNNNNNNNNNNNNNNNNNNNNNNNNNNNNNNNNNNNNNNNNNNNNNNNNNNNNNNNNNNNNNNNNNNNNNNNNNNNNNNNNNNNNNNNNNNNNNNNNNNNNNNNNNNNNNNNNNNNNNNNNNNNNNNNNNNNNNNNNNNNNNNNNNNNNNNNNNNNNNNNNNNNNNNNNNNNNNNNNNNNNNNNNNNNNNNNNNNNNNNNNNNAACCAAAGGAAGCAUGUUCCAGACGUCGAUGCCACAACCAAAUUUCAGACUUUUUCUUCUCCUCCUUAGAUCCAUCUGCCAUCAAGGCUUGUUGCAACUUAUUUGAAUCCUUUGAUUGCAAGUCCAAGUAUAGAGUUUCCCCCGCUUAAUACGACAACCAAUCGUCUGUCUUGUUUGAAUGUCCUUAAUCACACAAAAUUCAGGCCAAAAAAUGACAAUACAAGAUAAGGCUGCAGUGAUUUGAGAAACUAACAAAAGAUUGUAAUCUAAAGAUGGAACAACUAAAACAGAAUCCAAAUUCAAAGUAUCAGUAAGAGUUAAGGAUCCUUCCCCAAUGACUGGGGUUGUGUUACCAUUGGCUGUGGAAACAAUUUUUUGUGAGGAAGGUCUAAGGGGUGAAACCUGUCUAGAAUCAAAAGUCAUAUGAUCUGUAGCACCAGAAUCAAUUAUCCAUGCACUAUUAAUAACAGGUGUAAAAGUAUUUAAAAACUUACCACAAUGAUCUGUAGCGGCUACUAAUGCAGAGACUUUCUCAACAACAUUAGUCUUUGUUUUUAUUUCGGUAACAGUUGCAAUCAAGGUUUUCUUGGAAUUCUUCUUCCGUUGAUCACGAUUAUUAUCAUUAAUAACAAAGUGUUGAUAGCCUAAACAUGAUCUAAAGGUCCAUGGUGCAAACCCUCGGUUCCUCAUUGUUUUCCUGGUCAUACCAAGAGUUGUUGCUUUGAAAUUGUGGGAUAUCCAGACUGGUGGGAUCAGUUUUAUUGCAGUGAGUGCAUUUGAAUGUUGACUUAUCAAUAUUAGGGCUUGUCUUCGGAUGGUUGAUUGCUGUUGGACUACCAUAGCGACAAAAUAUCCAGGAUUUCAAUUCCAGGGCUCUGAUACCAUCUUCAAAUUGAUGAAUGAUAGUUUUUCAUUCAUUCUUUCAUGUACAGAGUAUAUAUAGAGGGUAAUCACCAUUCUAAGAAUGGGAAAGAAUGAUACGAGGAAAUAAUGAUAUAAGGAAAUAAUAACUAAUAUCCUAAUAUCUCAACUUUCCUAAUAUCUCAAUAUUCCUAAUAUCUCAACUUUCCUAAUAUCUAAACAUUCAUAAUAUCUCAACACUAAAUGAUACAAGGAAAGAAUGAUAUAAGGAAAACAUUCCUAAUAUCUCAACACCACUUCAUGAUAUAUAUAGUUUCUUACCCUUAAUCAAUGGUUUCUAAGUGAAUUUAUAUAGAAAGAAAUCCAAACUGUAGACAGCAGUAUUGGUAACACUCAAUAUUCUGUAUAUAAUAGAAUAAAUAGCGUCACAGUGAUCGUCGCCUACAAGCAAGGUACAAAUACCACAAAGAGUGACCCACAUAGACAUUCCCCAACAAGAUGUAGUAGUGACUGACACAUAGCCACAAUUAACACGUAGAAAAGGAUAAGACCGGUGCACAGUAGCUCUUAUUUUACAUACUACUUAUGCCAACCAAAGUCACUCAGUUGGGAUGGGAGGGAGAUGGAGGUUUGUGCGGUGGCUUGUGGGGCGGAGUUGAUGGCUUCUUUCCAGGAGCUUCUGGCUUUUUCAUCGGAGCUGAAGGAGGCUCAAUCUUAUGAGGCGGCUUGUACGAGUCUUCUUUGCUCUCGAAAGGAGGGUGGCCAGGGUUGUGACCAUAAUGUGGUGGUUUCUCUCCCUUGGGAGGUUUACCAAUUGGGGUUGGUGGCUUGUGUUCUGGGAGUGGUUUCUCUCCCUUGGGAGGUUUAGUGGGUGACUUGUGUUCUGGAGGUGGCUUCUCCACCGAAGGCUUGUGCUCCGGUGGUGGCUUUUUGGUUGGAGGGGGCUUGGGGUAAUCAGCAAGAGAUGGGGUGGUGAGAACCACCAGUCCAAGGAACAACACUAGCAAGUAUGUGGGAGACAUUUUUGAGUUUGGGCUGAUCAGAUGAUGCAAAACUAAAGCAUUACGUGACCUUUUAUAGCAAGUAGCUCCCAAUACCUACUUGACACGUGUUACUGUGACCCAUAAAUAUUAUGGGGUCUAUUUGUGCCCUACCGGGUUGAAAACUUGGACAAUUGGGCAAGGACCCGCCUGACUAUGGAGGACUACUGAGGUGUGAUCACAGCUUUAGGAUUUUUCUUCCUCUGCAGCCGUCUUGCCGUUGGCAUGAUUUUCUUAAUCUCAAAUAAAGGCAUAGUUAUAGAGUUGUUUAAUCUCUAAAUGGGAUUUUAUAUAUCUUCAGAUAGCCAUUAAUACAUUUGAUGAAGAAAGAAAGACAAGUGCAUACAACAUGUAUACGACUAGCUUUCAUGGAGUUCAUUUAUGAUCAGUUUUCCUGUACAUGUAAACCAAGAUCAUAUAUGUUUUUGUUCCACAACAAUUUUGGAAUCUUGUUUAUCCGUUUUUAUCAUUAUAAUGUCACAUAGGCUGCCAACUUGGGCGCUAAAUUAAAGAUCCAGUUGGGCAAGUUCGUUUCAGAAUUUCAAUGGUGGAUUCAGGAAUUGUUUUAUAAGAUAUGCAAAAUAGUAGAGGGAUGAAUAGUGUUUCAUUAAGAAAAGAGCCCUGUAAAAAUAUUGUUUAAAGGUGCCAUAGAAACUAUAAUCAAUAAAUAACUUUUUUUCCCCAUGGGUGGUGUUUCUUGUGGGGAUCAGUGACUGGUUUGAGUCAACGCCGUGUCUCUUUAGUCCAGAAAUCAACUAUUUUAUGCAUUGAAUACAUCAACAAAGAAAAUAUGAAAGCCAAAUGACACCUCCCCCGCAAAAACUAAACCCUGGUUGCUAACUUUCUAUGUUUCAGUUCCAUUCACACAAGAAUAUUAGUUCAAGUUUGAGAAAAAUGGCGACUUACCUAGUGAUAACUCGGUCUUGGUUUGCGAUUUGACUUUAACGUCAUGGGUUGAAGCCUCCUACAAUCAUCGUGUAUGCUAGUUCAAAGCUCGUGGAAGAAGUUAUACAGGGAGGGAGAAACCUCCACAGCAAGCUCCAAAAGAGAAUUAUCACAUUGAAAGCUCCAGUUGAACACUGGGUGAAAGCCAUAACAAGAUUGGUUUUCUAUCGCUCUUUUAAGUAAUGGAAGAUUAUUAUCUCUGCUUGUCACUACAACCGUGCAUGCUGCUAGAUCUUUCUAGACACUUCAAACAGUGAAACCAAGUAUGAUUCUUUUUCUCUUGAGUGGGUCCACUUGCAUGCCAAUGAACGAGUUGAAAAGUUGGACAAUUGGCCACAGCGCGCACUUACCUUCUGGAACCGAAGGUCAGUGAAGUGGGGUUCCUUUUGGCCCCUUGUGUUUCUGUUCCAACCUACUCCAGGAACCGAAGUUCAGUGAAGUGGGGCUACUUUUGGCCUCUUGUGUUUCUGUUCCAACCAAACAAAAAUGGGAGGGAAAAAUAGCAUUAUGCUUGUGCUAAAGAUCAACGCAUGAUAGCUGAAUAAGGGAGAAAAAGGCAUUGCUAUCUCAAUUUCAUAAACUUGAUAAGUAGUGACAUUAAUAGUCUUCCUCAUAGAUGGAUACAUGGUUUUAUUUUAUUUAUUUAUUUUUAUUUUUUUGUUUUAUGUCAAUGCUAAUGAAUGAAGUGCAUUAGCUUGUUUUGUGACUAGAACUACAAAUGUCCAAAUUGGAGCUUCUCCAAUAUAUUUCUCAGUGAGUUAUUGAUUAGAACUCUUGGAUUGAGUUCCAAGAUUUGAAUCAGACCCCUCUAGCAGCUUCAGGGGUACGUAGCAACCUAUAGCAUAUUAAUGAAGACUUAGGAUUUAGACUUAGGAAUACAAAUUAAUAUGUACCUCAUGCUCUGACUAGCUUCCCUGCGUAUGCACAAAAUGGAGAUGACUCCCAAAAAAAUAGCAGAAUCGCCUUAGUAUGUUUUUGUGGUUAAGAUGAUUCUCCACUUUAUAUAUCCACAUUGGUUCAUUAUGCAAAUUAAUCAACUAAGCUAUUUUUAUUUUUUCUUAAAUGUGAAAUAGGAGCUCCAAAUUAACCUAACCAUUGGCCUGAUUGAAUUGAUUUCACUUGCAUAAUGUUAUAGUAGAAGUCCGUAAUUUGAAUUUUAUUUUUGCAAAAGGUAACGUAAAUGAAGCAUUGUAAUUAAAUUUAUUUGUAAUUACAAACUAAUUUUAUUUUAUUAAGAAUUAAUUUAAUUACUCAUUUAAAAUAAAAAUCAGUUAUACUUUUACCAAGAUGAUAAUAUUCAUAUUUUUCUAGUUAACAUAUAUAAAAUAGUACACUUUUUCAUAUAAAAAAAUAAUUUAUGAUUUAUUAUAAUGUUACUAUUCACAUUUUACUAAAUUGAUGGUACAUGAUAGUGAGAGAAGGGGGUGUCACACUCAGCUAAAGUUCUUUUCAAAAUAUUGCAUGGUGUUUAAUUUUAUGUGUCGGCGCGCGUGUGAAUGGAACCUGCAAAAGUCCAAAUUGGCGUUUCUCCAUUUUCCACAUAGGAUGGUGACGUUAAUAGACAAAGAUACAAUAUCUGUAGACAUUGCUUAAAAAUCGAUGUGAAGUAUUAGAAAUUACAGGGCACUGUACUGGGGGAGCGGCUGCCCCGCCAAAGGAGGAAGAAUGUAGCAAUUUCUUCUGUUAGCCAGGCCUUAGGAUUUAUGCAUGGGAUGCCUAAUAACAAACAGAGAAAAUAUACUUUUGGGGAAGGUAUCCAACAACAGACACCAUCAUUCAGAUGGUGGGAAGGUAUCCAACAGAUGCCAUCAUUCAGAUGGUAACAUAUAUAUACAUUUAUUAGUGAGUUUUUUUAAUACCUAUAAAAAAAAAUAUACACUUUGAUAUUGUGGCUGAAUCCAUUACAUACUCAACUAACCUUGCUCAUUAGGGAUUUGACUUAACAAGGGCAACGUUGCAGUACAAGCUCAAAACUUUAUGCAGGUGACAUUACAUUUGGUAAAGAAGAGGAAAAUAACGAAAGCCAUCCAUAAAAGCAAAAUUCCACAUGGGAUGAAAUUCACAAGCUUCAUUUACGAUAGAGUCGCAUCCAGGCAAUUAAUUCCACAUUAGACCGCCUGUUGACAUGUGUACCAAUCUUUUUUCAAAAAAUAUUUAUAAAUAAUUGAUACUCACAAAAAUAAUUUAAUAUUUAUAAAGGAUAAAAAAAUAUUUUCAAAUCUAUAACAAUUUAUAAAAUAUUAAUAAAAAAUUAUCUCUUAAACUUAGUAUAGUUUUAUCAGAUUAAACUUUUAUUUUGAACAAAUAAUUUUAAUCUAAGUUUUAAAUUCUAAAAUUAUUUCCUUAAAAUAAAAUUUUAAAAUUCAACACUUCAAUUGAAAUUGUCUUUUUAAAAAAUAUCUUCUUAUUUUAAUCCUUAUAAACUAUAGUUGAUUGAAAAUACUAUUGAAGUUCUCUCUUAAAAAAAAGUCUUAUUUUAAUCUUCAUAAAUUGCCCUUGAUUUGAAAAUAAAUUUUCAGUUAUCAUAUUUUAAAUAAUAUCUAUAUUUAAAAUACUCUAUUUAAAAAAAAAUGAACUAAUUUUAAUUAUAUUAUAUUUUAUUUUUUUAUAUAUUUUUAAUGAUAAACCAAACAUAGAAAAUCAUUUUUCUAAAUAUUUUAAAAUUUCUAAGCAACCAAACAUAAUCUUCAAAAUAAAAGGAAAAUAAGGAGGGACAUUUGAGAAAUGGCGAUUAAAAAAAAGUGUACAAAAGCUCAAUUAAUUUUCUUCUAGUCUUUUAUAUAAAAAAGUAAAGGAAUUGAAAAGUAUUGAUAUGUAAAUUAAUAUUUGGAUUUUAAUAGUAUUUUAUUUGUCUUUCUCUAUCUCAUGUAAAAGAGAAUUUAAGAUAUUUCCUAAAGCAAAGCAUUAGUUAUCUGCAAUCAGUGGUGAUCAUGCCCCAUGUCAAUUUCGGACCCAUAUCUUAAAACUGUAUAAUUUGCAUUCAAACAUUACUGAUUUCUCAGAUGUUUCAUACUCCACAGAAGAGCAUUGUUUGUGAAAGCAUGCAUUUAUGUUGGAUUUUGGAUGAUGUGGGAACUGGGGCAAGGAUCAUAUGGAAGAGUGGUCGAUUUUGUUCUGUACUUUAACAUUUGAAAUAGGAGAAGCUCGGGCAUUUGUGGGGCUUAAUUGAUUUUGAAGCCUGAAAUUGCGUUUCUGUCAUUUUGUAAAAAAUAUGGCAGAUUCCAUGCUCUCAUAUGUUUGGUCUGUGGCCAUGUAUAGAUGCCCCUUAGUGACCAGUUUGUAACUGUCAAUCAUAGUGUUUUGACUCUGGCUCAACAACAUCAGCCAUUGACGGAUUUUCAUACUUGCAAAUCAAAUAGUCUUCUUCCUCCCUUAGGAAUUUCGGUUUAAAUGUUAUUAAGCAUACAUUUGGCUGACAAUUAUUAACCACUUCAUGAUAUGGUUUCUUACCCUUAAUCAAUGGUUUCUAAGUGAAUAUAUGCAGAAGGAAAUCUGAACUGUAGACAGCAGUAUUGAUAACUCUCAAUAUUCUUUAUAUAAGAGAAUAAACAACGUCAUAGUGAUCGUCGCCUACAAGAAAGGUACAUUUCCCAACAAGAUGUAGUUGUGACUGGUACAUGGACGCAAUUAACUCGUACAAAAGAAUAAGACCAGUGCACGGCAGCUCUUAUUUUACAUGCUAAUUAUGCUAACCAAAGUCACUCAGUUGGGAUGGGAGGGAGAUGGAGGUUUGUGCGGUGGCUUGUGGGGCGGAGUUGGUGGCUUCUUUUCAGGAGCUUGUGGCUUUUUCGGAGCUGAAGGAGGCUCAAUCUUAUGAGGCGGCUUGUACGAGUCUUCUUUACUCUCGACAGGAGGGUGGCCAGGGUUGUGACCAUAAUGUGGUGGCUUCUCUCCCUUAGGUGGCUUGCCAACUGGGGUUGGUGGCUUGUGUUCAGGAAGUGGUUUCUCUCCCUUGGGAGGUUUACCAAUUGGGGUUGGUGGCUUGUGUUCUGGGAGUGGUUUCUCUCCCUUGGGAGGUUUAGUGGGUGACUUGUGUUCUGGAGGUGGCUUCUCCACCGGAGGCUUGUGCUCCGGUGGUGGCUUCUCCACCGGAGGCUUGUGCUCCGGUGGUGGCUUCUUGAUUGGAGGGGGCUUGGGGUAAUCAGCAAGAGAUGGGAUGGUGAGAACCACCACUCCAAGGAACAACACUAGCAAGUAUGUGGGAGACAUUUCUGAGUUUGAGCUGAUCAGAUGAUGCAAAACUAGAAGAAUUACGGGACCUUUUAUAGCAAGUAUCUCCCAAUACCCACAUGACACGUGUUACUAUGACCAUAAAUAUUAUAGGGUCCAUUUGUGCCCUACCGGGUUGAAAACUUGGACGCUUGGCCGAGGACACACCUGACUAUGGAGGACUAUUGACGUGUGAUCACAGCUUUUGGAUUUUUCUUCCUGUGCAGCUGUCUAGCGGUUGGCAUUAUUUUCUUAAUCUUAAAUAAAGGCAUAGUUAUAGAGUUGUUUAAUCUCUAAAUGGGAUUUUAUAUAUCUUCAGAUAGCCAUUAAUAUAUUUGAUGAAGAAAGACAAGUGCAUACAACAUGUAUACGGCUUGCUUCAAUCGAGUACAUUUAUGAUCAGUUUUCCUGUGCAAGUAAACCAGUUUUUUGUUCCACAACUAUUUUGGAAUCUUGUUUAUCAGUUUCUAUCAUUAUAAUGUCACAUAGGCUGCAAACUUGGGCACCCAAAGAUCUAGGUGGGCAAAUUUGUUUCAGACUUUCAAUGGUGGAUUCAGUAAUUGUUAAAAGGUGUUUCUUCAUUAAGGAAAGAGUCCGGUAAAAAUAUUGUUAAAAGGUGUCAUAGAAACUAUAAUAAAUAAAUAACUUCUUUUCCCCAUGGGUGGUGUUUCUUCUGGGGAUCAGUGACUGGUUAGGGUCACCCAAAAUGAGUCCAGAUUAAAAUUGGUUCGAGUCAAAGCAGUCUCUUUUGUCCAGAAAUCAACUAUUUUGCGCAUUGAAUGAAUCGAUAAAGAAAAAAUGAAAGCCAAAUCACACCUCCCCUGCAAAACCUAAACCCCGGUUGCUAACUUUCUAUGUUUCAGUCCUAUUCAUAUAGGAAUAUUGGUUCAAGUUUGAGAAAAAUGGCAACUUACCUAGGGUUUACUUGGUUUUGGUUUGCGACUAUUUACGCAACCAACCAUGAGUUUGACUUUAACGUCAUGGGUUGAAGCCUCCUACAAUCAUGUAUGAUAGUUCAAAGCUCGUGGAAGAAAUUAUACAGGAAGGAAGAAACCUCCAAAGCUAGCUCCAAAAGAGAAUUAUCACAUCGAUAGCUCCAGAGAUUCCCAAGGGAACUGAAUCAAAGACAAGUUCCUCACUUUUUCUUCUUUUGAGGCCAAAUAUGAACCAAGGAUCACACGACCUCAUUCAACUUCAUAAGUUUGAUUUCAUGCAGUUGAACACUGGGUGAAGGCCAUGACAAGAAUUGAUUAAAAAAUUCUACCACUCUUUUAAGUAAUGGAAGAUUAUUAUCUCUGAUUGGCACCACAACAGCACAUGCUGCUAGAUCUUUCUAGACACUCCAUGCAAUGAAAGCACAAUGGAUCUUGUAAUGAUAGAAACUAAGCCAUGCUACAGUACUAGAUGAGGGGGUAAAACUAGUAGACAUCUUUCUAGACACUCCAUGCAAUGAAAGCACAAUGGAUCUUGUAAUGAUAGAAACUAAGCCAUGCUACAGUACUAGAUGAGGUGGUAAAACUAGUAGACAUGGCUGGCAGUUGAUUACUACUCAAAAAGUACUCUUUUAUAGCUUGAAACUAACUGUUUUAAACACUUUUGAGUAGUAGUUAAUACCUUUUAACUUAAUUGGCACAUUAAGGAACCUAGCAAGGGUUACUAAUCAACAUUUGGCAAGUUUUGAUGUUUUUGGUAGCUAUUUGAUCAUUGAAACAAGCCAAGAAUGAGGGGGAAUUUUGUGAAGUCCAUGGCAAUGCAAGUUAAAGCUCAAAUACAUGAAGAAUCCAAGCUUUGGAGCACUUCAUAGCCCUUUGCCAAGCCAAUCAAAGAUGCAAGGAAGAAAACCAAAGGAAGAAAUCCAACAAUCAGCAUUUUGGCAUGGCUAUGUGAAAUUUCGCACACCAUGCGAAACCACAAGAGGCAGCCAAAGAAUUUCGCAUGGUAUGCGAAAUCUUCUUGUGCACUGACUCUGUUAGAUUUUUAUCUUCAGAUAUUUUGUGUAAUUUCCUAGUUUCUCCUUGUAACCAACUUAGAUAUUUUCUUUUAUAUCUUUUUUUAUAUUUUUUAGGUAACAUCAUAUAUAAGAGGAGAGACAUAAGGAGGAUAUGGAUGUUUUUCAUAGAACACUUGUAAAUUUUUGGUAGUAAGAAAUAUACAAAGCUUUUUGCUCUGCCUUACCUUCUCAAGGGAUGAGUGGCUAGGUUUUCUUGGAGUGAGGGAAGCUAGGUGAAGGACCUGAAUGCAAAGGUGGGAGUUUUCCUUACUUUAAAUGAAAGUAGUUGUUAAACAUUAAUGGUUUUUAUUUUAAGGUUUAGCUUUAAAUCCCUGAAAAACACCUUGAAUGGCCAAUACUUGGUAAGCUUUUUAGAUUCUAUGGAUGCUUAUUGCUAGAUCCAUGGAUGUCUAUUAGUUAUCAUUUACGAGCCAUUGGAAGGUGAUUCAAGGUGAGGGUCUUUAGUGUUUGAAGCCAUUAAUGGGAAGCAAUUACCAUUUUUUCAUGAAUCCUUUGGAUCAAAUCUUAAUUGCUAAAUAUAAAACCGGUUUCGAGAGAUAACCACCAUCCUUUAUGUUAUUAUCCCCAACGCGAGGAGAAGAUCCGAAAUCUUCCUUUUUAUCUAAGGAACCCGAUCCUAGUGACCUAAAGCUCCAAGAUACCUUUUCUUUGUAGUUAACUUCAUUUAUUGUUUUUGCUUAACUUAAAAUCAAUCUUUGCAACCACAAUUCCAUUUUCUUUAAAAGCUAAUUUUUAUAAGGAAAAACACCAUUUUAUUUCCUUCACUAAGUCAACUGUACGAUGAAAACCCAUCCCUGUGGACGAUCCUAGAGCCACUAUACUAUGUUAGCUAUGCUACCCUAGUGUGAGGUGAUUUAGGUUUUAUAAAUUUUUUUGAUAACACCCAUCUGAGCCAGAAUCAAAUGGCACGACUGAACCAGGGACGAAUCAAAUGACGCCGCUACCAAGGAUGGUGCCAAAGUACAUUGACAUGACUUUUGGUGAACACUUGUGAUCUUCACCACAAGUUUGGUGAUUUUUCUUUUACUAAUUUUUUUUAUUUUAGCUUAUCUUUUAUUUAGUUUUUAGUUAACCUUAAAUUUUUCCUAGAAUUGUAUUUCUUUUGUUUUCUUUGUUUUUGUUUCAGUGAUCUUUAGUUGUGCAUGCCCUAUUGGAUAAGAGAUAUUGAGGGAAUACUUGUGAAGAUUGAAACUCCUCGAGAAACUGAGUUAGAAGUGUGCUUGAACAUCAUGGAUGUUCCACCUGAAGACCAGAAUAGCCAACAUGGUUAAGAGGAUAAUUUCAACACAUACCGAUCCAUGAGGAACCGCAUACAUCCACCUUGUAUGAGUGCACCGUCAGGCAUAAUGCCUCCCACUGAGCAGCUAGUAAUCUGACCUCACAUUGUGCCACUCCUACCUACUUUCCAUGGGAUGGAGAGUGAGAAUCCCUACUCGCAUAUUAAGGAAUUCGAGGAGGUUUGUAAUACAUUCCAAGAAGGAGGAGCUUCAAUUGACUUGAUGAGGCUCAAGCUAUUUCCUUUCACUUUGAAGGAUAAGGCCAAGAUUUGGCUUAAUUCUUUAAGGCCAAGAAGUAUCCAAACUUGGAUUGAUUUGUAAGCCGAGUUUCUUAAGAAGUUCUUCCCUACCCAUAGGACCAAUGGUUUGAAAAGGCAAAAUUUGAACUUCUCAGUUAAAGAGAAUGAGAAAUUCUAUGAGUGUUGGGAGAGCUACAUGGAAGCUAUUAACGUUUGUCCUCACCAUGGCUUUGACACAUGGCUCUUAGUGAGCUAUUUUUACAAUGGUAUGUCUUCUUCAAUGAAGCAACUCCUAGAAACUAUGUGUGGAGGAGACUUCAUGAGUAAGAAUCCGGAGGAAGCCAUGGACUUUUUGAGUUAUGUGGCUGAAGUUUCAAGAGGAUGGGAUGAACCAAAUGCUAGAGAGGUGGGAAGAAUGAAGUCUCAACCUAAUGCUAAGGGUGAGAUGUAUGUUUUGAAUGAAGACAUUGACAUGAAAGCAAAGGUUGCAGCUAUGGCAAGGAGAUUGGAAGAGCUAGAAAUGAAGAACAUACAAAAAGUGCAAGCCAUUUCUGAGACAUCAAUGAAAGCUAUGCCUUGUUCCAUUUGUCAAUCUUAUAAGCACCUAGUGGAGGAGUGUCCUACAAUUCCAGCAGUGAGAGAGAUGUUUGGUGAUCAAGCAAAUGUUAUUGAUCAAUUCAAGCCUAAUAACAAUGCUUCAUAUGGCAACACCUACAAUUCAAAUUGGAGGAACCAUUCAAAUUUCUCUUGGAAACGAAAGCCACCUCAAUACACACAACCUACUCAAGCACCUUAGCAAUCCUCGAAUCUUGAACAAGCUAUUGUGAACCUUAGCAAGGUUGUGGGAGACUUUGUGGGAGAUCAGAAGUCCAUCAAUGCUCAACUGAAUCGGAGAAUUGACAGUGUGGAGAGUACAUUGAACAAAAGGAUGGAUGAGAUGUAAAAUGAUCUGUCUCAAAAGAUAGACAAUGUCCAAUACGUAAUCUCAAGGCUUACCAACCUCAACACAGUGUAAGAGAAAGGAAAGUUUCCUUCUCAACCUCAUCAAAAUCCUAAGGGUAUCCAUGAAGUAGAGGCUCAAGAGGGAGAAUCUUCAAAGGUGAGGGAAGUCAAAGUAGUUAUCACCUUGAAGAGUGGUAAAGAGGUUGAUCAACCCACAUCCAAGCCAAAGCAUAAUGAAGAGAGUGUAGCAGAAAAAGAAAAGAGAGGAAAAUAAAGGAAUUAGAAUAGAGAAAAAUACAAAGAAAGAUGACCAUGAGUCUAGUGUGGAUGAAGAGCCCGAGAGGAUGGUGAUCAAGGAAGAUAUGAUGAAGAAACACAUGCCUCCACCUUUCCCCUAAGCUUUGCAUGACAAAAAAAGAACCAAUAAUACAUCAGAAAAUUUUGAAGUAUUGAGGCAAGUGAAGGUCAAUAUCCCUUUGCUAGACAUGAUCAAACAAGUGUCGACAUAUGAAAAAUUCUUGAAGGACUUGUGCACUGUAAAGAGAGGGUUGAAUGUGAACAAGAAAGCUUUAUUGACCGAGCAAGUGAGUUCCAUCAUACAGUGCAAGUCCUAGUGAAGUACAAAGAUCCGGGUUGCCGUACCAUCUCAGUGAGUAUUGGAAGGACUUGUGUGGAGAAAGCUUUGUUGGACUUGGGAGCAAGUGUGAAUUUGCUAUCCUACUCUGUCUAUAAGCAGUUGGGAUUUGGAGAGUUGAAGCCAAUAUCCAUCACUCUAUCUCUAGCGGAUAGAUCAAUGAAGAUUCCAAGAGGGAUGAUCGAAGAUGUCCUGGUUCAAGUUAACAAAUUCUACUAUCCAGUAGAUUUUGUUGUUCUUGAUAUGGAUCCGGUUGUCAAAUGAACUAAUUAUGUUCCUAUCAUACUUGGAAGACCCUUCCUAGCUACAUCAAAUGCAAUCAUCAAUUGUAGGAAUGGAGUCAUGCAACUCACAUUUGUCAACAUGACAUUAGAGCUCAACAUCUUCCAUUUGUACAAGAAGCAUAUCCAUCAGGAGGAAAAAGAAGGUCUAGAGGAAGUGUGAAUGAUUGACACUUUAGUGGAAGAGCAUUGUGAUCGAGAAUGCAAAAAGAUUUAGUUGAGAAUUUUGGGGAUCUUGAUGAAAGGUUACUUGAACCCUCAGAUUUGCUUGCUACCCUACUCCAUUGGAAGAGAAGAGAAGAAAUUCUACCCUUAUUCAAUGAGGAGGAGACGCAAAGAGCUGCAAAGGAGAAACCCCCAAAACUUAUUCUUAAGCCACUACCCACAGAGUUGAAGUAUGUAUACUUGGAAGAAGACAAGAAGUGCCCUAUUGUUAUAUCUUCAACUCUUACCAUUCAUCAGGAGGAUUGUCUACUUGAAGUCCUUAGAAGAUGUAAGAAGACAAUAAGGUGGCUAAUUUCUUAUUUGAAAGGGAUCAGCCCUUUAGUCUGCACCCAUCAUAUUUACAUGGAGGAUGAAGCUAAGCUAAUUCAUCAACCUCAGAGAAGGUUGAACCCUCACAUGCAAGAGGUGGUUCGAGCUGAAGUUCUGAAGCUACUUCAGACCAGUAUUAUUUACCCCAUAUCAAAUAGCCCAUGGGUGAGUCCUACUCAAGUUGCGCCAAAGAAGUCUGGGAUCAUGGUGGUGCAAAAUGAUAAGGGAGAAGAUGUCUCUACACGCCUCACUACAGGUUGGAGGGUGUGUAUCAAUUACAGGAGGUUGAAUGCAGUGAUAAGAAAGGACCAUUUCUCAUUGCCCUUUAUUGAUCAGGUGCUUGAGAGGGUCUCUGGGCUUUUUUUUUUAUUGUUUCUUGGAUGGCUACUCCGGGUACUUUCAGAUAGAAAUUGAUGUUGAAAACCAAGAUAAGACCAUUUUCACAUGCCCAUUUGGAACCUAUGCAUAAAGGAGAAUGCCUUUCGGCUUAUGCAAUGCACCCGCAACUUUCCAAAGAUGCAUGUUAAGCAUUUUCAGUGAUAUGGUGGAGCGUAUUAUGGAAGUCUUUAUGGAUGAUAUCACCAUUUAUGGAAGUGCAUUUGAUGAAUGCUUGGUCAACUUAGAAGCUGUUCUGAACCGAUACAUUGAGAAAGACUUAGUGCUUAACUGGGAGAAGUGCCAUUUCAUGGUACACCAAGGGAUUGUCCUUGGGCACAUUAUCUCCAAGCAAGGCAUUGAAGUUGACAAAGCAAAGGUUGAACUCAUUGUUAAGUUGCCAUCCUCAACAAAUGUCAAAGGAGUAAGGCAAUUCUUUGGCCAUGUCGGGUUCUAUAGGAGGUUUAUCAAGGAUUUCUCUAAGCUUGCAAGGCCUCUUUGUGAAAUAUUGGUGAAUGAUGUUAAAUUCAUAUGGGAUGAUGGAUUUGAAAGGAGUUUUGAAGAAUUGAAGCUAUUUUUGACAACCGUACCAAUAGUGAGGGCUCCCAACUGGCAACUGCCCUUUGAAGUAAUGUGUGAUGUCAAUGAUUUUGCUAUAGGAUUUUUUCUUGGGCAAAGAGAAAAUGGAAAACCUUAUGUGAUCUACUAUGCGAGGAAGGCAUUGAAUGAGGCACAAAGAAACUACACAACCACCGAGAAAGAAUUGUUAGCUGUAGUUUUUGCCUUGGAUAAGUUUCGCGCUUACUUGGUGGGGUCCUUCAUCAUGGUUUUUACUGAUCACUUUGCUUUGAAGUAUCUGUUGACUAAGCAAGAUGCUAAAGCAAGGCUGAUUAGAUGGAUUCUCUUACUUCAAGAGUUCAAUCUCCAUAUCAAAGAUAAGAAAGGAGUGGAGAAUGUGGUAGCAGACCACAUUUCAAGGCUAGCUAUCGCACAUAAUUCCCAUGCUUUGCCCAUUAAUGACGAUUUUCUAGAGGGGUCUCUCAUGUUGGUGGAAGUUGUCCCUUGGUACGCUCACAUUGCUAACUACCUGGUCACGGGAAAAGUUCCAAGUGAGUGGAAAGCACAAGAUAAGAAGCACUUCUUUGCAAAAAUUCAUGCCUACUAUUGGGAAGAGCCAUUUCUAUUCAAGUAUUGUAUGGAUCAGAUAAUAAGGAAGUGCGUUCCUGAAGAAGAGCAACAGGGGAUCCUUAGUCAUUACCAUGAAAAUGCAUGUGGAGGCCACUUUGCUUAUCAAAAGACAGCCAUGAGGGUGUUGCAAUCGGGUUUCUGUUGGCCAUCACUUUUCAAAGAUGCCCACACCAUGUGCAAGAGUUGUGAUCGAUGCCAGAGGCUUGGGAAGUUGACACGCAGGAACAUGAUGCCUUUGAACCCCACUUUAAUAGUUGAUAUUUUUUAUGUUUGGGGCACUAACUUCAUGGGACCUUUCCCUAUGUCUUUUGGCUACUCUUACAUCUUGGUAGGAGUAGAUUAUGUUUCUAAGUGGGUUGAGGCAGUCCCAUGCAAACACAAUGACCAUAGAGUGGUUCUCAAGUUUCUUAAAGAGAAUAUCUUCUCAAGAUUUGGGGUGCCCAAAGCCAUAAUUAGUGAUGGGGGUACUCAUUUUUGCAACAAGCCUUUUGAAACUCUCCUAGCCAAGUAUGGGGUGAAGCAUAAGGUAGCUACACCUUACCACCCUCAAACUCAUGGACAAGUUGAGUUAGCAAACAGGGAGAUUAAAAACAUAUUGAUGAAGGUGGUGAACACAAACAGAAAAGAUUGGUCAGUCAAGCUUCUUAAUUCACUAUGGGCAUAUAGAACAACUUACAAGACCAUUCUCGGGAUGUCUCCUUAUCGCCUAGUUUAUGGCAAAGCAUGCCAUCUCCCUGUGGAAUUGGAAUACAAAGCUUGGUGGGCAAUCAAGAAGCUCAACAUGGAUUUGAGCAGAGCUGGGUUGAAGAGGUUCUUAGACCUUAAUGAGAUGGAGAAAUUGAGAAAUGAUGCCUACAUCAAUUCAAAAAUUGCAAAAGAAAAAUUGAAGAGGUGGCAUGAUCAGUUGAUUUCCCGCAAGGAUUUUCAAAAUGGACAAAGAGUCUUACUUUAUGACUCUAAACUCCACAUCUUUCCGGGCAAGCUGAAAUCAAGGUGGAUAGGUCAUUUUACCAUUCACCAAGUGCAUUCAAAUGGAGUAGUGGAACUACUCAACUCCAACAAUAUCGAGAACUUCAAAGUGAAUGGCCACCGUCUCAAGCCCUUUGUGGAGUCUUUUUCUCACAACAAGGAGAAAUUCAUCCUCCUUGAUCCACAUCAAGCUUAACAAGACCAAUUUUCUUGAUGGACUUAGUCUUUCUAAAGACUAUCGAGUCCAUAACUUUUUGUUUUAUUUUUUAUUUGAGAUUUUUUCGGUAUUGUUACUUGUUUUGUUUUUUAUUUUUCGUUUUAAUUUUAUUUGGUUUGAUUUAACUUAGGUUUUUGAUGAUCAAUUACAGGGGGGAUUUCAAAUAGAGGAAAAACCAAGAUAAUUCGCACACCCUACGAAAAUUUCGCAAGGCAUGCGAAAUUUAUGGCUUAUUUUGCAUGGGGUGAAAAUUUUCGUACAUCUUACGAACCAAUUUCGAACACUUUGCGAAAAUAAACCAACCCUGCGAAAUCAUUUCGAUUACUCUACGAAAUUUUCGUAGAGCAUGCGAAAAAUUUAGCACACCAAACACCAUUUCGCAUACUAUGCAAAAACCUAAGGGGUCUGCGAAACCAUUUCGCACCUCCAAAUCCAUUUCGCACAUUGUGCGAAAACCAAGAGGCGCUGUGCGAAAAUGAAAAGUCGCCCUGUCAUCCCUUUUUAAACCCCUCGAGCCCUAAAAUCUCCAUUUCGCAAGCACCCCUGUCCUUGCGAAUCCCUCAUUUUCCUCUACUACCUUGCAACCUCGUCCCUUUCCAUUUGAUAUUGUGCCCCGCGCACAUCUCAUUUCAGAGACUCGCACUCCGCGCCCCCUCAAAGCAUGGACUCGAGACCCACCUUCCAUUUCCGACGUGGCACGGACCCAAGGAGCCCUUUCUGCCCCUUCACUAAGACACACACCAAGGCAGAAAGCCUCCUUUGCUCAAGUGCCUAGUGAUUCUCCAUCUUAGGCCUCAGAGGCCUCGGAGGCCCCGUGGAUUCCACCUUCCGAGGGUAGAGCAGCCAUUGGUCCUUCCUCUUCUACUCCUUAGCGUAGAUACGAGACGAGGAGACCACCUACUACACAAGGGGCGACUACUUCGAGCCUUGAGAAUUCAGUACGAUGCCUUCCUGCCAAGAGGGUCAAGACUUCAGGUCCAAGUGAGUCAUCCAGAGCUUCAUAGCCUAAGCCUCCUGUAGAUUCCAAGGUUCCUACUGACAUAUCACCGGAGUCUAUUAUCAGAAGCCCGAUGCUCAUAGCACCGCCCAUUGAGGGCAACUCAGAUUAUAGAGCGAGAUCUUUCCACUUGGAGCUAUAUUUUGAUCAGGAGGCCAUACGACAGCAGCCUGAGCUCCGAGACUCUUAUGGCUUACUGCAGAGGUACCAUCUUGAGGAACUUAUGACUCCUCGUGAGUUUUUUUAUCCCAGAGUAGCACUAAACUUUUACCAGUCCAUGACUACUCGUGGCGUCCCGAGUCCUACCACGAUUCACUUCACCAUUGAUAGACGUCAUGGUAUCCUCAAGGCCAGACAUAUUACAGAGGCUCUACAAAUUCCUUUCGAGCUAGAGGAUCCAUCUGUUUUUCGCUAAUGGUCCCCAGUAUCUCAGAGGGACAUGGUCCGUAUUUUAUCUAGGGGAACAUCUACAGAUUCGAUCUUUCUACGGAAGGAGCUUCGACCUGGGAUGCUCCUCUUAGAUGUGGUGCUAUGCUCCAACCUCUUUCCCUUACAACAUUCGGUACAUAGGUGAUGAGCUAUUUUGGACGCUUUAUUCCGUAUAUCAGAGGGCUUCUACUUUGGCCCGCACCACUUGAUCAUGGUCUCCCUCAUCCACUUUGAGGAGAAGGUUCAUAGGAAGAAGCUUCAGAGGGUGGACACCAUUCCAUUACUAUUCCUGAGGUUACUUUGCCAGGUCUUGGAGUACAUGGGCUUUCCUACUGAGCCUCGGCUCGAGCUUUGCCGCCUUUGUCGAGAGUGAUCCACUCUCGACAAAUGGAAUUAGUUGGCGGGCUAUUCUGCACCUCCAGGAGCCCCUCCCAUGGUAGCACCUCCAAUGUCCCCACAGGCAAAGUAGGGCGAGCUCCCGGCAAAGACUGUACCACCAAUGCCCACACUUGAGGCUAUUUCUGCUGCUCUGCCUAUGACUCCUACUGUUCCACCAGUUGGUCCUUUUACAUCCGAGCCUUCCAUCACCAUCUCGGCUUCGGAGUUUCGCGCCCUUGUGCAUACCUUUCAGACACUCACCACCACACAUACUCCUCUCUUCUAGCAAAUGGUUGAGAUGUGUGCCCAUCAGGACCGGAAGACUACUAUACUCUGCCAAAUUCAGCAGCACCUAAGACUUUUGCCUCAACCUCAACCUAACCAUCCCAUAUCAUCAGAGCCUCUAGCUCCAACUGAGGAUACUAUUCCACCUGAGAACACUACCACAGUAGAGGUCCGGUUUCCACCACCUUAAGAGGCCACCACAGCUACAUCAGAGGAUGUGUCAUCUCCACUUGAGGCUCCCACUACUUGAUCAUAGGACAUAUCUUUAUCUUAUUGUAUUUACAUAUUAUAUUACUAGAGAUUUGUCCUUGUUUUGAUACUUUAUAUUCUGGGAUUGGAUGUAUUGCCUGAUGAUAUCUCAAUUGUACUUUCUCAUAUUAAUAUAUAGACAUCAAUUUUUUUUAGUAUACUUAGCAUUUUUCUAUUUCCUCUACUCAUUACUCUUUUGUUUUUUUUUACUCAUGUGGUUUCUCUUAUACAACUCAGACUCCAUUUCACUCAGGAGGUACCACUUCCUCCCUUUAUUUUCAAUUGCUCUUGAAAUAUUGAGUGCAAUGUUGAUCUUGGUUGGGGGGAGAGUUGAGGAAGGAAGUUUUGUUAAUAAUGCUAGGUUAAUUUGUUAAUUUAGUUACUUUCUGCUUAAUUUUAAAAGUUUUCACUCUACUUUCCAUGGUUAUUAAGGAAAAAUUCUCAAAAUGAAAUGGGAGAAAUCGAAUUCUUGCAUUUUUACUUGAAUCUUAGAAUUUGUAUCAUGCUUAUUAAAGUUGAUGAAUUAUUGAAACUCCUAUUGAAUUCAACCUUAUUUUUUCCACUUUAAUCUUACCACACACGGUGCACAUUAGGUUCCAGUUAUAAGAUAAAAAACUAUCUCACCCCCUAAACUUAGAAAAAUUUACACUUGGUACCUUUGACAUCGUUUUAAUAGUGUUGGGACACCUUAUAAAAGGCCAAUGAGCCUUUAAAAAAAAAAAAAAAAAAAAAAAGAGAAAGAACAAAGUAUUGCACUUGCCUUGAAACCUGAGCAAGAUCCGAGGGGUAUACAGUGAAAGUCUUUAAAACCUGGUGCCCUAAGCCUUGAUUGGUUGGGAGUCACCGACCUCAAUGCUCGUUAUAAGGGUGAAUAGGUGGAGUUUAACAUAUUGUAGGUGCUUGGGUAUUGAAUUUCAAUCUCAAAAGUCCGGGAAAAAAUCUAAGGAGUUAGUGGUCAAAAGAUCCUUAAAGCUUGAUGCCCUAAACCUUGAUUGGUUGAGAGUCAUUGAUGGAUCCCCGCUACAUGGACAUUUUAGAAAACAAUACCUUUAGCAUUGCACGCCUACAAUGAAAAAAAAAUGUGAAAUAAAAGAGGUGCGUUCUUAGCCUAUUGGAGGUUGGUCAGUUUGCUAAAGUUUGAGAAAUCUAGGUUGGGGGGAGAGAAUAGUCCGACAUACUAUAAUAAAAAACUAAUAACCUUAACACUUAGAUUUUUGUGGAAGAGUAAGGAUUGGACCUUUAGGGGUGGAAAUUCUUUUGAUGCUUAAAUUUGCAUAAUGCCUACUCUUUAUAAAUUAUGAUUAGGCAAGAGAUUUGAUGACUCUUGUUCAAAGUUGGGUUUUUCCUCUUUGAUGUUCCAUGAGAGAGUAUAAUCCUCAUCAUGCCACUUGAAAUCUUUUUGGAGUGAUUAACAUGAUUUUGUAAAUUAUUUUACUGUCUAUUUUUCUUUAUCUCUCUUUUAUUGCUAAUGGACUAGCAAUAUGUCAGUUGGGGGGAGUGAUUACUACUCAAAAAGUACUCUUUUAUAGCUUGAAACUAACUGUUUUAAACACUUUUGAGUAGGUGUUAAUACAUUUUAACUCAAUUGGCACAUUAAGGAACCUAACAAGGGUUACUAAUAAGUUUUUGGCAAGUUUUGGUGUUUUUGGUAGCUAUUUGAUCAUUGAAACAAGCCAAGAAUGAGGGAGAAUUUUGUGAAGUCCAUAGCAAUGCAAGUUAAAGCUCAAAUACAUGAAGAAUCCAAGCUUUGAAGCACUUCAUAGCCCUUUGCGAAGCCAAUCAGAGAUGCAAGGAAGAAAACCAGAGGAAAAAAUCCAACAACCAGCAUUUUCGCAUGGCUGUGCGAAAUUUUGCACACCAUGCGAAACCACAAGAAGUAGCCAAAGAAUUUUGCACACCAUGCGAAAUUUCGCAUGGUAUACGAAAUCUUCCUAUGCACCAACUCCGUUAUAUUUUUAUCUUCAGAUAUUUUGUGUAAUUUCCUAGUUUCUCCUUGUAACCAACCUAGAUAUUUUCUUUUAUAUCUUUUUUUUAUAUUUUUUAGGUAACAUCAUAUAUAGGGGGAGAGACAUAAGGAGGAUAUGGAUGUUUUUCAUAAAACACUUUUAAUUUUCUGGUAGUAAGAAAUAUACAAAGUUUUUUGCUCUGCCUUACCUUCUCAUUUUGUUUUCACCUAUCUUUCUAGCCAAACAACCUCUGAGAAUGAUUUCUCAGGGGAUGAGUAGUUAGGUUUUACGUUUCUUGGAGUGAGAGAAGCUAGGUGAAAGACCCAAAUGCUAAGGUGGGAGUUGUCCUUGCUUUAAAUGAAAGUAGUUGUUAAAUAUUAAUGGUUUUUAUUUUAAGGUUUAGCUUUAAAUCCCUUAAAAACACCUUGAAUGGCCAAUACUUGGUAAGCUUUUCGGAUUCUAUGGAUGCUUAUUGCUAGAUCCAUGGAUGUCAUUAGUUAUCAUUUAUGAGCCAUUGGAAGGUGGUUCAAGAUGAGAGUCUUUAGUGUUUGAAGCCAUUAAUGGGAAACAAUUACCAUUUUUUCAUGAAUCCUUUGGAUAAAAUCUUAAUUGCUAAAUAUAAAACUGGUUCGGGAGAUAACCAUCCUUUAUGUUAUUAUGCCCAAUGCAAGGAGAAGAUUUCGAAUCUUCUCAUUUGUCUAAGGAACCCGAUCCUAGUGACCUAAAGCUCCUAGAGACCUUUUCUUUGUAGUUAACUUCAUUUAUUGUUUUUGCUUAACUUAAAAUCAAUCUUUGCAACCACAAUUCCAUUUUCUUUAAAAGCUAAUUUUUAUAAGGAAAAGCACCAUUUUAUUUCCUUCACUAAGUCAACUGUAUGAUGAAAACCCAUCCCUGUGGACGAUCUUAGAGCCACUAUACUAUGUUAUCUAUGCUAUCCUAGUGUGAGGUGAUUUAGGUUUUAUAAAUUUUGUUGAUAACACCCGUCUGAGCCAGAAUCAAAUGGAACCACUGAACCAGGGACAAAUCAACAGCCUAUAUGGGAGGGACACAAGUUUAAUUGAUUUGCAUUUCAGCGUUAUAGAUAAGUAUGUUUUGGAAGAUUUGUUCUGGAAAUACUGCACCAAGUACGAUUCUUUUUCUCUUGAGUGAGUCCAUUUGCAUGCCAAUUAACGAGUUGAAAAGUAGGAGCACCUACCUCGUGCUCAUGGAACCGAAUGUCAGUGAAGUGGGGCUCCUUUUAGCCUCUUGUGUUUCUGUUCCAACCAAGGCGGCGUAGGGAAAAACAACAAUAUGUCUGUGCUAAAUAUCAACGCAUGAUAGAUGUUUUUUUUUUUUUUUUUGGUAUGUCAAGGCUAACGAAUGAAAUGCAUUAGCUUGUUUUGUGACUAUAACUGCAAAUGUCCAAAUUGGAGUAUCUCCAUUUCUCACUUCGGAUGGUUAACUUUAUAAACAAGAUAUAGGAAACAUGUGAACAUCUUGAGGAACAAUUCAAAUUAUUCAUUAGAAGUCCUGGGUUAAGUUCCAAGAUUUAAAUCAGACCCUUCUAGCAGCUUCAAGGGUACUUAGCAACCUAUAACAUAUUAAUGAAGAUUUAGGAUUUAGACUCCGGAAUACAAAUAAAUAUGUAUCUCAUGCUUUGACUAGCUUCCCUACAUAUGCAUAAAAUGGAGAUGACCCAAAAAAAAUAGCAGAAUCUAGCUUCCCUACAUAUGCACAAAAUGGAGAUGACCCAAAAAAUAGCAUAAUCGCCUUAGUUUCUGUGGUUAAGGUGAUUCUCCGCUUAAUAUCCACAUUGACUCAUUAUGCAAAAUCAACUGAGCUAAUUUUAUUUAUUUAUUUAAUGUCAAAUAGGAACUCCUAAUUAACUGAUUACUGUCGAAAAGUGCUAUUUUGUAGACCUAAUUAUAAGGGUUUUAAGCACCUUUGAGUAGUAAUCAUAUUCAUUUAACCUAAUUAAUUCAUUAAGCUCCUUAGUAAUUAGUUCUAACCAUUUUUAGUGGCAAGUUUACAUGUUUUUCAUCAGCUUAUGAACCAAUUCAAGCAUGCCAAUUGAUGGAGGAGCUACUUGGGCGAGUUAAGCAAGGAUUUUGGACGUUUACAGGCUUGAAUUUCAAGUGGAAACACGAGCACAAGCAAUGGGAACACCAUUUCGCAAGGGGAGGCAAUUCACCUUGCCAAAUGACCAAUUUCGCAAGGGGAUUUUCCUCAUGGUGCAAAAUUUGGUCAUUUCGCACCAUGAAGAAACCACCUUGCAAAAUUUCGCAAGGUGGAUUUAGGCACCUUGCGAAAUGCCAAAUUUCACAAGGUGGCUUUUCACCUUGCGAAAUUUGGACCUUUCAUCUUCCCCCCUUGCGAAAUGCCUUUGAAAUCCCCUGUUUUGAGACGCUGUUGAUGAUAUUCCACUGCCGGUUCUCCAAGAUAUUUUGCUUGACUUUUAGCUUUAUAAAUACCUAUUUUACCCUUGUAAUCAACCAAUGAAAAGGUUGCUUUUGUAAUAGCUCUUGUAAUUUAGCUUUUUAUUGUCUUUAAAUAGAGGUGAAGAGCCUCAGACACGAUCAUCUUGUAACCUGUAACUUUAUAAGUUAUAAGAGCACUUUUGUUCAUACGCUUCUUUUCUCUUUUCUUUCUCAUUUUCUUAGUAGCCAAACAUCCUUGGAGGAUGAAAUCCCCAAGGAUGAGAGGCUAAAACCUUUUAGUUUCUUGAAGUAAUGGAUGCCAUGUGAAGCUCCCGUGUCAGGAUGGAGAUUUCCAAGCCAUAAAUGUAAGUAGCUGAGCGUCAUAAAUGUUUUCAUUCAAAGUAAAGCUUUUAAUCCCUCUGACUUGCUUUGAAUGGCCAAUACUUGAUAACCUUUUGGUCUCAAUGGAUUCUUAUUGUUAGAUCCACUGACGUUCAUUAGUUAUCUCCUACGAGCCAUUGUAUUGCAAGUCGAGGAGAUGACCUAUACCAAUAAAAGAGCAUUUAUGAGGUUCAACUACCCUUUUUGUAAGUUUUCAAGGACUAAAACUCAGUUGUUAAACUCAUACCGGUUCGAGAAGUAAGCAUCACCUUAGUUGCUUCCCCAACUCGAGGUGAAAAGUCCCAAAAUCUCCAUUUUUACACAGUGAGUUAAGCAUGGCUAUCCAAAGCUUUAAGAAACUUCUUUUUCCAUCUUUUAACCUAUUUUCAUGUUAGUUUAGUUUACAACACCUUCAUCUUUUUAUGUUUUCAUCUUAACCUAAUUUUUAUUAAGAAAAGUUCACUCCAUCCUCCGAACUUCACCAGUUAAAGUAAAAACCCUUCCCAGUGUUCGAUCCUAGAGCCACUAUGCUAUAGUAGCUUUGCUACUUUAGUGUAAGGACCUUAGGUAUAAAUUUUGUUGAUACCCUUACAUGCCAAGCUACCAAGAGUCGGGUUAUCAUUAACCUAACCAUUGGCCUGUGUAAAUUGAUUUCACAUGCACAAUGUUGUAGUAGAAGUCCAUAUUUUGAAUUUUAUUUUUGUAAAGGUAAGGAAAAUGAAGCAUUGUGUAAUUAUAAAAAUAACUUCAUUGGAAUUCACAAGGUUCACCCAAAAUGGAGCUACAUCUGUAUUCUAUCCUACAGUAGACUAUAUAGAUUGUACAAUAGUAAAUUGCAAAUACAAUUAAUAAGUCUUGUGCUUCCUUACUAAUAAUCCUUUGACAUGAACAUUGCAGCACUAAGGUCCUCUUGGGAAGACACCUUGCACCCAUGAGAGCACUAAGAGGAAGCAAGGCAGAGUCAUGGGUGCAAUGUCAUGACUUGUUGUUGCACCAAGAGAGGCUUGGUGAUGCCAUGGUGUUGCAGUAGCAAGAAUGUUGCCUUGGCAGGGACACGAUCUAGGGAUAGAUGCCAAGAAAGGCUUAGCACUCACAUGAGUUGCACAAAGAUGAAUGUAAUAGAGCAUCAGAGAGACGUCUUGGCAAGUAAAUGAAUGGAUCCAAGAGACAACAACAUGAGGAGUUUCAAAUGGAUAAGGAAUGACUCAAAGACAUUUGAAAGCUACAAGUUGGAUUCUAAUUACGAUUGCAAUUUGAGUUUGAGUAGGAGUUUAGAUUUUGAUUGUAAUUGUAGUAUGAGUUGGACUAGGAUUGCUUAUCCUUAGUCAAUAUAGGAGCGGUUCGUGUCACCCUAUGAAAAGAGUUUGAGUAGGGACUAGGAUUGCUUACUCCUAGUCAAAUAUGGAGUAGGUGGUGCCACACCUAUAAAAAAAAGGGACAACAUGAGAGAGAGAGAGAGAGAGAAAGAGAGAGUGAAUUCACUAAAGAUAUUGUGGGAGUUUUGCUUUGUUACGUCUUGUAUUAUUACUUAGAAUAGGAAUAAAAUACAAGUUGGGGCUAGAGCCCCAUAAUUAAUCUCGUGUGCCUUUGUGGUUAUUCUUUAUUUGUCAUCUCGUGUGGAUUGGAUUAGGUUGACUUAGAGGGCUUCUAAGCACCACCUUUGUGGGUUAUUAUUUAUUUUCCAUCUCUUGUGGAUUAGAUUAGGUUGACUUAGAGGGCUUCUGAGCACCACCUUUGUGGGUUAUUAUUUAUUUUCCAUCUAUUGUGGAUUAGAUUAGGUUGACUUAGAGGGCUUUUAAGCACCACAUUUGUGGGUUAUUCUUUAUUUUCCAUAUCGUGUGGGUUGGAUUAGGUUGACAAGGAGAAAAAUUAUGUGGGAAAUUUGUGUUGGGACACUUACCAUAACCAAGUAAAAUCUACCAAGUCCUUUGUAAUAUCUUCAACAAAUAUUUUAGACUAGUUCUUUCAGUUAGUGUAAAGGAGGAAGAAGUGGUAUUGAUUCUAGAAAUAGGGUGUGUGUAUUUGAACUACAAUCCUUAUGAUCCUUAGGUCUCUAAACCUUCGUGAUGGGCUCCCUGACAUUUCAUAGGUUGUGCUACACAUGCGUUUGAAAUUUAGAGUGCGUUUGACAGUGAUUCCGGGAAGUGUUUUUGGCCUUUCUUACACUUGAAAAUUUUUAUUUUUCAAGUAUUAGAAAUGCUACAAACACUUUUGAAAAUUACUGUCAAACACACUCUUAGGAGCGCACAUAUAUAGUAGAAAACUAGAAAUUGUGGUUUUUUUAGGAUUUACUGUAAUGUCAUUAGGAGGGUAGUAAGUUGAAAUUGAGUAUGAACAAAUAUUUCUUUCUUUGGGAUGUUCUUCUAGUAGGUGCUGAUGAAACUGUUCUUUCUACUGCCAAUGUCACAUAUCAGCCAGAAAUUGAAAAUUUCAGUCAAGGUGUCCUCUGUUUUAGUGGUGAGGAAAGCUAGAAAUUUUAAGGUGAAGUUUUGUUAAAAACCUUAAGUAGCUGGGAUAUCAGGCCUGUUUUGCUUGAAAAAAAAAGUUGCAAGAUAACUCAUAUGCCAAACAGGUUCUGAUAUUGUGAAUCUAUCGGCAGACAUCAGUAAUCUCAUCUUCUGAGAUGGAUGUUGGGGGUGCAUGUGGUGGUGGAGGGGCAAGGUUUCAUUUGGUUUAUUUUGUUGAUGGAUAUUGUCUAGCCACCUGCGCCAAGUUUGAGGGGUGGUGGGUUGUGAUGACCCUACAAUUACUAUUAAUUUCUUCAUCUUUUACCGAUUAAAGUGUCCGAACAGUCGAAGUUACCCUUAUGCAUGUCAACUUGAUCACUUACCUCUUCAAUGGAGUUUAUGCUGGUUCAUUUAGGAACUGAUUUUUAUUGUUAUGUAUUAUAUGCUGAUGUUUAGGUCUCUCCAUCAUCACUAUAUACAAAAAUUCUAGGUUGAUACUAUAGGUUGAGAUUUAUUUUUUAAAUAAAAAAUAAUAAAAAUAAAAAUUAUGGUGAUGUUUAGUUGUUUUAUGGAAAAUUUUAACAAGUAAAAGUUAUUUUUGGGCAAGUUUUCAAACAAAAAGAAAAGUAAAAGUUGUUUUGACAAAAACAUAUAGAAAAAAAAAUCAUAGAAAAUAAAUAAUUUCCCCAUAUUCUAACUUUUUUGAAUUUUUCUCAAUGGGCAAAGGAAUAUCAAAUCAAGUUUGAGUAGGAUUUCUUAAUUUUUAAAAUAACUUACAAUUAAAAAAUUUUGGUGUUUUCAUUUUUGGACAAUUUUUUAUUAAGCAAAUGGACUCUGAGUCAUGCAAGAGAUAUGGUUCAUUAACCGGUCGAACAAUUUUUUUAAAUUAAUUUAAAAGUCAAAUACAUAAUCAAUUUCACAAAAUUUAUAAACAAAAAUAGGUUUAGAGAAGAUCUACACAUAAUUUUACUUUUCUAAUUUUAUUUUAUUUUAUUUUUUGUUGGAAAAUAGUCUUCAAAUCAUGUAAGAUUUAAUAGGUUAAAUUUGUUAACAAUAAAUUUUAAAUUAUAAAAUAUAAUCUGGAACUCAAAAAUCAAUUCAAGUAAUGCUAAAAAAAAAUCAAAUUUGGUAUAGAAUGACUUUGUAAAUUUUUUUACAAAACAAAUGAAUUUUAAAUCAAGUGAGAUUUAAUGCAUUAGAUUUUUAUCAAAUAUAGUAAUUUUAAAAAUAAAUUUGGAACUCAACAAUAGACACAAUAAAUACCAAAAAAUAAUGAACCAAAAUUGGUUUGGAAUAACUCCACAACCUUUUUUUUUUUUUUUUGGUGCACACGAAUUUUCUUACUAGGUAUAUUGCUUUCAAAUUGAGAAAGAUUUACCAUUUAGAUUUUUUUUUAAUGAGUUUAAUGGUAUUUUAAAAUAAUUCAAAAUUUAAAAAAUUGACUAAUUAAUAUUAUAAAUUGAUAAACCAAGACUAUUUCAAAAUGCAUUGGGGGCUAAGGGGGUUGAAAAUAGGGACAAUGGGAUGGGUUUGGGACAUGACACUCAUAUCUCAUUUCCAUUCCAAUUACACAGUUAUCUCCCAUCCUUAUCCCAAACUUGUGUUGGAGCAAGUUGAUUUGUUCCCAUCUUUGUUGACGAAAUGACUAAUAACCUCAUCCCCUCCUUAUCUUAGAUGUACAUUUUGUCAAAUUUGAUCAGGUAUGAUUGAUCCAAGCCCUAACCCUAAUUGGUAAUGAGUGAAUACUACACCUAAUUGCAUUCUUCUUUCAUUGCAAAAUAAUGAGAUUAUAAUAAUCUAGCAAAUAAGAAAAAAUAGUAUGGAAGUUCAAAUUAACACCAUAACUAUCAAUAAUUUUAAGCUUAUAGAUGACUUAAAUGAUUAAAAACUAAUGCAAAAUCCUAAAAAAAAUAAAAAUCAUAUAAAGAAUUCACAAGAGAACAGAAUGAACAAAAACCAAAUAUGAACAUGGGUCAACAUUAGUUAUGGAUUUGGAUUCCUUUCAAGGCCAAUCUUUGAACCAAGACUUCAUCAAAUCAACUACUUCAAAGGCUUUUGUGUUCUUCUUGGGUUGUGCUCUCAAACAAAGACUUCGAGGUGAUGUUCUAGAUGAUUGAAUUACACAUAUUUAGGGUGGAGAGAUUGGAGAAGCUUGAAGAUGCCAACGAUGGGUACAAUUGAGUGGUCAAUAAGAACAAUGUAGCCUAUGACUAGUUUGAUGUCAUGGUACAAGAGUUUUAGGCAUUGAGGUUAAAGCAAGAGCAACAUGGAAUUGAUUUCGGAGUCUUUCAGUUAGUGUAAAGGAGGAAGAAGUGGUGUUGAUUCUAGAAAUAGGGUUUUAAGUGGUGCGUGAUUACUACUCAAAAAGUGCUAUUUGAUAGCCUUUAAUUAAUCCUUUUUAACACUUUUGAGUAGUAGUUUAGGCCUUUUAACUCAAUUGGCAUGUUAAGGAUCCUUUAAAGCAAUUUUGAUCACUUUGUGCAAGUUUUGGUGUUUUUGUUAGUAUUUUGAUCACCAAAGCAAGUCAAGAAUGAGGAGAACUAUGAGGAAUCAUGGGCAAAGCUUAGAAUUCAAUUGCCAAGAGUGAAUCCGGAUUGCAAGGAGAAAAAGCAAAGAGAAUCUGUCAUGAAGCCUAUUCUUGAUGACAGUCGUAGCAGCCACUUUUGGAGCACUUUCUGAAGUCCAAAUGAUGCAAGCUAUAUACCAUUUCAAAGAUCAGGAAGUCAACAAUCCAAUGCUUCAAACGGUGCGCGAUUCGGAGUUGAAACGAAGAAGUUGCAGCCAUUACAAGCCAGUCACUCUAAAGUGUUGCGGAAUCAGCCUUUUGUUGCGAGAAUUUCGCAGCACUUUUGUACAGUAAGGUGUUUCUCCUUCUGACGAUGCACGAACCAUGCCGCGAGAGGGAAGCUAGGAACUUCAAGAUGGAAGCCAACUUUGCAGCCUGGUGAAGAUAGCUUGGUCUUGCGAAAUAAUUUCGCAGCCCUCUUGGGUGUCUGCGAAAUUUCGCAGGCACCACUUUUUUCCUGCGAAAUGGCUCCGGAAGCCUCCCGAAGCUUGCUACCGACAUUGGGAGAUAUUUUCCAUUAGAUUUUUGUUGUCUAAAUUCCAAAAUACUCCUUGUAAACCACCAAUUACAUGAUUCCUUAGUUUUUAAGUUAGUAAAAAGACCAAAUAUCUAUGUAAUAAUUAGUUUUAUAUUAGUUUGCUAUAAAUACCUCUCGGGAGCAUGUUCUCAGAGAGGAGUUCCUUCUGUAACCAUUUUGGUAAGCAAGUAAAGUCUUUUCUUUCUACUGCCUUACCUUCUCACUUUGUAUUUUCAUUUUAUUUCUAAGUUAUGAAUUCUCUGAGGAGCUUUCCCCAGAGAAUGAGUAACUAAACCUCCAAUUCCUUGGAGCUAAGGUUGCCGGGGAAGGUUCCAAGUGCAAGAAUGCAAAGCUCUGUGGUUUUAGCUAGUAAUGAAGAGGAAGUGAAAUCCUUUAGUGAUUUCAAUGUUUUUAGUUAACUUAAAACACCUUGGAGUCACCUGGGCCAACACUUGGUAAGGCAAGUGAUUUCCAACCGUGGAAAUGCACUAGUUUACCCCUUGCGAGCCUCUGGUAGGUGACUUCAAGGUAGGAUUUUCUGGAAUUACCAACACUUGGUAAGCUUUUGGACUCCUAGGAGACAUCCAUUAGUUAUCUCUUGCGAGUUUGUGAAGGGGAAUCCAAGGUUAAAGAUCACCUUGAAUGGUAAGUGCUCGUGAGAGGCAUGAACCAUUGCAAGUUGUAUCAGUGAGAGAAUUAAAGUGAAAUCUAAUUGAAGGAGUCUCUGUACAUCACCGGUUAGAGAAUUGACUAUAAGUUGAAUCUCUAAUGCGAGGAAAUGAACCAUCUGACCGGAGCUAUGUCUUUUGCAUGAGGAACCACCCCAGUGAACCUAAAUCUCCAAGGAAUGCUUUUCUUCCUAAAUUAUUCCAAACUUCUGUUAAGUUAGUUAGUUUAAGUCUAAACCUUUACCAAUCAAACUUUGUGUUUUAUUUCUUAAGCUAACCGUGAAAUGAAACAAAACCAAUUCACUUGGAAUUGGUAUCCUUGAUUGCUUGCAAAUCAUUCCCAGUGAACGAUCCUUAGAGCCACUAUACUAUAGUAGCUUUGUAUUUGCUACCCUAGUGUAUGGUGUUAUAGGUAUAAAUUUUGUUGAUCACUUCCUCAAUCAAGGAACACCAGCUGAACACAAAUCAGCUGAGACACCAAUUGGGCAUGAGUCAAAUGGCGCCGUUGCCGGGGAAUGAGUGUCAAGAUCAUUGUGAUACCAUUUUUGAGCACUUGUGAUUUUCAUCACAAGUUGGUAAAGUUUCUUUCACUUUACUAAUUUUCAUUCUCUCUUUGUUUAUUUACAAUCUAAGUUUAUCUUUUUAAAAUUUAGUCUAGUUUAAUUUUGCUAUUGUAGCCUUGUUUCUCUUGUUGUCCUCUGUUCUUGUUGUCCUCUGUUUUCAUUUUAGUUGCAGCUGAAUACUAGUUGUGUAUGCCAAAGUGGAUACGAGACAUUGGAGGUAGGCUUAUUAAGUGUGAUACACCUCAGAGAGGAGAAUUGGAAGUAAUCUUGAAUAUCAUGGAGGCUGCACCUGAAGAUCAGCAUAGUCACCAAGGUCGUCAAGACAAUCUCAAUGAAUUCAGAUCAAUGAGGGACCGUAUGCAUCCACCUCGUAUGAGUGCACCAUCAUGUAUAGUGCCCCCUACAGAGCAACUAGUGAUCAGACCAUAUCUUGUUCCACUUCUACCAACUUUCCAUGGGAUGGAAAGUGAGAAUCCGUAUGCACACAUCAAGGAAUUUGAAGAUGUUUGUAAUACAUUCCAAGAGGGAGGAGCUUCAAUUGAUUUGAUGAGGCUUAAGUUAUUUCCUUUUAAUUUAAAGGAUAAGGCCAAAAUUUGGCUUAAUUCUUUAAGGCCAAGGAGUAUCCGCUCUUGGACUGAUUUACAAGCUGAAUUCCUCAAGAAAUUUUUUCCUACUCAUAGAACAAAUGGCUUGAAAAGGCAAAUUUCAAACUUCUCAGCUAAAGAGAAUGAGAAAUUCUAUGAGUGUUGGGAAAGAUACAUGGAAGCUAUAAAUGCUUGUCCUCACCAUGGCUUUGAUACUUGGCUACUGGUGAGUUAUUUUUAUGAUGGUAUGUCCUCCUCAAUGAAGCAACUCCUCGAGAAAAUGUGUGGAGAAGAUUUCAUGAGCAAAAAUCCAGAGGAAGCUAUGGAUUUCUUGAGCUAUGUAGCUGAUGUUUCAAGGGGAUGGGAUGAACCAACUAAAGGAGAAGUGGGAAAGAUGAAGUCUCAGUUGAAUGCUUACAAUGCAAAGGCUGGGAUGUAUACUUUAAAAGAGGAUGAUGACAUGAAAGCAAAGUUGGCAGCUAUGACAAGAAGAUUGGAGGAGCUGGAGCUGAAAAGAAUGCAUGAAGUGCAAGCUGUUGCUGAAGCACCAGUGCAAGUGAAGUUGUGUCCCAAUUGUCAAUCGUUUGAACAUUUGGUAGAGGAAUGCCCUGCAAUUUCAGCUGAAAGGGAAAUGUAUAGAGAUCAAGCAAAUGUUGUUGGACAAUUCAGGCCCAAUAACAAUGCUCCUUAUGGAAAUACCUACAAUUCAAGUUGGAGGAAUCAUCCAAAUUUUUCAUGGAAGGCCAGAGCAACUCAAUACCAACAGCCGGAUCCACCAUCUCAACAAUCUUCAAGUAUUGAACAAAUAAUAGCUAAUCUCAGCAAGGUAGUGGGAGAUUUUGUGGGAAAGCAAGAAGCCACCAAUGCUCGAGUGGAUCAAAGAAUGGACAGAGUGGAUCAAAGAAUGGACAGAAUGGAGAGUAUGUUGAACAAAAGAAUGGAUGGAAUGCAAAAUGAUAUGAAUCAAAAAUUUGAUAACAUCCAAUAUUCAAUUUCAAGGCUUACAAAUUUGAAUACACUGCAAGAAAAGGGAAGAUUUCCUUCUCAACCUAACCAAAAUCCCAAAGGUGUCCAUGAAGUGGAAAGCCAUGAGGGAGAAUCAUCACAGGUGAAAGAUGUGAAAGCUUUGAUCACUCUAAGGAGUGGUAAGAAAAUUGAGCAGCCAACACCCAAGCCACAUGUUGAGAAAGAAGAAGAGAUGAAGAAAGGGAAGGAAAUGGAAGAUAAAGGCAGUGAGAUCAGUGAAGAAAAGAAGGACUCUGAUGCAACAAUGAAAGUAAUUCCAGAGAAGGAGCUUCUGAAGGAAGAAAUGCUGAAGAAAUCAACUUUUCCACCUUUUCCUCAAGCAUUACAGGGGAAAAAGGGGGUUAGAAAUGCAGCUGAAAUCCUAGAAGUAUUGAGGCAAGUGAAAGUUAAUAUUCCACUGCUGGAUAUGAUCAAACAAGUUCCAACGUAUGCAAAAUUCCUAAAGGACUUGUGUACUAUCAAAAGAGGGUUGACUGUAAACAAGAAAGCCUUCUUGACUGAGCAAGUAAGUGCAAUCUUACAGUGUAAGUCUCCUUUGAAGUACAAAGACCCUGGAAGUCCUACCAUUUCAGUCAUGAUUGGAGGAAAGGUAGUGGAGAAAGCCUUGCUAGACUUGGGAGCAAGUGUGAAUUUGCUUCCAUAUUCUGUCUACAAGCAACUGGGACUUGGAGAGUUGAAGCCAACAGCAAUCACUUUGUCUCUGGCAGAUAGAUCAGUGAAAAUUCCAAGAGGGGUAAUUGAGGAUGUAUUGGUUCAAGUAGAUAAUUUCUACUAUCCUGUAGAUUUUGUUGUUCUUGAUACAGAUCCUACUGUAAAGGAAGCUAAUUUAGUUCCUAUCAUCCUUGGAAGGCCAUUUCUUGCAACUUCAAAUGCAAUCAUCAACUGUAGAAAUGGGCUUAUGCAACUCACUUUUGGUAACAUGACACUGGAUCUAAAUAUUUUCUAUAUGUCUAAAAAGCAAAUCACUCCAGAAGAAGAAGAGGGUCCAGAAGAGCUAUGUAUUAUUGAUACUUUGGUGGAGGAGCACUGCAAUCAACAUAUGCAAGAUAAGUUGAAUGAAAGUUUUGUGGAUAUUGAGGAAGGUUUUUCUGAAUCUCCUAAUGGGCUUGCUACUCUACAAAGUUGGAGAAAGAUAGAAGGAAUUCUACCUUUGUUCAAUGAAGAAGAGGAGGCAGCUGUUGAAAAAGAAAUUCCAAAACUCAAUCUGAAGCCUUUACCUAUGGAGCUGAAAUAUACAUAUCUUGAAGAAAAUAAUCAAUGUCCUGUCGUAAUAUCUUCAUCUCAAACCAAGUCUCAAGUGAAGGAUGCAAGCUUCAAAUGGGAUCCGGGCAAACUGAAUCAGGAAGGGCAAAAAGUUUUGAUGUAUGACACAAGACUCCAUAUCUUUCCUGGGAAGCUCAAGUCAAGGUGGAUUGGUCCAUUUGUUAUUCACCGAGUAUAUUCCAAUGGAGUGGUGGACUUAUUGAAUUCCAAUGGCAAGGACAGCUUUAGAGUCAAUGGAUAUCGUCUUAAGCCGUUCAUGGAGUCAUUCAAAUCAGAAAAGGAGGCAAUCAACCUCCUUGAACCUCAAAAAGCCUAAGUGAAAUGGGUUUGCUGGACGUGGUUUUACCACAGUCCAAAAAUUUUUGUAAAUUUUGUAAAUUUUCAAGUUGUUUCCAUGCUUUUAAUCUUAGUUUUUGAUUUUAAAUCAUGUUUUUAGGUGUGUUUUAAUCGUUUUAUAUGAUCCCAGGCGGAAGAAAUUUCAAGGGGAUUGAAAAGAAAAAAAUCGGGUCGAAAUUGGAGCCGAAACAGAGCAAAAACAGGGGAAAAACAGAGCUCUGCGAAAUUUCGCAGGGUGAAGGAAACUUCUGCGAAAUUGGCAUUUUGCUGCCAAACCAUUCCGCAGCACUGUAGAAGCCUCUGCGAGUGUAUUUCGCAAUUGCGAAAGUGGAUUUGGCACACGAGUGCCACUUCGCAGCACAGUGACAUCAAUUUCGCAGCUGCGAAACUCACUGCGAAGUUGCUGCGAAAAUGGCAAGUUGCUGCGAAAUUGGCGUUUUGUUGCGAAACGUAAUCUGACCCCUGGGCUUCCGUUUUUCCUAUUUAUACCUGUCAAAAGUGCUGCGAAAAAGGUUUCAAAAAUUAGAGCACCAUUCUCGCAGCCCUUUCAUCUUCUUCGCCAAGCCACGCCGUCCGUUUCUCCGGUCGUCUUCUCCGUUUAGCAGCGCCGGCCAAAGAUCGAUAGCCCAAAAAUGGCACGAACGCGAGGGGCAAAGUCUUCAUCCCCUUCGAACCGCAAAAGGAGUCUGCGAAAGGAGCCAAGUUCAGGCUCUGUUCCAGAACCUGCUCCAAAGCCUUCGCCGUCGAGACCACAACCUUCUCCAGUGAAGCCGGCGCCACCAAAGCCGCCGGCAAGGCGAUAUUUAACCAGGUCAGGUGGUCAGCCAUUGAAGAAGAAAGCCAGAGUUGAGAGCUCUGAACCAAUCGAUUUGACUGAGCAAUCCCCUGAGAAAUCACCAAAUCCUUCACCGGUACAAAUUCCAGUGCCAUCACCGGUUCCCUCGCCAAUUCCCUCACCAGAAGCAACUCCAAUUCCAUCGCCGGUACCAUCUCCGGCACCCCAAGAAAAAGCUCAGGAGCCUCAAGCGCCAAUUCCAGAGCCCCAAAUUGCAGCUGAAGCACCUCUGGAAGAAGUGAUCCGAAGGCCAAUGCUGCCUCAGCCCCCAAUCGAAGGAAACCUGGAUUGCCGAACUCGGGCAUUCCAUUCUGAGCUUUGCUUCGAUUUAACAGCAUUCAGAGUGAGGCCAGAGCUUGCCCAAUCCUUCCAACUGCUGAGGAGAUAUCAUAUGGAGCAUCUGCUAGCUCCAAGGGAUUUUUUCUAUCCCCGGGUAGUCACGGAUUUCUACCAAACCAUGACAACCAAAGAAGUAAGAAAUCCAACUCUGAUUCAUUUCAUAAUUGAUGGAAGGCAUGGUAUUUUGGGAGCAAGACAUAUUGCUGAAGCCCUGCAAAUUCCUUUUGAGCCAACUCAAUUCGACAAUUUUAAAGCUUGGACAAAUCCUACUGAGUUAGAGAUGGUUAGCACACUAACCAGAGGAGCUGCAAAUCGAUCGCAUUUGUUGAGGGGGGAGCUACCUCCAGUUAUGUUUUUGAUUGAUGCCUUUUUGAGGCAUAAUAUCUAUCCCCUGCAGCAUUGGACCCAAAGAAGGGGAAUUCUCCUAGAAGCCUUGUACAAAAUGUCUGAAGGAUUCUUCUUUGGGCCUCAUCAUCUGAUCAUGGCAGCCCUUCUAUACUUUGAGGAGAAGGUUCACAAGAAGAAGCUUCAAAGAGCAGAUUGCAUUCCACUCCUCUUCCCAAGGCUGCUAUGCCAAGUUUUGGAGCAUCUCGGAUACCCCUCUGAGCCUCAGCAGGAAAGAAAGAGAAUAUGCCGUGAGCCUUUUACCCUUGAUAAAUGGAAUAAUAUGACGGCCUACAAAAUUGAUCAGCCUGGGCAGCCUCAGCCAGCAGCAAGGAGAGUCUCCCCAAGACAUAUACCUGAAGGUAUAACACUUGCUACUCCUGCCAUCCCUCGAGCUCCACCAGCUGCACCUGCUCCAUCACAGCCAUCCACAUCAGCUGAGCCGAGGAUGGCCAUCCCUAUAUCCGAAUAUCGAGAGCUGUGCCGUGCAUUGGAGACUCUUACAGCUUCUCAGAGCAAUCUUGCUCAGGAGUUGGCAGCCAUUAAAGCAUGCCAGGAGCAGAUGUUAGCCUCUCAGACUCAACAAGCUGCCAUCCUAAGGCAGCUUCAAGUCCAUUUCGAUCUGCCACAAGCUGUAGAGCCCUCUAUUCCUACUCCACCAGAGCCACACUCUCAGCCUUCAGAGUCUCAUCCUCCAGAACCCGAAGCACCAGCUGAUCCACCUACUGAGGAGGCAGAUCCUUCUGCCUAGCACCAUCACCCCCCUCAUCAGACAUUAUAUAUAUAUUUGCUGUUUAUGUUUUUAUGCAUGUUUGUUUUGUUUUAGUUGAAAAGAAAUCCCAGUAUUUUGGUACUAUAUAUGGGAUUCCUUGUGUUACUUGUCUUUAGUAUUGUAAUCACAUGAACUCAAAGUAAUACAAGUUGACUAUUUCUUGUUAAAAGUUAGCAUUAAAGUUUCCUUAUUUCCUUUUCUCACAUAUUCUAUUCUUUUUGAAACAUGUGGUUUUCCCCAAUCAAUAUUCGAAUUUGAUAUCAGCAUGGAGGUACCACUUCCUCCCUUUUAUUACAGUCACUCAAAUCACAUUGAGGACAAUGCUCAGUUCGGUUGGGGGGUAUGAGGAAGGAAGUAUUCUAAACCUUUUUGGUAUUGCAAUUAUAUUGGUUAAUUAGUUGUAGAUUUUACUUUUUACUAGUGUUACUCUAUUCUCCAUGAAUUUUGAGGAAAAAUUUUCAAAUUAAACCAAGAGAAAUUGAACUGUUGUUUUUCACUUGACUUAGAGUAUGGAUUAUGCUUACUAAAGUGGUUCAAUUGUUGAAACUUCUACUGAAAUUGAAUUGAGUUCUUCCACUUUAAGCUAUCCACACACUGUGCACAUUAGUUUCCGAUUAUAAGAUGAAAAGCUAUUUCCCUCUUGACUUAGUAUAUUUUUGGGACUUGGUAUAUUUGACCUCAUUUGAUAAAAAUUGAAACACCCUGCAAAAGGCCAAUGAGCCUUUGAAAUAAAGAAAGUUGUUUGCUUGCCUUGAAACCCGAGCAAGGUCUGAGGGGUAUAUGGUGAAAAUCUUUAAAGCCUGGUGCCCUAAGCCUUAAUUGGUUGGGAGUCACCGACCUCAAUGCUCGUUACAAGGGUGAAUAGGUAGAGUUAGCAUAUGGUAGAUGCUUGGGUAUUAGAAAUUCAUUCUUAAAAGUCCGGGGAAAAAUCCGAGGAGUUAGUGGUUGAAAGAUCCUUAAAACUUGGUGCCCUAAACCUUAAUUGGUUGGGAGUCAUCGAUGGACCCCCAUUACAUGGACAAGUCAGAAAGAGUACCCCAUAAAGCUACCUUAAAAAAAAAAAAAAAAAAAAAAAAAAAAAAAAAGAUGAAAGUGUGUUCUUUUCUUAUUGAUUUUGGUCAGUUUGCUAAAGUGUUGAAAAGAGAUAGGUUGGGGGGUGAGAUUAGUAGCAUAUUAUUCUCGGAACCUAAGGAACCAAUACACAUAGAUUUUUGUGGAAGAUUGAAGUUUAGUUCUUAGAAAAUGAAAUGAUUUUAAAACUUCAGUUUGCAUAAUGCACUCCCUUGAUUGACAGUGUUUAGCAUAGGUGUUAUGACUCUUGUUGAGAUUUGGGUUUGUAUUUCUUUAAUGAUUCAUGUGAGAAAUAGAUCAUCAUGCCACUUGAGAAUUAUUUUCCUUUUAGCAUGAUGUUGUAAAUUUUAGAUUAGUUUGCUAUUUAUUUUUUAUUUUCUCUCCUAUAUUGCUAAGGGACUAGCAAUAUGUCGGUUGGGGGGAGUGAUUACUACUCAAAAAGUGCUAUUUGAUAGCCUUUAAUUAAUCCUUUUUAACACUUUUGAGUAGUAGUUUAGGCCUUUUAACUCAAUUGGCAUGUUAAGGAUCCUUUAAAGCAAUUUUGAUCACUUUGUGCAAGUUUUGGUGUUUUUGUUAGUAUUUUGAUCACCAAAGCAAGUCAAGAAUGAGGAGAACUAUGAGGAAUCAUGGGCAAAGCUUAGAAUUCAAUUGCCAAGAGUGAAUCCGGAUUGCAAGGAGAAAAAGCAAAGAGAAUCUGUCAUGAAGCCUAUUCUUGAUGACAGUCGUAGCAGCCACUUUUGGAGCACUUUCUGAAGUCCAAAUGAUGCAAGCUAUAUACCAUUUCAAAGCUCAGGAAGUCAACAAUCCAAUGCUUCAAACGGUGCGCGAUUCGGAGUUGAAACGAAGAAGUUGCAGCCAUUACAAGCCAGUCACUCUAAAGUGUUGCGGAAUCAGCCUUUUGUUGCGAGAAUUUCGCAGCACUUUUGUACAGUAAGGUGUUUCUCCUUCUGACGAUGCACGAACCAUGCCGCGAGAGGGAAGCUAGGAACUUCAAGAUGGAAGCCAACUUUGCAGCCUGGUGAAGAUAGCUUGGUCUUGCGAAAUAAUUUCGCAGCCCUCUUGGGUGUCUGCGAAAUUUCGCAGGCACCACUUUUUUCCUGCGAAAUGGCUCCGGAAGCCUCCCGAAGCUUGCUACCGACAUUGGGAGAUAUUUUCCAUUAGAUUUUUGUUGUCUAAAUUCCAAAAUACUCCUUGUAAACCACCAAUUACAUGAUUCCUUAGUUUUUAAGUUAGUAAAAAGACCAAAUAUCUAUGUAAUAAUUAGUUUUAUAUUAGUUUGCUAUAAAUACCUCUCGGGAGCAUGUUCUCAGAGAGGAGUUCCUUCUGUAACCAUUUUGGUAAGCAAGUAAAGUCUUUUCUUUCUACUGCCUUACCUUCUCACUUUGUAUUUUCAUUUUAUUUCUAAGUUAUGAAUUCUCUGAGGAGCUUUCCCCAGAGAAUGAGUAACUAAACCUCCAAUUCCUUGGAGCUAAGGUUGCCGGGGAAGGUUCCAAGUGCAAGAAUGCAAAGCUCUGUGGUUUUAGCUAGUAAUGAAGAGGAAGUGAAAUCCUUUAGUGAUUUCAAUGUUUUUAGUUAACUUAAAACACCUUGGAGUCACCUGGGCCAACACUUGGUAAGGCAAGUGAUUUCCAACCGUGGAAAUGCACUAGUUUACCCCUUGCGAGCCUCUGGUAGGUGACUUCAAGGUAGGAUUUUCUGGAAUUACCAACACUUGGUAAGCUUUUGGACUCCUAGGAGACAUCCAUUAGUUAUCUCUUGCGAGUUUGUGAAGGGGAAUCCAAGGUUAAAGAUCACCUUGAAUGGUAAGUGCUCGUGAGAGGCAUGAACCAUUGCAAGUUGUAUCAGUGAGAGAAUUAAAGUGAAAUCUAAUUGAAGGAGUCUCUGUACAUCACCGGUUAGAGAAUUGACUAUAAGUUGAAUCUCUAAUGCGAGGAAAUGAACCAUCUGACCGGAGCUAUGUCUUUUGCAUGAGGAACCACCCCAGUGAACCUAAAUCUCCAAGGAAUGCUUUUCUUCCUAAAUUAUUCCAAACUUCUGUUAAGUUAGUUAGUUUAAGUCUAAACCUUUACCAAUCAAACUUUGUGUUUUAUUCCUUAAGCUAACCGUGAAAUGAAACAAAACCAAUUCACUUGGAAUUGGUAUCCUUGAUUGCUUGCAAAUCAUUCCCAGUGAACGAUCCUUAGAGCCACUAUACUAUAGUAGCUUUGUAUUUGCUACCCUAGUGUAUGGUGUUAUAGGUAUAAAUUUUGUUGAUCACUUCCUCAAUCAAGGAACACCAGCUGAACACAAAUCAGCUGAGACACCAAUUGGGCAUGAGUCAGUGCGUUAGAGGAUCAAGAAGAAGAAAAAGAAGGAACUGUUGGAAUUAGUAUGAGUGUGAAGAGAAAAGUAUAUAAAUAAGGGGAAGUAAAAGCAAAGUUCAAAAAGCUAUAUUUUUUUAUUGUUGGUGUAUGGUUGCAUGAUUAUCCCUAUAAAUAAUAGGAGUUUUUUGGUAUUCUACUAGUAGUUGAAGCAUAAUUUCAUAAAUUAAUAUUUAGAGCGGGGUGGGGUGAGUUGUGACAAAAUUCAUACCCGUCCCAAACCUUGGUUCAGAUUUUUAAAAUAUUCUCAAACUUAUCAUAUACCCAACUUUUAUAUUUCAUACUUGUCCUAAUAGAGGCACGUUAGGCCGGGUUACUUGAGUAACCUACAUAAUUGUCAUCCCUAGUUGAAAUACACUUUUUGGCAGUGGCCACCAACUGAGCUAGAAGCUUGAUUGAUUGACCUACAAGAUUAGUUCUCAUCAUUUUAAAAAAAGUUCUGGCUUUGGUUGUGAGUGCAAUUGAAUCUAAACUGGCAUUUGCUUAAUGCAUCUACUUCAAUCCUAAACUUCUUACUUCUUAAGCCUCAAUUGUUGUUAGGAUUUUGGAAAACCCAUUUCCUUAAAUUGUAAAUUUAAGAUAAAAUAAAAUAAAAGUGAGACAUUUCUUGAUUGAAUAUUGUUAAAGGUCCCUUGGCAUUAAGACUUGGUUGAAGCCUUGGAAGAUUAGUGGAACUCUCAACAUGUGUUUGAAUCUUGAGGAGAGUGGAUGUAAGCCAAAAUUUUGUCAAACCAUUAUACAAAUUGAGUUUGAAUCCUCAUUUCUUGAUUUCUUAUUUAUUUGCUUUUUCUUAUUAUUACUUGAAUUGUCAUUUGCAUUCAUUAAUGUUAAAAUUGGUUAUAAUUAACCAACACUAAUUCUCUUUCCCCUUCCCUUUCUUGGGUGUAAACCUAGGUUGGAUUAACUAGAUAAAUCUAUUAAGAUGGUAAAAGAAUAAUUAUUCUUAACAUACAUAAGAUCAUCUUCAAUCAAAUGACUCAUUGGCUAAUAUGUUGAAUUUGCUUAUUACUUGCAACUCAAAAUUGUGUUCUAGUUGUGUCAAGUCCCCAGUGUAUGGACAUUAAAUUUGUAGUACGUGAUGAGUAAUUAGAUGGUCCAACUCCAAGAAAGUGAUUGAAAAGUAGUUCAAGAAAGGUGCAAAAGGGAAUUGUUUUGGUAUUUUCGUUUUUAUUCUUGAAGGUGGCAGAGCUAAAAUUUGAGAAAUCAAGCAAAACAUACUGAAAUUACAUUGAAAGAAAGAAGAUGGGAGUUAAUGUCUUGCAGUACAUGAUAAGGACUUCAUGCAUGUAGUGUGACCCAUGUCUUGGACUGAUGCCAACUCACGGUUACACUUAUACCCUUGGUUCUCUCUUUACUACCUUGGCUAACCUAGAUCAGGCUAUGAGAUAGGCUCCUCACCACACCAUUACUUGCCCAUUAAUUAGAGACAUUUUCAAGCAAUGAGGUAACAUGGUGACACCAAGAGGGUCUAUUCCUCGCCCGGAACAAGUCUAGACUUGGUCUCAAAAAAAUGGAGAAAAAUGAGGUGUCGUUAUGUAGAAAUACAACAACCAUGCCUUCCUCAUUACUUAGAUUCAGAAUGUGAAGGUGAAAUUGAGAAACAGAAACUCUUGAAACCAAAAUGAAAAUUGAUACUUUUACGAAGAAUUACAACAACAUUAGAGGAAGACUACAUUCUUCCUCUUUAUUCCUACAUUUCUACACUACUUCUACUCCACUCCAUAUUUCUACAUACAUCUUUAAUCAGUCUUCCCUCCUUUAUAUAGAGCCAUCUUCACACAAAUUUCGCAAGGUAGAAAAGAGGAAUGAAACUUGGAGCAAGGUUCGACUACUGGUUGUAGCUUGUCAAGGCUGGAAGUGAACUUUUCUUGGCUUUCUGGGCAUGGGUAGUAACUUGUGGGUUCCUGUUUGGCAUAAAAAUGGCUAGAACAUGUGGCACUAUCUUGUUGGAUGAUGUGUCAAGCAUGUGGCAGCCAUCUAGUGGCGAUUAUGUCAAUUUUGGGAUGGAGAGUUGGCAUCCAAUUGCAAAGAAAUAUGACGUCUACCAACAUGCAAUGUAAACCUAUGUAGAUCAUAUGAAGAUAGAGAGGAAAAAUAUAGAAAUGGAUAUAUACCUAGAACUAGCUUUUUAUUAAAUGAAACGGAGAGACAACAAUGAAGGAAAAUAAAAUUUUUUGGCUUAUAUCAAAGAGUUCACAUUGUGUUACCCUAGGUUUUCUUAAAACUUACUUUUAUGAUAACAAAAAAGAAAAAACCAUUAUUGUUUAAUCCUUUGUUUUAAACGCAUGUAAGGUGUAAUUAAGUUAGUUCAAUGCAUUAAUUUAAGAAACUUGACCUAUCAAAAGUACAAAAUUAGAUGAAAUCCAUUUCAAUGGUUAAAAUGAUCAAAAUCAAACUUUUUCUAAGUAUUUUUUAAAAGCAUCAAUAGUGAAAGACAAUUUUAUAUUUAGUCGGAGUUUGGACAAAACUGAAAAACACACAAAAUCCAAGCGACCAUCUCUAGCUUGGAUGGUCGCUUGAUCCCACCUAGAGAUGUGCAUGAGUAAAAGGAUUUGAAAAUGGAAAUUGACUAUGUAGUCGAUCAAUUAACUUUGCAACAUCAUAUGCAAUCCUAAUUGCUAGUCAUCUAAUCAAUUAGGUAGUCAAUCAACAGGCCAAAAAUAUGUUUAUAAUGACUAUUUUGUACAAAAACCACCUGUAUAGUUAAAUAUAAUGCAUUUCAUUUAUAAAUCUUCUAAUUCUUGAAUAACGAUCCUAUCAUCCUUUGAAAGUUUUUAUUACACUUUUUUUACUUUUGUUCUAAAACUUACACAUCACCCUUAAUUGUACCAUGAGAACCUAGCUAUUUUUUAUUUUUUUUUUUGUAAUUCAUCAAAGUUAGCUUUUGUAUUCAUUGUUGUAUUAUUUUUAGUAUAACUUAGAAAGCUAGUGUUUUCAAGUGAGUAAAAUUAACUUGUAAAUAUUGUAAAGAUUCAUCGACAUGUAUCUUAAACUAAGUGUACAAGUUAAAACAUUUGCUAGUAGAUUUUCUCAAAAUUUAGAAUAGAGCUUGAGACUAUUGAAAUAGGUGGGGUUGCACCAAACCACAUCACAUCGUUGUUUGCACCUUUUUUCACUCUCUUUUACUUAGUUGCUCUAUAUUUGUUGUCUAGUAAUAUCCUAUAGGCUUGAUGGGUUAGGGAGCAUCCCUUUGUGAAAAAAUUUUAUUCAAUCCUUAGUUGUAUCACGCAUAUAUAAAAUGCCUCAUUGUUUUAAUGGUAUUCAGUCGUGGCAUCACAGAUAUGGGCAUCUAAAUUUUAAAAGUUUGAAACUUUUAUCUAAAGAAAAUAUGGUGCUUUGCCUUUUUGUAAAGCAUGUUGAUGAAAUCCAUGAGAAUUGUGUACUUGGGAAGCAACACCGAGAUGACUUUUUUUUUUUUUUUAUAAUAUUGUUUGUCCAAAUUCCCUACAAAUUAGGCCACCAGAUGUUCAUAAUUCUCCCUUCUUGAAUUUGAAAACUCGGACAAUUGGACAAUGCGACACCUAAGUCCGGUUUCUAAAUGCUAAAGUGAAAGGGUAGGUAUGGACCAUUGAAAUGUGAUCACAACUUUUCUCUGUAGCCAUGUUGUCUCUUUUUUCUUUUGCAUGAUUUUCUUACCUUAACAGAAUCAUAGACUUGUUUAGUCUCUAAAUGGGAUUAAUUUCAUCCAGCUUUAAGCUACUAUAUUAUAUCUAGGUGGAGGACUUUUAAGAGUGCAACCGACAUAGAGCACAUGGAAGUGGGUAUAUGGGACAUGAAAUUUCUUCUUAUAAAGAUUGCAUGAUUUUUAUAUUAGAGUUGUUGAGGCGCUAUGUAUUUAGCUUGUUUUGCAGUUAAAUUAAUUGGAUAAGUAGACAUUGGCGUUUCUAAAUCUACUGUGAAGUGCUUCAUGUACGUGUGAAGUAUUAGAAAUUUCUUUCUUGGCAACUUGUUUUUCUUUGCGGUCUACUGAUAGGUUUGACUAAAAUUAUAUUCCCUGUCAUGCUAAUUAAUUUUCACGUGCAUGCUCAAAAGAAAAGUAUGACCUUAGUGCACCAAAAUCACUUUGAUUAAUUUGUGAUAGGUUUUUGUGCAUCAUGACAUUAGCCUUAUUCAUUUAGAUAAUGUUUAGUUUUUAGAAAGUAUUAAGAAAAGGAAAAUAAAUAUUAAGAAAAAUAUUCUUAUAUUUGAUUGUAUUAUGAAAAAUAUCAUAAAAAAAUCAAAUAUAAUUUAAAUUAAUUAAUAAUUUAUACAUUUUCAAAUUAUUUAAUCUUUAUAUUGAAGAUAUAAUAUAAAUGAAAUGAGUUUUAAGUAUUAUAUAAAAGUGAUUUAUUGAUCUUACAUAUAUAUAUUUCUUUUUUUUUUCCUUCUAUUUUUUCUCUUUAUUUUAUUUUCCUUAUGUUUUCCUCAACAUUUUCCGGAACCAAACAUAGCCUUAGGAAAUCCACAAUUACCUUCAACUGAGUAGAUUCUGUUGUUUUAGCAAUGUUAGGCUGCUAACUUGUGUUGGUACGAACCUAUUAAGCCUAAAGAUGUAAUUAGUUAGGAUAUUCUUUUCCCUCUAGUCUUGUAGCUCCACGUGUACAGUUGGUUAGGACCUCAUUGUAUAUAAUGCUUGCCCUGUUAUUGUAGAAGACAACAAAGAUAAAUAAUAUUAACAUUUUUCCUCUCAUCUCUCUCUGUUUCCCUCUGUUUUCAUCUCCUCUCUCAUCUUGGUAUCAGAGCCUCCAUGGCUUCUUUCAAAGAAACCUCCGAAUCACCUUCUGCUAGCAUUGUUAAUGUGCAAAACCCAUUAUCUCAAUCAAACAACCUUCCUUCACCAGUAGCCACACCCUCUUUUUCUUUCUCGUCUAUGAAUCAACCUCUCACAGUGAAGCUGGAUAAUGGGAACUACCUCAUAUGGAAGAAUUAGCUUCUAAAUGUCAUCAUUGCUAACGGACUCGAUGAUUUCAUUGACGGAUCUCGACCCUGCCCUCCUCGAUUUCUCGAUCUGCAACAACAAACCCUCAAUCCAGAGUACUCAGCUUGGCAGAGAUACAAUCGACUUCUGAUGAGUUGGCUGUACGCAUCCUUGUCCAAAGAUAUAAUGGCUCAGAUUGUUGGGUAUUCAACAGCUAUGGAGAUUUGGAAUGCCCUUAAUCAGAUUUACUCUGCCUCUUCUAUGGCGCGGUUUACUGAGCUUCGCACCAAGCUUCAAACGCUCAAGAAAGAUGGACUCUCAGUUGGUGAAUAUAUUCAAAGGCUCAAAUCCAUUUGCAAUAGUCUUGCAGCAAUAGGAGAACCAGUUUCUGAGAAAGACCAUCUUAUCUAUUUGUUCAAUGGAUUAGAUUGUGAGUAUUAUUCUUUUGUUACCUCCAUUCAAAAUCGAUCUGACCAACCAACUAUUGACAAAAUCCAUAGCCUAUUGCUUAGCUAUGACUUCCGGCUUGAACAACAAAACUCUGUUUCUCUCCAUUCUGCCCAAGUCCAUAUGGCUCAUCUGAACAAGAAACCUUAUAAAUCAACUCCUCAACCUACAUUCAAUCAUAUUCACAUUCAACCUAGAUACUCUUCUCCACCUUUUAAGCCAACCACUAGUCAAUAUCAACCCAACAUUUUGGGCAAACCACAACCACAACCAUGACAGCCUCAACCUCAAUGGAAACCACAUUUUUCAAUCUAAAAUCAAAAGCCUCAGCGCCAAAUUUGUGGUAAAUUUGGACACACUGCUCUUAUUUGCUUCCAUCACACAAAUUUGAACUAUUCACCCCAACCUUCUCCUAAAUCUUUCAAUACUGUUCUCACCACAAAUUCCCAGCUCCCUAAUCCUCCAAAAUUUUCUUACCCUACAAUGGCUCAUCCUGCUGCUACGCAUAACACGGUUCCCGAUACAAAUUGGUACAUGGACUCAGGUGCUACACAUCACUUUACUCUGGACAUCAACGUGCUUGACACUGUGACACCAUUUAGUGGUUCAGAACAGGUGACAGUUGGGAAUGGUAAGCAACUCUGUAUCUCACAUCUUGGUACUGCAAAACUACCAUCUUCGUAUUCUCCUCCUGUUCUACAUCAGGUAUAUCACACUCCAAAAAUUUCAAAUAAUCUUAUUAGUGUUAAAAAAUUGUGUUCUGAUAAUAAAGUUUUUGUUGAAUUUUAUGCCACUCAUUUUCUUGUCAAGGAUCAGGUUUCGAAGAGAGUUCUCCUUUAGGGUCAACUUGAUAAUGGCUUAUACAAAGUUCAGUCGUCAUGCUCUCCUUCUGCUGUUUCCUUUCCUCCUCAAGUUUUCAUAGCCAACAUCAAGUAUCCAAAUCUGUGGCACAAGAGACUAGGCCACCCAGCUUUAUCUGUUGUUAAUCAAAUCUUGGAUUCUUGUAACAUUGCUCGAACACAGAAAAUUUGUUUUAAUUUUUUAAAUUCUUGUCAAUUAGCAAAGAGCCACAGGCUUCCUUUUUCUCUGUCUCCAUCCAUUGCAGAAAAACCUUUUGAGUUAAUUCAUACAGACCUAUGGGGUCUUUCGCUCGUUCGCUCUAUUUCUGGUGCUCUUUAUUUUUUACUUUUCAUUGAUGAUCAUACUCGUUUUACUUGGUUUUAUUUGCUCAAAACAAAAGAUGAAGCAUAUCCUACUUUUCUCAAGUUUCAAGCUCUCAUUGAAAAUCAAUUUAAUACCAAGAUUAAGGCUGUCCAAUCUGAUUGGGGAGGUGAGUUUCGAUCUCUCUCCAUACCGUUUUCAAAUAUGGGCAUUGUCUAUUGUUUAUCGUGUCCAUACACCUCACAACAGAAUGGGCGAGUUGAGCGAAAAAAUCGCCAUGCGAUUGUCCUUUCUUGCUUGCUCUAUGCCCUUAUCUUAUUGGCCUUAUGCCUUUCAAACUGCCACUUACCUUAUUAAUCGUCUCUCUACCCCUGUGCUGCAUCAUCAAUCCUCUUACUUCGCACUCUAUCACAAACUCCCAACUUAUACUCAUCUUAAGGUCUUUGGUUCCUCUUGUUUUCCGUAUUUGCACCCUUAUAAUACCCAUAAACUCCAAUACAGGUCACUAGAGUGUGCUUUUCUUGGUUACAGUUCACACCACAAAGGUUAUCUAUGUCUUGACAUUCAUUCUAGCAGGGUGUAUAUUUCUCGCCAUGUGAUUUUUAAUGAAGAUUCUUUUCCAUUCAAGAAUUUGAAAUCUUCUCUCUCUCAGUCUAUUUCUUCUUCCUCUUCUUUAUAAGUUCCUCUGUUCAUUCUCUUGCCUCCCCUUUCCCCAUCUCCUCUUAUUUCUUCAUCUAUACCUCAUUCUUUUCCCUCUUCUUCUUCUACCUCUAGUACUUGUUCCCCUCUCGUUGCUCCUACCUCUCUUCCUUCCUCUUCACACUCUGUGUCUCCAUCUAUUCCACCUCCUUCUCCACCUUCUCCGAGUGUGGACCUGCUUGCACCUUGUGUGAAUACAAAUUUACAUACUUCUUCUCGCACUCACAAUAUUCAUCCUAUGGUGACUAGAUCUAAGGUUUGUAUCUAUAAACCUAAGUUGUUGUUGAGUGUCUCCAUAGGUUCUCUCACUAAGCCUACUUCCUUUCUUCAAGCUAUUAAAGAUCCUUCAUGGAAGCAAUCCAUGGAAUUCGAGUUUGCUACCCUUCAACACAACAAGACCUGGCAUUUGGUUCCUUCACCUUCCUCAGGCGAAGUAAUCGGUUGUAAAUGGGUCUAUAAGCUAAAGCUUCAGCCUGAUGGCUAAAUUGAGAGAUACAGCCUGCUUAGUAGCUAAGGGUAUCAUCAAAUUGAAGUAUGGACUACUUCGAAACAUUCAGCCUGAUNNNNNNNNNNNNNNNNNNNNNNNNNNNNNNNNNNNNNNNNNNNNNNNNNNNNNNNNNNNNNNNNNNNNNNNNNNNNNNNNNNNNNNNNNNNNNNNNNNNNAGCUUCAGCCUGAUGGCUAAAUUGAGAGAUACAAGGCCUGCUUAGUAGCUAAGGGUUAUCAUCAAAUUGAAGGUAUUGACUACUUCGAAACAUUCAGCCUGAUUGUCAAGCUUUCUACUAUCUGUAUUGUGCUCAGUCUUACUUUUUCCCAGAAUUGGUGUAUUAGACAGCUGGAUGUUCAUAAUGCCUUCUUACAUGGUGACUUAGCUAAAGACGUUUUCAUGGAACAACUGCCUGGAUUUGUUGAUCCUCUCUAUCCUACUCAUGUCUGCAAGUUGGAUAAGUCUCUCUACUGUCUUAAAUAGUCACCUCGGGCUUGGUAUACUAAGCUGAGUACUUCUCGCUACACUUGGGAUUUGUUACUUCUAAGAAUGACUCUUCCUUAUUUAUUUGUCAUUCGUCUCAUGGGUUACUUCUUGUUCUUGUCUAUGUGGAUGAUAUAAUCGUCAUUGGGAGCCACUCUCCUCAGGUUACUCACCUUAUCCAACAGUUGCAUCAUUAGCUUUCUUUAAAGGAUCUUGGUCCUUUACAUUAUUUUCUGGGCUUGGAGGUUCAUCACACCCCUACUGGUAUUCACCUCAGCCAAGCAAAGUAUAUCACUGAUCUCCUUACCCGGGCGGCUAUGUUGGAUGCCAAGCCAUGUCCCACUCCUAUGUCCUCCAACACAUAUCUCUCUUUUCAUGAUGGAGUGGCUCUUGAAAAUGGUUCAGAUUAUCGAAGUUUUGUUGGUGCCCUUUAGUAUUGUACCAUGACACGCCCAGAUAUAGCUUUUGCAAUAAAUAAAGUGUGUCAAUUCAUGCACCAUCCCUCUAAUGUUCACUGGCAGGCUAUAAAACGUAUUCUCCGGUACUUAAAGGGCACAUCUCAUUUUGGUCUCUUCCUACAGCCUUCCUAUGACUUCAACAUCACUUGCUAUACAAAUGCCGACUGGGCUUCCUGUCCUGAUGACAAGUGUAGCACCAGUGGCUACUGCCUCUUUCUUGCCUCUAAUCUGGUUUCUUGGUCAUCUUCCAAACAAAAAGUGGUCUCCCGCUCCAGCGCCGAAUCAGAGUACCGAGGGGUAGCAAAUGGGGCUGCUGAAAUUGCUUGGACUGAAUCUCUUCUUUGUGAACUUUCCAUUACUCCCCCUCCCCUCAUUCUCUGUGACAAUAUCAGUGCCACGUACUUAGCUGCCAAUCCUAUUUUGCAUGCCCGCACCAAACAUGUGGAAAUCGACUAUCACUUUGUCACGGAACGUGUUCUUCAAUGCUCUCUUUUUGUCCAGUUUACACCUUCUGAUGAUCAACUUGCUGAUUGCAUGACCAAGCCUCUCUCCACCCAACGUUUCAUCACUCUACGCUCCAAGCUCACUGUUCUCACUAGACCAAUGAGCUUGAGGGGGGAUGUUAAGCCUAAAGAUGUAAUUAGUUAGGAUAUUCUUUUCCCUCUAGUCUUGUAGCUCCACGUGUACAGUUGGUUAGGACCUCAUUGUAUAUAAUGCCUGCCCUGUUAUUGUAGAAGACAACAGAGAUAAAUAAUAUUAACAUUUUUCCUCUCAUCUCUCUCUCUGUUUCCCUCUGUUUUCAUCUCCUCUCUCAUCUGAACCAAAUGAUCCAUGUUAACCUUGGCUUGGUUUGAUUUGGCUCUAUCUUAGAGAGCUCAAGGAUCACGUCAACUCUGGUUUCUACUAUUCAGGUCCAUUCCCAUAUGAACUGGUUCAAAUUUGAGAAAAUGGUAACAGACCUUUAGUGAUGUUGGUUUGGAGCCAGUUGCCAAACCCGCCCUGAGCUUUACCACUAAUGUCAAGGGAGAAAGCCAUUUGAACAAAAACAAUAGCUUCAAGGGACUGAAUCGUGGAUGAAAUCUGAUCCACAUUUCUUCUCAUUUUGGAAACAAAUGAGAACUUAACUAAGAAGAUUCUACGGCCUCAUAGUGCUUUUCCUGAUCUAAGGUUGGUUCGUUUCCCAAACUGUGAGAUGCACGUGCCAGACUUCAGAACUCUCACGCUCAGGAGUGUAUCCACGUGGUGGACAUAAGAUGGUGGCUUAAGAUCUGGUGUCGGUGGCUUUACUUUACUAGGAGAGUAGUGUGUCUUCAUCUCAUUCACUGCCGGAGGGUGGCGUAAGCAGUGACGCUAAGGUGGGGCACAGUCAAUAUCAUUUGCAUUUGACCAUUAUAGUUUUCUCCCGGCUUUAAAGUAACCUUAUCGUGAUAAAGGAUUACUAGCACUAGUUCAGAUGAUAGUCAUGUUAAAUUCGGACCAUGUUUGUGUCACAUUAUCAGCAACCAUGUGUUUAUGGUUCAUGCUUUCUGCAACUAAAAUUGAUAUAUAACCAGGUGAACUUCAAUCUAAAUUCUGAAAGUACUCAUGUGAUAGAUGGUGCCCGUCUGCAGAGUCCAUCAAUUGAAAAAUGGAGUGAGUGUAUCUAUAAGAGGGAAGGCUUGGAAAAUGUUCAGUUUUCUGGGAAUUCAACAAGGAUCUAAAAUAGAUUGUUUUCUUUGCUGAUUUCAAUGGUUGAAAUUUGAGAAGAUUGUGUCCACAUAACACAACUAUUACUGGUCCUUCUGUUGCAAUUUAUCCUCUAAAGCUCUAGCAUGUCUUCCAAUUCCCACUUCCCUGUUACUCCAGGAAAGCUAUUUCUGUCAUUGUGAAGAAGAAAAGAGAAUGUACAUAUCGAUGCUUUUAAGUGACUGGAGCAUUUAUAUCAGGUGGUCUGCAGCCAUAUAUGCCACUUUGUGAAGAUUGGAACAGUCAAUCACUAGGCUAUAUAUUAGUGUGGCCCAGCCACUUUAAUCAAGGACAAGUCUUCAUACUUAAAGUCAAAUUCUGCCUUUAGUCUCAUUAUAAAUUUCUGUUUAAAUAUUAAGCAAACAUUUGUUUAAUGCGAUUAAGACAGUACUAACUCAAUACCUGUUCUAUUUUUGGAUGCAAAUGCUUGAUGGUUUCAUCAUUGGAUGGGAUAAAGGUGCAUUCAUGAUUAGGAAUACUAGUAGUUAUAUUUUAAUUCUCUUUUUUCUCAAUGAGACUUGUUGGCACAAUUUUGCUGUUGAGAAACCUACCUCUCCAUGGAAAAUAAGUUGUGAUUGAUAGUACUGGAUAUAUUCAAGAAAUCUAAAUAUAGAUAGCACAAAAUAUUAUCGACAUAAAUAGCAUUAACAGCGUACGUAUGUCUCAGUGCUCAUCAGCUAUAAGCAUGGGGCAAACACUUACUAUGAGCAACUUACGUCAAAAUUCCAGAAUAGGACAUAGAAGUGACAGAUAUAGAACAUUGCAUAUGAGUCACAAGAAAGGAAAUUACGGGUGCAUAGCAGCUCUUAUUUUACAUACUACUACUCAUACUGAUCAAAGUCACUCAGUUGGGAUGGGUGGGAGUAGGAGGUUUGUGGGGUGGCUUGUGCGGAGGAGUUGGCAGCUUCUUUCCAGGACCUGGUUGCUUCUCUGCUGGAGUUGAAGGAGGCUUAAUCUUCCGAGGUGGCUUGUAUGAGUCUUCAGCAUUCUCAGCUGGAGGGUGACCAGGGUUGUGACCAUAAUGUGGUGGCUUCUCUCCCUUAGGUGGUUUGCCAACUGGGGUUGGUGGCUUGUAUGAGUCUUCAGCAUUCUCAGCAGGAGGGUGACCAGGGUUGUGACCAUAAUGUGGUGGCUUCUCUCCCUUAGGUGGUUUGCCAACUGGGGUUGGUGGCUUGUGUUCUGGGAGUGGCUUCUCCCCCUUGGGAGGUUUUUCCAAUGGGGUUGGUUUGUGUUCAGGAGGUGGCUUCUCCACUGGAGGCUUGUGUUCAGGAGGUGGCUUCUCCACCGGAGGCUUGUGUUCAGGUGGUGGCUUCUCCACCGGAGGCUUAUGCUCUGGUGGUGGCUUCUCGAAUGGGGGAUGCUUAGGAUAAUCAGCAAGUGAGGGGGCGGUGAGAACCACCAGGCCAAGCAACACCACUAGCAAAUAUGUAGGAGACAUCUUUGGGUUUGGGCUCAGAUGGUGCAAAACUAGGAGAAUUGGCUAGCCUUUUAUAGCGGAUCGUACCCAAUAAUGAAAUGACACGUGUCAUUAUGACCCAUGUGUAAUGGGGUCGAUUUGGGUCCUACAGUGUUGAAAACUUCGACAUCCACUUUUGGCCUUUUGCUUUCUCUACAGCCGCCUUGCUUUUUCCCUCUUUCCUUUUGUUUUCCUCCUGCCCCAUUCUAUCAACUAAACACAAUUAUGUAGUUGUUUAAUUCUUAAAUGAGAUAUUAUCCGUCAAUCGUAUUAUAUUUUAUCAAGAGAGAACGGAGUGCAAUGUGGCUGUAAUUUUAUCGUUUAGUUUUAUCUCUUGGACCACUGCAUUUUUGUUAAGAGGUGCAAUAAUACACGUCUUUAUCUGCCAUUCAAUAUUUACAGUAAAGAGAGGGCACAAAACUCUUCACUUCGCACCAUAAUUAUUUUGUUUUCUGGACACCCCGGGGCCCUUUGGUUGGUUUGGGGGUCAGAAAGUGAACAUCAUAGGGGGUUUUUCCCUUAUGUGCAUUUGUAUCUGAUGGCUUUAACUCGCCUUGUUACUACAAAGAAACUGUCACAGAUAGGAACUUAUUCCAGGCUGAGUAUCUCCUCAUAGACCCUAUAAAAGAAGACAAGUCAUAAUGAACAUCUAACCUUUGUUCAAUUUGAUUCAAUGCCCCCAUUGUGUCCAUCUCACAAAUCUGAAUUAUUAUAUCCAUUGAAUACAUAAAUUAAUGAAGAAAAUAUGAAACCCAAGAUACAUCUCUGCACAACCUCAACCCUGGUUGCUAUGUUUCCCUUCUAUUCACAUGAUUUGAUGCUAAUUGCCAAACUUGCAACAAGCCCUGAGUUUGACACCUAGUAUCGAUGGGCGAAUUUAAAGUCUCCUCCAAACAUAUAUUCCACAGCUUGAAGCUCACAGAAGAUGUUACAGGCAGGGAAAAACCUUCAGAGUUCGCUACCAAAGAUAAUUAUUAAGGAGAUAUCACAAAGAGAAUUCCAAGGGGUCUGAAUCAAAGACAAAUUGGUCGUUCGUGGGGGUUCUUACUUUCUUUUGGGUAUAACUCACUGAGGGCACUGUCUUUGUUAUUUGCAUUUCACAUUUAGAGUUCUGUUCUGGAAACAUAUAAAAGGAGCAUCAUUUUGUUCUUGGGUAACCCAUAGUCGUGAGUGGGUCCAUUUGCAUGCUACUUAGUUGAAAAGUUGGACCAUUUGCUCCGACGCCUACCUCCCGGAUUCCAUGCUCGGAUAAAACAAGAAUAAAAAAAAUAUUUAUAAUUUACAAAUGGGGGAAAGAAAAAAAUGUCAACAACAAACCAGGAAAAAAGAGUAGUAAAAUUCAUGUCACAUGCUAGUGAGAGAAGGGGUUGUUACACUCACUCGAAGUUCUUUCCAAAAUAUCGCAUGGUAUUUUAUUUUAUGUGUCAGCGCAGUUGUGAAUGGAACGUGCAAAAGUCCAAAUUGGCGUUUUUCCUUUUCCCGUGUAGGAUGGCGACCUUUAAUAAAUAUUUAAAACAAAAAACGAAAAAAAGGAGGGAAAAGGGAUCAGAAAAGAUAAAACAAUGUGUACAAGAGCUCAAUUAGUUUGCAAAUUACUGUUUGGAUUUUGAUAGUAUUUUAUUUGUCCAUCUAUAUUUGAUGGAAAAGAGAAUUUAAGAUAUUUCUGAAACAAAAGCAUUAGUGUAAAACUAAAUUAAGGUAUAAUUAAGUUAGUUCAAUGCAUUAAUUUAAGAAACUUGAUCUAUCCAAAGUACAAAAUUAGAUGAAAUCCAUUUCAAUGGUUAAAAUGAUCAAAAUCAAACUUUUUCUAAGUAUUUUUUAAAAGCAUCAAUAUUAAAAGACAAUUUUAUAUUUAGUCGGAGUUUGGACAAAACCAAAAAGCACACAAAAUCCAAGCGACCAUCUCUAGCUUGGAUAGUCACUUGAUCCCACCUAGAGAUGUGCAUGAGUAAAAGGAUUUGAAAAUGGAAAUUGACUAAAUAUUUAGUUGAUCAAUUAAAUUUGCAAUGUCAUAUGCAAUCCUAAUAGCUAGUCAUCUAAUCAAUUAGGUAGUCAAUCAAGUGUUUGUAAUGACUAUUUUGUACAAAAAACCACAUGUAUAGUUAAAUAUAAUGCAUUUCAUUUAUAAAUCUUCUAAUUCUUGAAUAACGAUCCUAUCAUCCUUUGAAAAUUUUUAUUACACCUUUUUUACUUUUGUUCUAAAACUUACAUAUCACCCUUAAUUGUACCAUGAGAACCUAGCUAUUUUUUUUUUUUUUGUAAUUCAUCAAAGUUAGCUUUUGUAUUCAUUGUUGUAUUAUUUUUAGUAUAACUUAGAAAGCUAGUGUUUUCAAGUGAGUAAAAUUAACUUGUAAAUAUUGUAAAGAUUCAUUGAUAUGUAUCUUAAACUAAGUGUACAAAUUAAAACAUUUGCUAGUAGAUUUUCUCAAAAUUUAGAAUAGAGCUUGAGGCUAUUGAAAUAGGUGGGGUUACACCAAACCACAUCACAUCGUUGUUUGCACCUUUUUUCACUCUCUUUUACUUAGUUUCUCUAUAUUUGUUGUCUAGUAAUAUCCUAUAGGCUUGAUGGGUUAGGGAGCAUCCCUUUGUGAAAAAAUUUCAUUCAAUUCUUAGUUGUAUUACGCAUAUAUAAAAUGCCUCAUUGUUUUAAUGGUAUUCAGUCGUGGCAUCACAGAUAUGGGCAUCUAAAUUUUAAAAGUUUGAAACUUUUGUAAAGCAUGUUGAUAAAAUCCAUGAGAGUUGUGUACUUGGGAAGCAACAUCGAGGUGACUUUAUUUUUUUUUCCUUUUAUAAUGCCACACCUAAGUCCGGUUUCUAAAUGCUAAAGUGAAAGGGUAGGUAUGGACCAUUGAAAUGUGAUCACAACUUUUGGCCUUUUCCUUUCUCUGCAGCCAUGUUGUCUCUUUUUUCUUUUGCAUGAUUUUCUUACCAAAACAGAAUCAUAGACUUGUUUAGUCUCUAAGCUACUAUAUUAUAUCUCGGUGGACUUUUAAGAGUGCAACCGACAUAGAGCACAUGCAAGUGGGCAUAUGGGACAUGAAAUUUCUUCUUACAAAGAUUGCAUGAUUUUUAUAUUAGAGUUGUUCACGUGCAAUGUAUUUAGCUUGUUUUGCAGUUAAAUUAAUUGGAUAAGUAAACAUUGGCAUUUCUAAAUCGACUGUGAAGUGCUUCAUGUACGUGUAAAGUAUUAGAAAUUUCUUUCUUGGCAACUUGUUUUUUCCUUGCCAUCUACUGGUAGGUUUGACUAAAAUUAUAUUCCCUGUCAUGCUAAUUAAUUUUCAUGUGCAUGCUCAAAAGAAGAGUAUGACCUUAGUGCACCAAAAUCACUUUGAUUAAUUUGUGAUAGGUUUUUUUGCAUCAUUUAGAUAAUGUUUAGUUCUAAGAAAAAUUUAUAUAAAAAUGGUUUAUUUAUCUUACAUAUAUAUAUAUAUAUAUAUAUUUUUUUUUUUUUCAUUUUUUUUUCUUCUAUUUUAUUUAUUUAUUUUAUUUUCCUUAUGUUUUCCUCACAUUUUCCGGAACUAAACAUAGUCUUACGAAAUCAACAAUUGCCUUCAACUGAGUAGAUUCUGUUGUUUUAGCAAUGUUAGGCUGCUAACUUGUGGUGGUACGAACCAAAUGACCCAUGUUAAUCUUGGCUUGGUUUGAUUUGGCUCUAUCUCAGAGAGCUAAAGGAUCACGUCAACUCUGGUUUCUACUAUUCAGGUCCAUUCCCAGAUGAACUGGUUCAAAUUUGAGAAAAUGGUAACAGACCUUUAGUGAUGUUGGUUUGGAGCCAGUUGCCAAACCCGCCCUGAGCUUUACCACUAAUGUCAAGGGAGAAAGCCAUUUGAACAAAAACAAUAGCUUCAAGAGACUGAAUCGUGGAUGAAAUCUGAUCCACAUUUCUUCUCAUUUUGGGAAAAAAUGAGAACUUAACUACAAAGAUUCUACUGCCUCAUUCAUAGUGCUUUUCCUGAUCCAAGGUUGGUUCGUUUCCCAAAUUGUGAGGUGCACGUGCCACUCUCACGCUCAGGAGUGUAUCCACGUGGUGGACAUCAGAUGGUGGCUUAAUAUCUGGUGUCGGUGGCUUUACUUUACUAGGAGAGUAGUGUGUCUUCAUCUCAUUCACUGCCGGAGGGUGGCGUAAGCAGUGACGCUAAGGUGGGGCACAGUCAAUAUCAUUUGCAUUUGACCAUUAUAGUUUUCUCCCGGCUUGAAAGUAACCUUAUCGUGAUAAAGGAUUACUAGCACUAGUUCAGAUGACCGUCAUGUUAAUUCGGACCAUGUUUGUGUCACAUUAUCAGCAACCAUGUGUUUAUGGUUCAUGCUAUCUGCAACUAAACUUGAUAUAUAACCAGGUGAACUUCAAUCAAAAUUCUGGAAGUACUCUUGUGAUAGAUGGUGCCUGUCUGCAGAGUCCAUCAAUUGAAAAAUGGAGUGAGUGUAUCUAUAAGAGGGAAGGCUUGGCAAAUGUUCAGUUUUCUGGGAAUUCAACAAGGAUCUAAAAUAGAUUGUUUUCUUUGCCGACUUCAAUGGUUGAAAUUUGAGAAGAUUGUGUCCACAUAUCACAACUAUUACUGGUCCUUCUGUUGCAAUUUAUCCUGUAAGGCUCUAACAUGUCUUCCAAUUCCCACUUCCCUGUUACUCCAGGAAAGCUAUUUCUGUCAUUGUGAAGAAGAAAAGAGAAUGUACAUAUCGAUGCUUUUAAGUGACUGGAGCAUUCAUAUCAGGUGGUCUGCAGCCAUAUAUGCCACUUUGUGAAGGUUGGAACAGUCAAUCACUAGGCUAUAUAUUGGUGUGGCCCAGCCACUUCAAUCAAGGACAAGUCUUCAUACUUAAAGUCAAAUUCUGCCUUUAGUCUCAUUAUAAAUUGCUGUUUAAAUAUUAAGCAAACUUUUGUUUAAUGCGAUUAAGACAGUACUAACUCAAUACUUGUUCUAUUUUUGGAUGCAAAUGCUUGAUGGUUUCAUCAUUGGAUGGGAUAAAGGUGCAUUCAUGAUUAUGAAUACUUGUAGUUAUAUUUUCAUUCUCUUUUUUCUCAAUGAGACUUGUUGGCACAAUGUUGCUGUUCAGAAACCUACCUCUCCAUGGAAAAUAAGUUGCGAUUGAUAGUACUGGAUAUGUUCAAGAAAGCUAAAUAUAGAUAGCACAAAAUAUUAUCGAUAUAAAUAGCAUUAACAGCGUACGUAUGUCUCAAUGCUCAUCAGCUAUAAGCAUGGGACAAACACUUACUAUGAGCAACUUACGUCAAAAUUCCAGAAUAGGACAUAGAAGUGACAGAUCUAUAUAUAUAGAACACUGCAUAUGAGUCACAAGAAAGGAAAUUACGGGUGCAUAGCAGCUCUUAUUUUACAUACUACUACUCAUACUGAUCAAAGUCACUCAGUUGGGAUGGGUGGGAGUAGGAGGUUUGUGGGGUGGCUUGUGCGGAGGAGUUGGCAGCUUCUUUCCAGGACCUGGUUGCUUCUCUGCUGGAGUUGAAGGAGGCUUAAUCUUCCGAGGUGGCUUGUAUGAGUCUUCAGCAUUCUCAGCUGGAGGGUGACCAGGGUUGUGACCAUAAUGUGGUGGCUUCUCUCCCUUAGGUGGUUUGCCAACUGGGGUUGGUGGCUUGUAUGAGUCUUCAGCAUUCUCAGCAGGAGGGUGACCAGGGUUGUGACCAUAAUGUGGUGGCUUCUCUCCCUUAGGUGGUUUGCCAACUGGGGUUGGUGGCUUGUGUUCUGGGAGUGGCUUCUCCCCCUUGGGAGGUUUUUCCAAUGGGGUUGGUUUGUGUUCAGGAGGUGGCUUCUCCACUGGAGGCUUGUGUUCAGGAGGUGGCUUCUCCACCGGUGGCUUGUGUUCAGGAGGUGGCUUCUCCACCGGAGGCUUAUGCUCUGGUGGUGGCUUCUCCACCGGAGGCUUAUGCUCUGGUGGUGGCUUCUUGAAUGGGGGAUGCUGAGGGUAAUCAGCAAGUGAGGGGGCGGUGAGAACCACCAGGCCAAGCAACACCACUAGCAAAUAUGUAGGAGACAUCUUUGGGUUUGGGCUCAGAUGGUGCAAAACUAGGAGAAUUGGCUAGCCUUUUAUAGCGGAUCGUACUCAAUAAUGAAAUGACACGUGUCAUUAUGACCCAUGUGUAAUGGGGUCGAUUUGGGUCCUACAGUGUUGAAAACUUCGACAUCCAGUUUUGGCCUUUUGCUUUCUCUACAGCCGCCUUGCUUUUUCCCUCUUUCCUUUUGUUUUCCUCCUGCCCCAUUCUAUCAACUAAACACAAUUAUGUAGUUGUUUAAUUCUUAAAUGAGAUAUUAUCGGUCAAUCGUAUUAUAUUUUAUCAAGAGAGAACGGAGUGCAAUGCAGCUGUAAUUUUAUCGUUUACUUUUAUCUCUUGGACCACUGCAUUUUUGUUAAGAGGUGCAAUAAUACACGUCUUUAUCUGCCAUUCAAUGUUUACAGUAAAGAGAGGGCACAAAACUCUUCACUGCUCUGCAUGUGUCCCAAAAAUGCGAUUGGACAAAUUAUGAUUUGCAUGCUAAAAAGAGGCAAAUGAGGUUAAUUCGCACCAUAAUUAUUUGGUUUUCUGGACACCAUAAAAAGAUGUUAUACAGGCAGGGAAAAACCUUCAGAGUUAGCUACCAAAGAUAAUUAUCAAGCAGAUAUCACCAAGAGAAUUCCAUAGAGUCUGAAUCAAAGACAGAUUGCUCGCUCGUGGGGGUUCUUACUUUCUUUUGGGUAUAACUCACUGAGGUCACUGUCUUUUUUAUUUGCAUUUCACAGUUAGAGUUCUGCUCUGGAAGGUUUGUUCUGGAAACAUAUAAAAGGAGCAUCAUUUUGUUCUUGGGUAACCCAUAGUCGUGAGUGGGUCCAUUUGCAUGCUACUUAGUUGAAAAGUUGGACAAUUUGCUCCGACGCCUACCUCCUGGAUUCCAUGCUCGGUAAAACAAGAAUAAAAAAAAAUAUAUAAUUUACAAAUGGGGGAAAGAAAAAAUGUCGGAAAAAAUAGUAAAAUUCAUGUCACAUGCUAGUGAGAGAAGGGGUUGUUACACUCACUCGAAGUUCUUUUCAAAAUAUCGAAUGGUAUUUUACUUUAUGUGUCAGCGCAGUUGUGAAUGGAACGUGCAAAAGUCCAAAUUGGCGUUUUUAUUUUUCCCAUGUAGGAUGGUGACCUUUAAUAAAUAUUUAAAACAAAAGACGAAAAAAAAAAGGAGGGAAAAGGGAUCACAAAAGAUAAAAUAAUGUUUACAAAAGCUCAAUUAGUUUGCAAAUUACUGUUUGGAUUUUGAUAGUAUUUUAUUUGUCGUUCUAUAUUUGAUGUAAAAGAGAAUUUAAGAUAUUUCCGAAGCAAAAGCAUUAGUUUGCUCUGUGAUGUCCCACAUCGAAUAGGGGAGAAAGUUUCUGGCGCUAUAUAUGUAGAGGCUCCUCUUAACCAAGUAGAUGCGUUUUAAAACCAUGAGGGCCCCCUUAGGUCCAAAGCGGACAAUAUCUACAUGAUUGGGUGUAAGUCAUUACAAAUGGUAUCAGAGCCGAUCCCCGACCCCGGUGUGGGGGUUUGUUUGGCCCUGUAAGGGGUGUUUGUCUGUUUGACCCCACAAUCCCAUGGGACACAACGAGGACGUUGUGUCUGCAUGGGGGGGCGUUUGUGAUGUCCCACAUCGGAUAGGGGAGAAAGUUCCUAGUGCUAUAUAUGUAGAUGUUUCUCUUAACCAAGUAGAUGCAUUUUAAAAUUGUGAGGGCCUCUUUGGGCCCAAAGCGGACAAUAUCUACAUGGUUGAGUGUAAGUCAUUACAUGCUCCAUGUCAAUUUCAGCAUUUCUCAUAUGUUUCACACAUACACAGAAGAGCAUCGUUUUUUAAAGCAUGCAUUUAUGUUGGAUUAAUUUGGAUUUUGUGGGAACUGGGGCAAGGAUCACAUGGAAGAGAGGUUGACUUUUUUCAGUACUUCAAUGGUUGAAAUAUGUGAAGGCUUGAUUGAUACUAAAGCUUGAAAUUGCGACUCUGUCAUUUGUAAAAAAAUAUGACAGCUUCCAUGCUCUCGUUUGGUUGCAUUGUCCGGUCGAGAGGUGCAAAAAGCAUUCUCUCUCUUCUAAUAGUCUUUUCGUUUAAAUCAAGGGAUUUGCCUUCCCGGUCGAGGUCCAAUAGAGGGUAACGGUCACCUACUAAACAUUAAAUGCUCCAACAACUAGUGAACUGAUCGACCCCAGCUCGACUAGUUGAGGUUACUUUUUGGUUUUCUUGUCUCCCGAGGUUAGAAACCUAUAAAUAGAGAGCUUCACUUCAUUUAUGAGUAAGAGAACACCUAAAUUUAUUUGUUUACCUACUUGUUUUUGCCAUAAAAGCUCUCAUUUCUUUUCUUGGUGUAUUAAAUCUCCAUUUGCAUAUCCUUUAGUGCACCUUUGUGAUUCAUUCUAGCCUUGAGUUGUAUUUAAGCCUUUGUUGAGCUAGGUUGAGAGUUUCAUACUUGUUUAUUGAGUGUUAAAGCCUUCAAGUGAGUUAAAACUUGAAGAGAUUGUGUAAGAGCCCAUUGGAGUCGGAAUCCAAGUGUAAAGGUGAUUAAAAGCUUGGUUGAAGCUUCAAGUUAGUGGAACUCUCACUCGGUUAUGAGCUUGAGAAGAGUGGACAUAGACAAGGCAGUGUCGAACCACUAUAAAAUCUGAGUUUGAUUUCUCUAACCUUAUCUCUUUAUAUUUGCUUCUCUUGUGCUUAAAUUUUUUGUGUUUAAAAAGAAUUUUUAAAAACUCAAUUCACCCCCUUCUUGGGAGUUUUUCUCUUUUAAGAUCAGCUUUUAUUUUCUCAAUUGGUAUCAGAACUAUGCCUCUUGUUUAAGACUUAAUCGUCUAAGAGGAAAUGGCUAAUCCAUCAAGUUCAUCUCACAUUGAAAGUUUUGCAACCAAUAGACUUCUUUUUUUUUUUUUGCGGGAACUGAUUAUCCCUAUUGGAAAACUAAAAUGACUUGGUUUUUACAAUCAAUUGAUUUAGAUGUAUGAGAUGCCAUUGAAGAUGACCUAACUUUUCCUUCAAAACUAGUUGAUGGAGUCAUGGUUCCAAAACCUAAGCAAGAAUGGGAUGAGCGUGAUUGAAGAAAUUUUCAAUUAAAUGCUAAAGUCGUUUAUACUUUGCAAUGCUCUAUGGACAGAAAUGAAUAUAAUAGAAUAUGUCAAUGCAAAUCGGUUAAAGAAAUUUGGAGAUUGCUUGAAAUAACUCAUAAAGGAACAAAUCAAGUUAAAGAGUCAAAAAUCAAUUUACUUGUUCAUAGAUAUGAAUUGUUUUUUAUGAAAGAUAAUGAAACUAUUGUUAAGAUGAUCACUAGGUUCACCAACAUUGUUAAUGGUCUUAAAGCCUUGGGAAAGACCUACAAGGAAUCCGAAAACGUGAUGAAGAUCUUGAGGUCACUUCCAUCAAAGUGGCAUACCAAGGUCACCGCAAUUUAAGAAGCAAAAGACUUGAUCAAGCUACCUUUGGAGGAGUUCAUAGGGUCAUUGAUGACAUAUGAAAUCAAUUUGGCAAAGAAGUAACAAAAAGGUGAAGACAAAAAGAAGAAGAACAUAACUCUCAAAGCUACAACUAAGGAAGAAGAAGUUGAAGAAGAAAAACAAAUUGAAGAAGAUGAAGAUUUAGCCCUCAUCACAAGAAAGUUCAACAAAUUCAUGAGGGGUGAAAGGUUUAGAAGAAGAAGGUUCACUUCUAGAAGAGACUUUUCUAAAAAGGAAUCUUCAUCUAAUGGUGACAAAAAGAGAUGGGAAGAGAAAAGAGACUUGGUGUGUUUCAAGUGCAAGAAACCGGGACACAUUAAAUAUGAUUGUCCUCUCUACAAAAGUGAAGUCAAGAGGAAAAAGAAUAAGGCAAUGAUGGCCACUUAGAGUGAAAGUGAAGAUGAAUCAUCCGAAGAAGAAAAUGAGAAAGAAGUGGCAAACAUGUGUUUCAUGGCAAUAGAUGAACUUGAUGAGGUAAAAUCUAACCUUAGUGAUUAAGAUAUACAUGAUGCAUUUGAAGAAUUGUAUGAGGAUUUUUAAAAACUUAGUUUGAAAAAUAUUUCUCUUAAAAAGAAAGUUCAACAACUUGACAAAGAACUUAGAGAAGUAAAAGAAAAAUUUUCAAAUGUUAAAGUUUCUAAAACUCAUCUUGAAAAAGAAAAUGAGAUUCUAAGAAAGAAAAAUGAAUAGUUGAACUCCUCUCUUUCAAUCUUUUCUUCUAGACAAAAAUCUUUUGAAAUGAUUCUAACUAGCUAAAAAUGUGUUUUUGACAAACAAGGGUUAAGAUUUAAAUCUUCAAAAAAUCAAAAGUAUUUUAAAAACUAUUUUGUAAAGGAAUCCACAAGUGCAAGUCCUUCCACUACUUGCAACUUUUGUGGAAGAGAAUGGCACAUUAGUAGUACGCCCUUUAAGAAAUGGUUCUCAAAAGAAUUUAAAUGCAAAAACUAAAAAAGAUUUGGAUUGAGAAAUCCAAGGUCACUAACCCUCAAGGACCCAAAAAGAUAUAGGUACCUAAAUCAACUUGAGUUUUAUGUUGUAAGGUUCAAAGAAUGAUAAGUGGUUCUUAGAUAAUGGUUGCUCAAGACACAUGACCGGAGAUGAAUCCAAGUUUGCUUUUCUUAAAAAGAAAAAUGGAGGAUAUGUUACCUUUGGAGACAAUGCAAAAGAAAGGAUGAUUGGUCAAGGCAACAUUGGUAAUGGCACAUCCUCUCUCAUUGAAAGUGUUUUAUUAGUAGAUGGUUUCAAACAUAACCUUUUAAGCAUUAGUCAAUUUUGCGACAAAGGUUUUUAAGUGAUUUUUUAAGCAUCUCAUUGCAUCAUCAAGGAUAUUCAAAAUGAUAAAACCAUUUUCAUGGGCCAUAGAUGUGAUAAUGUUUAUGCUAUAAAUAUUUCAAAAUAUGAUGGCCAUGAUAGAUGUUUUUCAAGCAUGCAUGAUCAAAGUUGGUUGUGCCAUAGGAGAUUGAGACAUGCUAACAUAGACCUCAUUUCCCAACUCAACAAAGAUGAACUUGUUAGAGGCCUUCCCAAAAUAAUUUUUUAAAAAGAUAAAGUUUGUGAAGCUUGUCAAGUGGGAAAGUAAAUCAAAAACUCUUUUAAAAACAAAAACUUCAUUUCCACAUCUAGGCCACUUGAGUUGUUGCAUAUGGAUUUAUUUGGUCCCUCUAGGACACCAAGUCUUAGAGGAAAUUCUUAUGCAUAUGCUAUUGUGGACGACUUCUCUAGAUACACAUGAGUCUUGUUUUUUAGUCAAAAGAAUAAAGUUUUUUAUGAGUUUUCAAAGUUUUGCAAUAAGAUUCAAAAUGAAAAAGGUUUUUCAAUUACUUAUAUAAGAAGUGAUCAUGGGAGAGAAUUCGAAAAUAUUGAUUUUGAAGAGUAUUGCAAUGAGCAUGGAAUUGACCACAAUUUUUUGGCUCUUAGAACUCCUCAACAAAAUGGGGUAGUUGAAAGGAAAAAUAGAACUCUUCAAAAAAUGACAAGAACCAUACUAAAUGAAAACAACUUACCAAAAUAUUUUUAGGCCAAAACGGUUAACACUUCUUGUUAUGUUUUAAAUAGAGUAUUAUUGAGGCUCAUACUUAAGAAAACUCCCUAUGAGCUUUGGAAAAACAAAAAACCCAACAUUAGUUAUUCCAAAGUCUUUGGAUGCAAUAUUUUAUAAUAAACACCAAAGACAAUCUUGGAAAAUUUGAUGCAAAAUUGGAUGUUGGAAUUUUCCUUGGUUACUCAACUUCAAGUAAAGCUUUUCGAGUUUUAACAAAAGAACCAUGGUUGUAGAGGAGUCCAUCCAUGUUAUUUUUUAUGAAUCUCCAAGAAAGAGAGAGGAUUGAUGAUGAUUUAGGUUUGAAGACCUCUAUAGGAAGAUUGCAAAUCGAAGAUAGAAGACAACAAGAAGAAAAUGGAGAGAAUCCAAAGAAAGAAGGAUCACCAUUGGCACUACCCCCUCAUCAACAAGCGCAAGGUGAAUCAAGUCAAGAGCUUCCUAAAGAAUGGAAGUUUGUCAUCAAUCACCCACAAGAUCAAAUUAUAGGCAAUCCAUCUAGUGGGGUAAGAACUAGAUCCUCUCUUAGAAAUAUUUGCAAUAAUCUAGCUUUUAUCUCUCAAAUUGAGCCUAAAAAUAUAAAUGAUGUUUUAGAUGAUGAAAAUUGGAUAAUUGCAAUGCAAGAAGAGUUAAAUCCAUUUGAAAGAAGUGGAGUAUGGGAAUUAGUACCAAGACCUUCAAAUCAAAGUGUUAUUGGAACUAGAUGGAUCUUUAGAAAUAAAAUGGAUGAAAAUAGCAUAAUUGUUAGAAAUAAAGCAAGAUUGGUAGCCCAAGGUUUUAAUCAAGAAGAAAUGAUAGAUUAUGAAGAAACCUUUGCCCCCGUAGCUAGGUUGGAAGCCAUUAGGAUGCUACUUGCCUUUGCAUGUUUUAAAGACUUUGUUUUAUAUCAAAUGGAUGUGAAAAGUGCUUUUUUAAAUGGUUUUAUAAAUGAAGAAGUAUAUGUUGAACAACCACCCGGUUUUCAAAGUUUCAACUUUCCUAACCAUGUUUUUAAACUUAAAAAGACACUUUAUGGUUUGAAACAAGCACCUAGAUCAUGGUAUGAAAAAUUGAGUAAAUUUCUUUUGAAAAAAAUGUUUUAAAAUGGGAAAAAUUGACACAACUCUUUUUAUAAAAACCAAAGAAAAUGAUAUGCUCUUAGUUCAAAUAUAUAUUGAUGAUAUCAUUUUUGGUGCUACUAAUGUCUCUCUUUAUGAAGAAUUUUCUAAGUGCAUGCAUAGUGAGUUUGAAAUGAGCAUGAUAGGAGAACUCAACUUCUUCCUUGGACUUCAAAUCAAGCAACUAAAGGAAUGAACCUUCAUCAAUCAAGCAAAGUAUAUAAGAGAUCUUCUCAAAAGGUUCAACAUGGAAGAAGCCAAAACAAUGAAGACUCUAAUGAGCUCAUCCAUUAAGCUUGAUAAGGAUGAGAAAGGUAAAUCCAUUGACUCUAUUAUGUAUAGAGGCAUGAUAGGUUCUUUGCUCUAUUUGACCACUAGUAGACCUUACAUUAUGUAUAGUGUGUGUUUGUGUACUAGAUUUCAAUCUUGUCUUAAAAAAUCUCACUUAAGUGUCGUGAAAAGAAUCCUCAAAUAUUUGAAAGGGACAAUGGACAUAGGCUUAUGGUAUCCUAAGAGUGAUAACUUUGAAUUAAUUGGUUUUUUGGAUGCUGAUUUUGUCAGUUGUAGGGUUGAAAAAUAAAACACUAGUGGCACUUUUCAUUUCUUAAGACACUUACUUGUCUCAUGGCAUAAUAAGAAGCAAAAUUUGGUAGCUUUGUCAACAGCAGAAGCUAAAUACAUAGCAACUGGUUUAUGUUGUGCACAAAUCCUUUGGAUGAAAUAAACACUUAGUGAUUUUGAUUUAUCUUUUGAGCAUAUUCCUAUUAAAUGUGAUAAUAGUAGUGCCAUAAGUAUAUCAAAAAAUCUCGUGCAACACUCUAGGACUAAGCAUAUAGAGAUUAGACAUAAUUUUCUUAGAUAUCAUACACAAAAGGAUGAUAUAACACUUGAAUUUGUAAGCAUAAAAGACCAACUUGCCGAUAUCUUUACAAAACCUCUAAGAACAUUUUGUUGAUAUUAGAGGACAAUUAGGAGUGAUUUCUUUAUGAUCUAAUGUGAUGAAUUCUUGAUGAAUAUACUUUUUGAUUGCAUGAAUUUCAUGUCAUAUAUGCAUCAUAUAGAAAUAUACUUAGAUAAUGGUCAAAUUUCGACCAAAAAUCAAAAUUCCCAUGGCAUUAGGCAUAAAAAUUUUGGAAUUUCAACUGAAAAUGGUAGGAGGAGGAUCACAAAAUGAGAAAGUAUGCAAAAAUUGAAAAAUCAAAACGUUGACCAAGCGGUCAAUCGGACUAGACCGAUCGACUAGUUUGUCGAGAUUUAGGAUUUUUAAGAGACUCCAACGCUUCAAUUUUUGCACCGUUCUCCUCUAUUUCUUCACGGUUUCUCUGAUUUUGUCUUUUAGAGACUAAUUUGAGUGCGUUUUGGAUCAAUUGAAGCAUUUUGGAUUGGAUUUUAGGAAGAUUGAAAGUUAAGGUUUCGGAUUUGGGUCGCCUUCUCUUCCUCUCGCGUGUCACAAUCAGCUUUAGCAUUGUUCUCUUUCCAUUUUCACACACCUAGGGUUUCAGUUGUGAGCAUCUCUCUCUCUUUACCAACCACUACUCCCUUGCUUCUUCCAUAUGGCUCCUAGGCGAGAGUCCGCUACUUCUAGGGCACAAGGCAAGCACCCAACUGAGUCGUCUCAGUCAAAGGCACGUCGAAAAGUGAGAUUUGACAUUGCCUUGUUCAGUUCCAUGGAGGACUACCAACUAUACAAGCAACACUUUGCUUAGAGACGAGUAGUUCCCAAGAGAAAUAUUAAUUUUCCUCAACUUCAGCAUUUCGAAUUUAAGGGUCUAUUUACUAGGAUGGUUGGUUGUCUAUUGUCACAAUUUCGGAGCCGGUUUUCCUGACCUUAGUGCGAGUUUUUUACUCGAGGGCGACUUAUGGCAUGGGUGGCAUGAUCAUUUCUACUGUUGGAGGAGUUGAGAUCUGUCUGGACCCAGAGAGCAUCUGCCAUAUUUUCGAUAUUGCUCUGGUUGGACUCAAAGUAUACAAGUCCAAAAUGUGGCCCAUUGUGCCAGGAUUUGAGCUUAGAGAGGUCAUUCAGAGGAUUUGUGAACUUCCAGACGCCCAGGAGAUGGGCAAACCAUUGCCACACAGUUUGACGGUCAUCAACAGGGUGCUACACCAUAUAUUGUGCUCUAUCUUUCUACCACGAAGUGGACAUUGAGAUGAGGUCUCUUAUUAUGAGGCAUUCCUUAUUGACUCCAUUCUAACGGAGAGACGAAUUCAUCUACUAUGUCAUCAUUCACUAAGCCUCCUCACAGUGACAUACCACCUCAUCAGGCACCUCUUGCUCCUGACCAUGCUCCAUUGAUGGAUUUAUUUACUCAUAUUAGCUCUCUAGGCACUCGCAUGAAGGAGUUUGUUGUAGUUAGUGAUACAUGGUUCUACUCCAUAGAGGAUCGCAUGGAUCAGUAUCAGACUGGCUUCACGUCACAGUUUGAGUAUCUCCAAUAGAGGAUUGAGCAUAUUGAGGAUCACUUGAGCAUGAGAAGAUGAUGGCUUUUCUAUGCUCUGUGUUUCCACCUCCACCUCGUCAACCUUGAUUUCUUAGAGACCCAUUGUUUUCAUUUUGUAAUGUUGCCAAAAGGGGGAGAUAUUUAGGAUCUAGGACUCUAUAGGAGACUUACAUGCAUAUCAUUUUCAUAUCAUUGUUUGGAUCGUACAUAUUGGAUAGUGAUACUUUUUACUUAUAUAUGAUAUGCCUAUAUGUUUCAUGUCUUACAUUGUUUCUUAUUGCAAAUUAUCUCUAACAUGUCUUGAUUAUCUUUUUUUUAACUUCAUAAAUUUUGAUUGUUAACCCAUGAUUGGUUUGAGGGGAAGAUUCUUCUUCUCCUAGAUAACCAAGGUUUGUCAUCAUAAAAAAAUUGGAGAUUGUUAGCCCAAGGGUUCUCCUAAUCAUGUUUUGAUGAUAACAAACCAUGCUUAAGUUACUAAUUGGUUUGAAUUAUAAAGAAUUUCAAGUGUUAAUUUGAAAAUUCAUCAAAGAACCUAAUGGAUGCAAGAUCAAGAUUUUUGGAAGACCUUUAAUCAUAAGAAACAUAUGUAAGAUGAAUGCAUGGGUGCACUUAAGAUUUGCAUAUCAUUUCAUGCAUAUUUGGAAAACACGGUUUAUGCUUUAAAGUUACAUUUCCAUCAAAAUUUGAGAUCCAUCAAAUGAACCUUAGGAAAAAUGUUUUAAAAUUGGCAUAUAAUUUUACCUAAAGACCUUGCCUAAGUGUUAGAAGCAAAAGGACAAAAAAAAUAUAGGUUUUCUGGUCAAAAAUGGUGAACCAGUCAAGGCAUUGUCUAAAUCAGCUCAAUCGGCCAAGGUACCGGUCGAUCGGUUUCCCUUUCCCUGUCGAGAUCUAGUCAAGAGGUACAAAAAUCACAAUCUCUGUCUCUUUCUCUCUUUGUCUAUCUUCCAGUAGUCUUUCCUUCCCGGUCGAGGGAUUUGCCUUCCCGAUUGAGGUCCGAUUGAGAGUAAUAGUCACUUGCCAAAUAUUAAAUGCUCCAACAGUUAGUGAACUGGUCGACCCCCACCUUGCCCAGUUGAGGUUACUUUUUGGUUUUCUUGGCUCCCGAUGUUAGAAACCUAUAAAUAGAGAGUUCCACUUCAUUUAUGAGCAAGAGAACACUUGCAUUUAUUUGUUUACCUACUUGUUCUUGCCUUAAAAGCUCUCAUUUCUUUUCUUGGUGCAUUAAAUCUCCAUUUUGAUAUCCUUUAGUGCACCUUUGUGAUUCAUCUUAGCCUUGAGUUGUAUUUGAGCCCUUUUUUUAGCUAGGUUGAGAGUUUCAUACUUGUUAAUUGAGUGUUAAAGCCUUCAAGUGAGUUGAAACUUGUAGAGAUUAUGUGAGAGUCGAUUGGAGCCGAAAUCCAAGUGUAAAGGUGAUUAGAAGCUUGGUUGAAGCUUCAAGUUAGUGGAAUCCUCACUCAAUUAGGAGCUUGAGGAGAGUGGACGUAGCCAAGGAAGUGUCGAACCACUAUAAAAUUUGAGUUUGAUUUCUCUAACAUUGUCUCUUUAUAUUUGUUUAUCUUGUGCUUAAAUUUAUUGUGUUUAAAAAGAAUUUUUAAAUACCCAAUUCACCCCCCUCUUGGGUGUUUUUCUCUUUUAAAAUUAGCCUUUAUUUUCUCACAAACUAUUGUAGUAUAGUGGUUUUUAGGUGUCAUCCAUUAGGAUGAAUUGUUCUCGGUAAUUAAGGCGUGAAUGAGAGGAGAAUUAAUGAUUGUGAUUAAGUAAAAUUGAUUUGAAAAUUCAUGGUGAAAAAUCAAUUUAACAAUGGUUUCUAAUUGAGAAAAACAAUGAAAUGUGAAAUAAAAUAAAAUUAAUAGGAAAUGAAAUUCUCGAAGUUAGAAUUUUCUAAAAAACAAAUUCCAUGGUGAAUGGAUGUUGAGAUCUAAUUUUCAUCAAGUUAGAUUGAAAACCGAAAUUUUCAUAUAAACUGAUUUUUUAUUUAGUUUUAGGUCUAGAUUUAAUUUCCCUUAAAAUUAGGUUAUUUAAUCCAAGAAAUCAAUUCAAAUCAUAUAUUCAAUUCAUCUUAAAUUAUCUUCCAAUUAUUCACACAAUGCAACUAUUCAAUCUCAUCAAAUCUAGCUUUUAAGAAUUUAAUGAAUCUACCUAGUUUGCAUUGUAAUAGUCAUCCAUGACAAUUUGAAGAGAAAAAUAAUUCAAUUAAUCAAUCACUUGGAUCAAAUUACCUUUGCAAUUAAAGUUCAUUUCUCUAAUUCACCACAGAUUUUGUCUCUAGAUCCUCCUUUCUCAAAGAAAAAUGAGAUUUAGCCACACAUGAUUGGAGAUUUGGUCUCAUAAGGCAUGUUUAGCUAGUGAUAAAAUGAGAGAAAAUAAAGAAAAAUAGAGAAUUCGAUUAAGAAAGAAAAUCUAAAAAAUUCUACAAUUAGAAAUGUCCAAAAAGCUUUUUCAUGAGAAAAUCAAGUUUCUAUUUAUAGGCCAAGGUCAAGUGGACACUUGACAUCAUCUAAGAGGUCUUCCGGAAGCUUCUUCAUCAAGAAAUCUGGAGUUUAAUAAUAAAAUGGUCAUUUCACAAGAGCUCAAACAAUUUCGCAUGAUUAUGUGAAAUAAAAAAUGCAACAACAGCAAUUUACAUCUUCUUGGAGCAUUUCGCAUGACUGUGUGAAAUUUUCACAUGAUCAUGUGGAAUCGACUUGACAACUCUCAUUUAGCCUACAACAUAAUUCCACCUUUUGGUCCAUUUUUCAUAGUCAUGCGAAAUGGAAAUAUUUGAUUUUUAAGUUUUCUUUUGUCAUUUCUUUCAUUUCCUUCUCUUGAUUCCACUUCAACUACCUCCGAAUCCUGGUCCAAACCAAUUGCAUUACUUCUUUCAUUAUGCAUUUGGAUCAUCAUCAACAUUAUUUGUUCUCUUCAAUUUGAUUCAUCUCUUUUGUCACCAAUUUAUCAAAAUCAUACCUUGAAAUGACUCCAAAACUUCAUAAAACUUGUUAGUAACUCUUGCAAGGGCAACAACAUAUUAAUUAAGUGUUUUAGGCAUAGUUACUACUCAAAAGAUGCGAAACUCAUGAUAAUUAUUAUAUAAAAUAUGCUCUUUUUGAGUAGUAAUCAACUUUCUUGCAUAAGCAGACCUUUUAGGGUGGAGUACUAAAGACCAAUAUGCUUGUCCUUGUUGUAAUAAAGAAACUUGCUCUUAUUGAUUGCACCAUGGGAGAAAAUUUUGCUACAUGAGUUAUCAUCAAUUUCUUCCCACCAAUCAUAGAUUUAGACGUGACAAGAGGCCUCUUAAUGGCAAGGAGGAACUGACACUCACACUUAUACAAUUAUCGGGCAUUGAUGUGUUGCAACAAUUAGAAUAACUUACACCAAUUAUGUUGGGGAAGUCACAAAAGGCAAACAUGAAAACUAAAAGGAAAAAAGAAAAAUGUUACAUAUCACCACAACUGGAAAGAAAAAAGUAUUUACUUUCAUUUGCCAUAUUGGAAAGCACUUAUUUUACAUCAUAAUAAUUUAGACAUAAUGCAUAUUGAGAAAAAUGUGUGACAAUAUAAUUGAGACAUUGUUCAGUAUUGACGAAGAAACAAGGACAACCUAAAUAGUCAUCUCGAUUUACAAGCUCUAACUAUUAGAAAUGAGAUUCACCCAAUAGAAAGCAGGACCAAAUUUAUUUUGCUUGCAACAUGCUACUCACUCACCCCAAAUGAGAUUAAGGAAUUUUGCAAGUUUUUGAAAUCAAUAAAGGUCCCCAAUGGCUAUUCUUUCAAUAUCUCUCGUUAUGUGCAACUCAAUGAAAGGAAGAUAUAUGAGCUCAAAUUGUAUGAUUGUCAUGUCCUAAUGCAACAACUUCUCUCACUUGUAGUUCGUGGAGUUCUACAUAAGAAUGUUUGUGGAGUUAUCAUAGAAUUGCGUAAUUUUUUCAAGCAAUUGUGCUCAAAGGUGUUAGAAACAAAUCACUUACACCAACUUGAGAACAAUAUUAUUGUCAUACUAUGUAAAAUGGAGCAAAUAUUUCUUCCAUCAUUCUUUGAUAUUAUGGUGCAUUUACUUGUGCAUCUAGUAAGGCAAAGGUUGCAAGACUUGUGCAAUAUUGUUGGAUGUACCUAAUUGAACGAUAUUGUUAUAAUUUCAUAUGAAUCAUUUAAUUUUAUUUUAUAUUAUGUUCAGUUCAUUAACAUGUACAUUGGUCUACAUAUGGAUGAUGAUAGGUACCUAAGCACUUUAAAGUCAUAUGUGCGUAAUAGAACUUUUCUAGAAGGUUCUAUUGUAGAAAGGUACCUUGCAAAAGAAUGUACAACAUUUUAUUCUAGGUACUUGAAUGAUGUGGAAAUAAAGUAUAAUCACAAUGAUAGAAACUUUGUUGGUUUCAACACUAGAGGAGAUGAAAGGGGUUAUCUUUAAACAUAUUGGACAUGCAUUGGGAAAGCCCAUAUUUCAUUAACUUAGUUCAAAAGAGUGGUCACAAGCACAUUUAUAUGUGUUGACAAAUUGCGAAGAUGUCAUACCAUUCAUUGAGUAAAAAAUUUAUUUGAAUUUUAAUUAAAGCUCUAGUUUAUAUCCUUAAUCAAUGUUUUUUAAAUUCACAAGGAGCACAAGCAAACCAUCAAGGCUAGACCACAUAUACGUGUUUGAGACGUAGAUUUAAUUCAUAACAAGGAAUUUAUCAAGUGGUUUGAAAGACAUGUAAGUAUAUUCCUUAUUAUAAGGGAUUUAUUUCACAUUAUGUUUAUAUUGAAUCCAAACCUAUUAUUGAAUUGUAGGUUGAACAAUUACAUAAUGAAGGUCAUAUAUCUGAACACCUUCUCACAUUAUCAUGUGUUCCAAAUUCAUUAGUUACAUGCUUCAAAUGAUAUAUUGUCAAUGGAUUUAGAUCCCACAUUAAAGAACGUGAUAAAAAAGUUUUUAAAAAAAGACUCAGAAUAAUGGAAUUGUUGUAGUUGCAAAAACGUCAAGCUUUACAAGUGCAUGUGAUAUGAGUCCAAUUAUUAGUGAUGCUCUCUACUAUGGUGUUCUAACUAAAGUUGUUGAGUUACAUUAUCUUGGUGAAAAUAAGGUUGUUUUAUUCGAGUUUGAUUGGUGGGAUGUUACAAAUAUUGGAAAAUUGAUAAAAGAUGAUGAGUACAAUUACACAUUUGUUAACUUUGCAUGAAUUCUAACCACGAACGAACGAUUUGUACUUGCAUCUCCAGCAAAGUAAGUGUUCUAUGUGAAGAAUGCGAAUGAAUCAGAUUGGCAUACUAUCAUGGAGAUGCAACCUCAAGACCUCUAUAAGAUGAACGGGAUAGGAUCCAAUGGUGAUUUUGAACCAUUUCAACAAAGUGAACUACAUGAUCACUAAUAUAUCUCAGAUUUAGUUGAUGAAGAUAUAAUCAAGUGGAACAAAAGUGAUGUUUUAGGACUAAUCAUCCUAAAAAAUAUUGUAGUUUCUUAAAAAAAAAAUGAAAAUGAAGAAGAUAAUUGAACCUUUGUCAUACUUUAAAAAGCAACUAUGCAUUGUUCAUUUUGUAUGUUUUGGUUUUCUUCAUUUAAUUUCCUGAUUUUUGUGAUUCAAUGUCAUAUUAUUGAUCUUGAAAUAUUUUUCUAAUUUUUCAUUCUACGAUGGUUUCAACAAGGAUGACAUCAAGUCAAAAAAGGAAAUGUGGUCCCACACACAAUAUUGCAUUACAGGGAUUAAGGUCAGGGAAGAAGGUAAAAGUUGCAUUUAAUGAGUACAAUCAAUUGGUUAAACAGAAAAAUGGAAAACACUUAUCGAGCUACAUAGGGACACUUGUAUCUAACCAACACAAUGUACCUCUCCAAGCUAGUGAUUGGAAAAAUGUUCCAAAUGAUGCAAAAGAGAAAGUAUGGCCUUUGUUUUGGUAUGUUGUAUUUCUCACUAUAUGAUGUCAUUUCACUGUUAUUCUAUUUUGUGACUAACGUUUGAAUCAUAUGUAAGAAAAAUUUGAAGUAGAUAAAGACUGAAAAGAUUACAUGUUGGGUAUAGCCUCAAAUAAAUAUAGAAGCUAUAAAAAUAUGAUGAAUGCAAAAUACUAUGACCCUUGGCAUAAGGAUGCAUGAGGAGAGGUUAAUACAUAAAUCACCAUUUGUCUCUGAUGUUGAUUGGAAGUGGCUUGUCUCUGAUGCAUAAACCAAAUCCCCCACUGAAUGUUUGAUAUUUGAUAGCAGGAAAAACACACCCGCAGCUAUACACCUCCAUCAUUCAGAUAAUUAUAGUGGGGGAGAUGAUUCAUGGUUGCCCUUAUACCCUUUAUUUGCACCAUCUAUUGAGAUUCUUUAUCAUGGCCAGGUUUUACUGCAGCAAUAAGAUAUGGUGGCAACAAUUUUAUCUAUAGGUGCGGUUCCAGACCGCCUCCAUAGGUGCGGUUCCUGACUGCCUCCAUAGGUGCCUCUUCUUGUAAUGUUUGUUCUGGGAAUUACACUUGAAAGCCUUAUCGUGAUAAGGGAUUACAAACACUAGUUCAGAGGACAGCCAUGUUAAACUUCCACUAUGUUUGUGUCACAUUAUCAGCAGCCUAGUGUUUAUUGGUCAUGCUAUCUGCAACUAAUAUAACCCGGUGAACUUCAAUCUAAAUUCUGAAAGUACUCAUGUGACAGAUGGUGCCUUUCAGCAGAUAUCAUCAAUUUAAAAGUAGUGUGUGUGCCUAUAGGUGGGAAGGCCUUGGCAAAUGUUCAGUAUUCCGGUAAUUCAAGAAGGAUAUAUCUAAAAUAGAUUUUCUUCUUGCCCAUUUCAAUAGUUAAAAUUUGAGAAGAUUGUGUCCACAUCACACAAAUAUUAUUGGUCCUUCUGUUGCAAUUUACCUCUGAACAUGUCUUCCAAUUCCCACGGUCCUGUUACUCCAGGAAAACUAUUUCGGUCAUAUUGAAAAAAAAAAUAUUAAAGAAGGUACACAUGCUUUUAAGUGGACUGGGGCAUUCAUAUCAGGUGGUCUGUAUCCACAUAUGCCACUUCGUGAAAGGUGGAACAGCCUAAUCACUAGGCUAUUUAGUGUGGCCCAGCCACGUUAAUCAAGCACAAGUCUUCAUACUUAAAGUCAAAUGGUGUCUUUAGUCUCAUUACACAUCGCUAUUUGAAGAUUAACUCAUCACUAGUGUAAUGCGAUUAAGACAGUCCUAACUCAAUAUUUGUUCUAGUUUUGGAUGCAAAUGCUUGCUGGUUUCAUCAUUGGAUGGGAUAAAGGUGCAAUCAGGACUAUGAAUACGUGCAGUAAUACUUCAUUCUCUUUUUUCUCAAUGAGACUUCUUGGCACAAUUUUGCUGCUCAGCAACCUACCUUUCCAUGGAAAAUCAGUUGUGACUGAUAGUAAUGGAUAUAUUCUAGAAAGCUAAACAUAGAUAGCAUUCAAUAUUAUCGAUAUAACAUUAACAGCGUAUGUCUCAAUGCUCAUCAGCUACAAGCAAUGGACAAACACUUUGAGUAACUCACAGCAGUCAAAAUUCCUAAACAGGACAGACGUGACAGAUCUAUAUAUAGAACACUGCAUAUGAGUCACAGGAAAAGAUAAUACGGGUACAUAGAAGCUCUUAUUUUACAUAUUACUCAUACUGAUCAAAGUCGCUCAGUUGGGAUGGAUGGGAGAAGGAGGUUUGAGGGGUGGCUUGUGCGGGGAAGUUGGCAGCUUCUUUCCGGGAGCUGGUUGCUUCUUUGCUGGAGUUGAAGGAGGCUUAAUCUUCCGAGGUGGCUUGUAUGAGUCUUCAGCAUUCUCAGCAGGAGGGUGACCAGGGUUGUGACCAUAAUGUGGUGGCUUCUCUCCCUUAGGUGGUUUGCCAACUGGGGUUGGUGGCUUGUUUUCUGGGAGUGGCUUCUCUCCCUUGGGUGGUUUGCCAACUGGGGUUGGUGGCUUGUGUUCUGGGAGUGGCUUCUCCCCCUUGGGAGGUUUUUCGAAUGGGGUGGGUUUGUGUCCUGGUGGUGGCUUCUCUCCCUUGGGAGGUUUACCAAUUGGGGUCGGUGGCUUGUGUUCUGGGAGGGGCUUCUCUCCCUGGGGAGGUUUAGUGGGUGGCUUGUGUUCUGGAGGUGGCUUCUCCACCGGAGGCUUAUGCUCUGGUGGUGGCUUCUCGAAGGGGGGAUGCUCAGGGUAAUCACCAAGUGAGGGGGUGGUGAGAACCACCAUGCCAAGCAACAACACUAGCAAGUAUGUAGUAGACAUCUUUGGGUUUGGACUCAGACAGUGCAAAACUACGAGAAAUCGCUAGCCCUUUAUAGCGGCUCGGACCUAAUACUGACAUAAUAUAAAAUAAAUAUUAUAUUUUAUCAAGAGAGAACAGAGUGUAAUUUUAUCAUUAAUACCGAUCGAGGCCAAAGAAAGAAGACCCAUAAUCCAUUUCCCACAAGCAUACACAAUGCAGCUGUAAUUUUAUCAUUUACUUUUAUCCCUUGGACCACUGCAUUUUUGUUGAGAGACACAAUAACACAUUUUUAUCUGUCAUUCAACAUUUACAGUAAAGAGAGGGCACAAAACGCAAUUAGAUAAAUUAUGUUUUGCCUGCUAAAAAGAGGCAAAUAACUUUAUUUGCAACAUAAUUAUUUUGGUUUCUAGUGACCCCGGGGCCUUUCGGUUGGUUUGGGAUCGGAAAAUGAACAUCAUAGGGGGGGUUGUGCCCUUAUGGGCAUAUAUAUCUGAUAGCUUCAACUGGCCUUGUUCCUAGAAAGAAAUUGCCAAAGAUAUAAACUUAUUCCAGGCUGAAAGUAGAUGAGAGUCAUAAUGAACAUCAACCUUUGUUCAGUUUGAUUCAAUGCCCCCAUAGUGUUCAUUUCACAGAUCUGAAUGAUUAUAUCCGUUGAAUACAUAAAUUAAUGAAGACAAAUAUGAAACCCAAGAUACAUCUCUGCAUAACAACCCCAACCCUGGUUGCUAUGUUUCCCUUCUUCUAUUCACAUGAGGAUACUGGUUAUAAUUGUCAAACUUGCAACAAGCCCUUUGACACCUAACGUCAAUGGACGAAUUAAAAGUCUCCUUCAAACGUCUAUUUCACAGCAUGAAGCUUAUAAAGGAUGCUGACAACCUUCAGAGUUAGCGACAAAAGAUAAUUAUCAAGGAGAGAUAGUUCCAUGAGAAUUCCAAGGAGUCUGAAUCAAAGACAAAUUGCUCACUCAAGGGUUCUUAUUUUCUUUUAGGUACAAAUCUCUUGAGUGUUGUUAAAGAAACACGUCACUGUCAUUUUGAUUUGCAUUUAACAUUUCACUUUUGUUCUGGAAGGUUUGUUCCGGAAACAUAUCAAAUGAGCAUCAUUUUCUUCUUCGGUGACACAUGGUCGCGAGUACGUGGGUCCAUUUUCAUGCCACUUAGUUGAAAAGUUGGAAAGAAAAAACAUGCCAACAAGAAGAUAGUGAGAGAAGGGGCACUUCAAGCCUUUAACAUGAACAAACAGUAAAUAAAAGAUGUUUCUCCACUCAUAAAAGUGUGUUAGAUAGCAAUAUAACGAAUCACAUCCAAAAUCUUUACUAGGCUCAAACAUAAAGAAGACUCAUUUUUAAGAAAAGAUAAAAAUGGCAUUGUCUGAUAGUAUCCAAUACACGAGAUGGCACUUAAUUUGUACAAGAUCUGUCAAUGCUGACGCACAUUUUCUGAUUAAAAAAAAACUGAUCAGUCAAAAGCAAUGAAGAGAAGUGAUGACAAUGAAUGAUGCUUCCAAUAUUUUCACCCCUUAUAGUGUUCUUCAUGAUUCAGAUAUAUAAUUGGAAAUAGAACAACCCUAUGCCAUACAUUCGUCUAAGUAUGGUGUCUAAUUUUUUGUGUCAGCGGUUGCGAAUGGAGCGUGCAAAAGUCCAAAUUGGCGUCUCUCCAUUUCCACAUAGGAAGGUGACCUUUAUUGACAAAUACCCAAUAUUUGUAGACAUUCCUUAAAUAUCAUAACUUCUUGUUGAUUUGAAAAUCAUUUUUCAACUACCAUGUUUUAAUAAAUAUUUUUUAAAAUGUAUUUUUAUCAAAGUCCACCAUGAUGGAUAAUAUUCACCAUGCAAUAAUUAAUAAAGUACAAACUAAGCGAAAUGAAAAGCAUUUUCUUUGCUUUGAGUUGAUUUUGGUUGCAUUGAGUUGAUUUUGGUUUCAUGGUUUUUUCAACUCUUAUUUUGAUUGGAAGAUGUCAAGAAAAGAAAACAUAAAGAAAAAUUAAAAGGGAAAAAAGAAGAAAAAUAAAAAAAAAUAGAUUUAAAAGUUAAUAAAUUAUUUUUUAUAUUUAUUUUAAUUCAUUUCACUUAUUUUUCUUUUACUAUAUAAAAUUUAAAUAAUUUAAAUUUUAUAAUUAAUUUAAUUACAUUUCAUUUUCUUCUAUAUUUAAAUAUUGGAAAAAUAUUUUACUUAAUAUUUUUUUCUUUAAUUUCUUUGGCAUUUUGGGAACCAAACUUAGCCUUUAAAAUAAAAAACAAAAAAAAAAUGAAAAUAAGGAGGGAAAAGUGAGAAAAGAUAAAAACAAUAUGUAAAGGAUUUGAAAAGUAUUAGUUUGUAAUUACUAUUUGGAUUUCAAUAGUAUUUUAUUUGUCUUUCUAUAUUUCAUGUAAGAGAGAAUUUAAGAUAUUCCCCAAGGCAAAGCAUUAGUUACCUGCAAUCAGUGGUGAUAAGGCUCCAAGCCAAUUUUGGGCCCCAUAUCUUAAGACAGUACAAUUUCCAUUUCAACAUUUCUGAUUUCUCAGAUGUUUCACAUACCACAGAAGAACAUUGUUUGUGAAAAUAUGCAUUUAUGUUGGAUUUUGUAUGCUGUGGGGACUGGGGCAAGGAUCAUAUGGAAGAGUGGUUGACUUUUUCUGUACUUUAACGGUUGAAAUAGGAUAAGCACGGGCAUUUGUGAGGCUUAAUUGAUUUUGAAGCCUGAAAUUGCGUUUCUGUCAUUUUGUCAAAAAAAUGGCAGAUUCCAUACUCAUAUGUUUGGCCUGUGGCCAUGUACAGAUGCCAUUUAGUGACCAGUUUGUAACUGUCAAUCGUUGCGUUUUGACUCUGCCUCAACAACAUCUGCCAUUGACGGGUUUUCAUACUUGCAAAUCAAAUAGUCUUUCGUCCCAUCAGGAAUUUCGGUUUAAAUAUUAUUAAGCAUACGUUUGGCUGACAAUCAUUAUCCAGUUCAUGAUUUGGUUUCUUACCCUUAAUCAAUGGUUUCUAAGUGAAUAUAUGUAGAAGGAAAUCCGAAGUGUAGACAGUAGUAUCGAUAACUCUCAAUAUUCUCUAUAUAAUAGAAUAAACAGCGUCAUAGUGAUCGUCGCCUACAAGCAAGGUACAAAUACCAAAACGAGUGACUCACAUAGACAUCUCCCAACAAGAUGUAGUAGUGACUGACACAUGGACACAAUUAACUCGUAGAAAAGGAUAAGACCAUUGCACAGCAGCUCUUAUUUUACAUACUACUUAUGCUAACCAAAGUCAAUUAGUUGGGAUGGGUGGGAGAUGGAGGUUUGUGCGGUGGCUUGUGGGGCGGAGUUGAUGGCUUCUUUCCAGGAGCUUCUGGCUUUUUCAUCGGAGCUGAAGGAGGCUCAAUCUUAUGAGGCGGCUUGUAUGAGUCUUCUUUACUCUCGACAGGAGGGUGGCCAGGGUUGUGAUCAUAAUGUGGUGGCUUCUCUCCCUUAGGUGGCUUGCCAACUGGGGUUGGUGGCUUGUGUUCAGGAAGUGGUUUCUCUCCCAUGGGAGGUUUAGCAAUUGGGGUUGGUGGCUUGUGUUCUGGGAGUGGCUUCUCUCCCUUGGGAGGUUUAGUAGGUGACUUGUGUUCUGGAGGUGGCUUCUCCACCGGAGGCUUGUGCUCCGGUGGUGGCUUCUUGGUUGGAGGGGGCUUGGGGUAAUCAGCAAGAGAUGGGGUGGUGAGAACCACCAGUCCAAGGAACAACACUAGCAAGUAUGUGGGAGACAUUUUUGAGUUUGGGCUGAUCAGAUGAUGCAAAACUAAAGCAUUACGUGACCUUUUAUAGCAUGUAGCUCCCAAUACCCACUAAGUAUUGUGGGGUCCAUUUGUGCCCUACGGGGUUGAAAACUUAGACAAUUGGGCAAGGACCCACCUGACUAUGGAGGACUAGUGAGGUGUGAUCAUAGCUUUAGGAUUUUUCUUCCUCUGCAGCCGUCGUGCCGUUGGCAUGAUUUUCUUAAUCUUAAAUAAAGGCAUAGUUAUAGAGUUGUUUAAUCUCUAAAUGGGAUUUUAUAUAUAUCUUCAGAUAGCCAUUAAUAUAUUUGAUGAAGAAAGAAAGACAAGUGCAUACAACAUGUAUACGACUAGCUUUCAUGGAGUUCAUUUAUGAUCAGUUUUCCUGUACAUGUAAACCAGGAUCAUAUAUAUGUUUCUGUUCCACAACUAUUUUGGAAUCUUGUUUAUCAGUUUUUAUCAUUAUAAUGUCACAUAGGCUGCCAACUUGGGCGCUAAAAGAACCAGUUGGGCUAGUUCGUUUCAGAAUUUCAAUGUGGAUUCAGGAAUUGUUUUGUAAGAUAUGCGAAAUAGUAGAGGGAUGAAUAGUGUUUCAUUAAUAAAAGUGUCCUGUAAAUUAGAAGGUGUCAUAGAAACUAUAAUCAAUAAAUAACUUUUUUUCCCCACGGGUGGUGUUUCUUGUGGGGAUCAGUGACUGGUUUAGGUUCACCCAAAAUGAGUUCAGACUAAAAUUGGUUUGAGUCAAUGCCGUGUCUCUUUUUUCCAGAAAUCAACUAUUUUAUGCAUUGAAUAAAUCAUACAAAGAAAAUAUGAACGCCCGCAAAACCUAAACCCUGGUUGCUAACUUUCUAUGUUUCAGUUCUAUUCACGCAAGAAUAUUAGUUUAAGUUUGGGAAAAAUGGCAACUUACCUAGUGAUUACUUGGUUUUGGUUUGCGACUAUUUACGCAACCAACCAUGAGUUUGACUUUAACGUCAUGGGUUGAAGCCUCCUACAGGAAGGGAGAAAGCUCCACAGCUAGCUCCAAAAGAGAAUUAUCACAUUGAUAGCUCCAGAGAUUCCCAAGGGGACUGAAUCAAAGACAAGUUCCUCACUUUUUCUUCUUUUGAGGCCAAAUAUGAACCAAGGAUCACACAACCUCAUUCAACUUCAUAAGUUUGAUUUCAUGCAGUUGAACACUGGGUGAAGGCCAUGACAAGAAUUGAUUCAAAAAUUCUAUCACUCUUUUAAGUAAUGGAAGAUUAUUAUCUCUGAUUGGCAUCACAACAGCACAUGCUCCUAGAUCUUUCUAGACACUCCAUGCAAUGAAAGCACAAUGGAUCUUGUAACGAUAGAAACUAAGCCAUGCUACAGUACUAGAUGAUGAGGUAAAACUAGUAGACACGGGUGGCAGCCUAUAUGGGAGGGACACAAGUCUAAUUGAUUUGCAUUUCAGCAUUAUAGAUAGGUAUGUUUUGGAAGAUUUGUUCUGGAAAUACCGCACCAAGUAGGAUUCUUUUUCUCUUUAGUGGGUCCACUUGCAUGCCAAUUAACGAGUUGAAAAGUAUGAGCACCUACCUCGUGCUCGUGGAACCGAAGGUCAGUGAAGUGGGGCUCCUUUUGGCCUCGUGUAAACUUGAUUCAGAAGUGAAGUUAAUAGUCUUCCAUUCAGAUGGAUACAUGGGAAUUUUUCUCUUUUAUUUAUUUAUUUAUUUUUUUUUUGUGUGUGUAUGUCAAAGGAUAAUGAAUGAAGCGCGUUAGCUUGUUUUCUGACUGGAACCGCAGAUGUCCAAAUUGGAGUUCCUUCAUUUCUUACUUAGGAUUGUUACAUGUAUAAACAAGGUAUAAGAAAUAUGCCAACGUGUCUUGAGGAGUUAUUGAUUAGAAAUAACAAGUCACCCGACUGUAGAGUUCCAAGAUUUGAAUCUUCAGACCCUAUAGCAGCCUCUGGGGUACGUGGCAUCCUAUAGCAUAUUAAUGAAGGCUUUUUCGAUUUAGACUUCACAAUACCAAUUAAUAUGUAUGCACAAAAUGGAGAUGACCCCAAAAAAAACAGAAUCGCCAUAGUUUAUGAGGUUAAGGUGAUUCUCCACUUAAUAUCUACAUUAGCUAAUUAUGUAAAUCAAAUGAACUUCUAUUUUUCCUUUUUUUUUUUGGUUUAUGUCAAAUAGUAGCCCAUAAUUAACCCAACCAUUAGCCUGUUUGAAUUGAUUUCACAUGCACAAUGUUGUAGUAGUUCAUAUUUUGAAUUUUAUUUUUACAAAGGUAGUUAAGGAAAAUGAAGUAUAAUAAUUAUAAAAGCAGACUAUAUACACUACAAUAAUUGUUAGAAUGGUAUCUCAAAUUCUAAUUUAAAAUAUUAUUUUUUGUAAAAGAAAUAUUAUAUAGAAUAUUUCCUAAUUUUAUAAAUGAUUAUAAUUAGAUCUUUAUAAAAUAAGGAAAGUUGGUAAGAAUAUCUUUAUAAAUAUUUUAGGUCAUGAGAGAAAGAAAUGGGAUAAAAAUGUGAUGAAGAGGUGAAAUAAGAGAGUUGAUUAGGAUAUAGAUGUGAAGAAGAAAGGGAUUCAAUAUAUAUAUAUCUUUCAAUUACCACAUUAAAACCCUGUGAACCUUUUAUAUGGUUUACUUUAUUUUUAUAUUCCUCCUUUAAUAUAUUUACAUUAAUGCUUCCAUUGGCACAACAAUAACGAAUUACAAAUACAAGCAACAAGUCCCAUGUUUUAUUACCAAAAGCAGGUAAAAUCCACCUAAUAUAUUACAAUAUAUUCAUCCAAUAUUUUAGACCAAUUCUUCACCAUAAAUAUCAUAAUGUGGCUUUUGUUCUUUCUUAAAUUUAAAUUGAAUUGUCUUAUAUCAAUUUGUUUGUGAUUUUUUCAUUAACUUCACUUUCAUUUGGUUAUCUUUGGUUUUUGAAAAGUAUUAAGGAAUUAAUUAACAAAAUAAUGUUAAGAAAAAUAAUUUUCUCUCUUUUGAUUUUGAUUUUGUAGUAGAAAAAUAUAAUUAAAAUUAUUUAAAAAGUAUGUAAUUUUAAAUUAUUUAAUAUUUAGAUAAAAAAAAUAAGUCUAAUGAGUUUAAAAUAACAUAUAAAAAUAAUUUAUUUAUUUUAAAUUUAUUUUUUAUUUUCCAUUAUGUUCUCUUUCUCUUUUACUUUUUCAUAUUUUUUCUUACGAAGAAUCAAACACAACCUCAUAUUAUAUGUCAAGUGUUUGUCUAUAUUUGAGCAAUGUUAGAUACGGCCAUGGAUUCAUCAAACUAAACUGAUUUUAAUAGAUACUUCACAAAUUGAUUUAUACACUAAAUCAUUGGAUAGCAAUGAUGCAUUGGAAUUAAACGUAGGAUGAAGCUCGAAGAACACUGUUUGUGUAACAACAUAUUUAUGAAAUUAUGCAAAGGAUGAGCUUCGGGGUAGUAGUACAAGGUCAUUAAUGGAGAGCCGUGUUAAACCUUGAUUGUGAUUGGAUUCCGUUAUCAGCAACAGCAACCUUGUUUGUAACCUUGAAAGUCAUUCUGUCCACAUCGAAACUCCAAUUUGACGUUUGUAAUUACCAUUCCUGGAGUGUUCCUUGAUUGAAAUUUAAAUAAUAAUUGCGGCCCACAAGGAAUAUUUUCGAUUCUGUGGGAAUUUGACAAGGUUUGUUAGAGAAGACUGGUGACAUGUUGACUUCAAUGGUUCAAAUAGGAGACGUAUGUGGAUUUGGGGGGUUUAAUUGAAACUGAGUCCCUAUGGCUUUUUAAUAUUUGCAUUGAGCAGUCUCCAUGUGACUUCCUAAUUCCCACCAACCCUCCUGUCCAUGCUGUGAAACUAAAUUGUAAUUUAUCAGCCUUUGUCAAUGGUUUCUAAAUUAAAGAUAUAGACCAUGCAUGUACUUUAAUAAAAGCAAAUCUAAAGUGUAGAUAGCAGCAAUGGUGACACCCAAUAUUCUCCAUAAAAUAGAAUUAGAAUAAGCAGUGUUACAUUGUUCAUGAUCACCUACAAGCAUACAAGAACUUCCAUGAAUAACUCAUAGCAAUUGCCAACAGGGCGUCGUAGAGACUCAUACAUAGAACACUAUCCACCCAGAGGAAAGGACAAGACCAGUGCGCUGCAGCUCUUAUUUUUCACAUGUAUACCACCACUCGUAAUAACCAAAUUCACUCAGUUGGGAUAGGUGGGAGAUGGUGGUUUGUGGGGUGGCUUGUGGGGAGGAGUUGGAGGAGGCUUUAUUUUCUGAGGCGGCUUGUAUGAGUGUGCAGGAGGAUGCCCGGGAGUGUGACCAUAAUGUGGUGGCUUCUCUCCCGUAGGUGGUUUGCCAAAUGGGCUUGGUGGCUUCUCUCCCUUAGGAGGUUUACCAAUUGGGGUUGGUGGCUUGUGUUCUGGGAGUGGUUUCUCUCCCUUGGUAGGUUUGCCAAUUGGGGUUGGCGGCUUAUGUUCUGGGAGUGGCUUCUCUCCCUUGGGAGGUUUGCUAAUUGGGGUUGGCGGCUUAUGUUCUGGGGGCGGCUUCUCUCCCUUGGGAGGUUUGCCAAUUGGAGUUGGCGGCUUAUGUUCUGGGAGUGGCUUUUCUCCCUUGGGAGGCUUGCCAAUUGGGGUUGGCGGCUUAUGUUCUGGGGGUGGCUUCUCUCCUUUAGGAGGUUUGCCAAUUGGAGUCGGCGGCUUAUGUUCUGGAAGUGGCUUUUUUCCCUUGGGAGGUUUGCCAAUUGGGGUUGGCGGCUUAUGUUCUGGGGGUGGCUUCUCUCCCUUGGGAGGUUUGCCAAUUGGAGUCGGCGGCUUAUGUUCUGGGAGUGGCUUCUCUCCCUUGGGAGGUUUUGUUGGUGGCUUGUGUUCUGGAGAUGGCUUCUCCCCUGGAGGCUUGUGCUCCGGAGGUGGCUUCUGAAAUGGCGGGGGCUUGGGGUAAUGAGCAAGAGAUGGAGUACUGGUGAGAACCACCAUUCCAAGCAACAAUACUAGCAAGCAUGUGGGAGACAUCUUUGAGUAGUUGUAGCUAAGAUGGCGCAACACUGUAGGCAUUGGGUGGCCUUUUAUAAAGGGCUGGACCCAACAGCCAUAUGACACGUGUCAUGAUGACAAAUGA
rnacentral:lncRNA from 1 species